UUUUUUUCUUUUUCUUCUGUUUCUGUUUUUUGUUUUAUUCUUUCUGUUAUUUGUUUUGUUUUAUUUUUGGCUCCAAACUAUUUCUAAAAUAGUUUUAAAAAUACUAGAGUGUUAGUUGGAAUAUUUCCAACCACUCAUAAAGUUUUCAACAUUUUUGGAAACUUUAAAUUAUUUGAAAUCAAAUAUAUAAUUGAUUUCAGUAGCUUCUAAUUUAAUUUAAAAUGCCAAAAGUGGUUUGAAAAUAAGUUUCAUGUGUGAUAUUUUGUUUUCAACAUUUAUCAAAAAUAUUGAACUUUUAAGAAGGCCAUUUUGGGUUCAUUGAUUUUGGCACUUGUUGGAAUUCUUUUGAAUAAGAAGUGGCUAGAGUUUUGCUUUGGUUUUUCUUGUUUUACUUUUGGGUUUUCAUUUUAUUUCCUUGGAUGCAUUGAAAGAAAACAUGAGCACAAGUUACUAAACCCUAACAGGGAUCAGGGAUGUGACAACUCGGUAAUACAACACCACAUAUAACCCUUGCAAGCAAUGUGGCUAAUGUGUUAGUCACGGGAUCUUGUAUUACGGAACGAGUAAAGAGACAUGCUGGUAACGAGAUUGAAAUAGGUAUAGGGAUACCGACGAUCAAAUCUCGGGCAAGUAACAUACCGAAGGACAAAGGGAAUGAUAUACGGGAUUAUAUGAAUCCUUGGCACAGAGGUUCAACCAAUAAGAUCUUCGCAGAAUAUGUAGGAUCCAAUAUGGACUUCCAGGUCCCGCUGUUGGAUAUUGAACGGUAAGUGUCUUAGGUCUUGUCUGCAUAAUUCUCGAACCCGCAGGAUCUGCACACUUAAGGUUCGGUGACGUUUUGGUAUAGUUGAGUUAUAGGUGUUGGUGACCGAAGGUUAUUCGGAGUCCCGGAUGAGAUCAUGGACGUCACGAGGGUUUCCGAAAUGGUCCGGAAACGAAAAUUUAUAUAUAGGAUUGUUUCAUUUGGUUUCCGGAAAGAUUUCGGGCAUUACCGGCACUGUACCGAGAGUGACGAAUGGGUUCCGAGUUUUUACCGGGAGGGGCCCACCCACCUGGGAGUGAGCCUCAUAGCCCAAGGGUGGCGCACCAGCCCUUAGUGGGCUGGUGAGGGCAGCCCAAGUGGGCUAUGUCGGCUAGGAGAAAAAAACCAAAGGAAAAGAAAGAAAGAAAAGAGGGAGGUGGGAAGGAAGGAGGGGACUCCUCCUUCCCAAACAGAAUUGGAGUUGGAGUCUCCUCCUCCUCUCUCAGCCGGCACCCUAGGGGCUCCCUUGAGCCCCAAGGAUAGCCCCUCCCCUCCUCCUAUAUAUACUAGAGGUUUUAGGAUUUUUGAGACAACAACUUUGCCACGUGAAACCCUAAACCUCUACUUCAUAGUUCUUCCUCUAGAUCGAUUUUUUCUGCGGAGCUCGGGUGGAGCCCUGCAGGAAUAGAUCAUCACCAUCACCGGUGCGCCGUCACGCUGCCGGAGAACUCAUCUACUUCCCCGUCUCUCUUUCAGGAUCAAGAAGGCGAAUAUCGUCAUCGAGCUGUACGUGUGCUGAACGCGGAGGUGUCGUCCGUUCGGCGCUAAAUCGGAAUGGAUAGUGGGACGACGGUGAUUUGAAUCACGAAGCUGUUCCACUACAUCAACCGCGUUUCUUAAACACUUCCCGCUUAGCGAUCAACAAGGGUAUGUGGAUCCGAUCUCCCUCUCGUAGAUGAACAUCACCAUGAUAGGUCUUUGUGUGCGUAGGAAAUUUUUUGUUUCCCAUGCAACGUUCCCUAACACCCCUCGCGUUUUUGUGGAAACAACAUGUGGUUCCCCAGUCCAUGCGCCAUGCCACCCGGUCUCCUGGCCCACUUGUCAUCAUGCCGCGUGGACUAGUCAAAUCGACACAACCUUAUUCAGUAAGCCAGUAGCCUCCAGUCCACCACUCCGAACCAUCCGCCUCCCACACCACCAAUACUCUCGCUCCAUCUCUUUCUCCCCUCCCUAAAAUCCGUCAACCCGGGAUCCUUCUCACCCUUACCAAUCGAUAUGCAGCCGUCGUCAUCCAACUCCAAUCUAUAAUGGAGAUCACUACUCGGUUGGAGCAGCUCGUUCAAGUGGUUGCCAGCGAUGCGGAGAAGCUCUCUCGCUCGCGCGAGAUAUGCUCGUGGUUCCCUCACCUGGCGAUGCUCUACAAGGAGGACGUCAGCAUAACCGUUUGUCUCAAAGGCAAGGAAAAGGCAUGCAUGCGACAUACCCGCUCUUUUCCAGUGGAGUACCUCUACUGGGUGAUUAUGGAGGUGGAGAGCAACGAUCUAGUACAAAGGUACCGCUAGAGGGCAUACAAAUCAACUCACGCCAAUGGGGCCCGGCAGGAUGCAUACGUCAGCGCGGGUUAUGCGGCUGGCCCAACGCGGGUCAGGGCGAGGGUGGCUAGGGCCACGACGUUGGUGUUGGGUAACGUAGCAUAAAUUCAAAAAAUUUCCUACGCAUAUUCAGAUCUUCCUAUGGAGAGACCAACAACGAGAGAGGGGUGAGUGCAUCUUCAUACCUUUGAAGAUCGCUAAGAGAAAGCGUUGCGAGAACGCGGUUGAUGGAGUCGUACUCGCGGCAAUUUAGAUCACGGUGUGAUUCUGAUCUAGUGUCGAACCACGGCACCUCCGCGUUCAACACACGUGCAGCCCGGUGACGUCUCCUGCAUCUUGAUCCAGCAAGGAAGAGGGAGAGGUUGGGGAAGCUCUCCGGUAGCACGAUGGCGUGGUGUCGAUGGAGAGACGAGGUCUCCCGGCAGGGCUUCACCAAGCACCGUGGGAGGAGGGAGGGGAGCAGGGCUGCGCCGAGAGGAGAAGAAACCGUGUGCAAAACAGCCCCAAACCCCUCUCUAUUUAUAGGAGGAGGGGAGGGAGUGCCAUCCCUAGGGUGUCCCCCUUAGGUGGUGCGGCAGCCCCCCCAGAUGGGAGGUGUGGCAGCUAGGGCAGGGGGAGGGGUGGCGCACCCCUUAGGUGGGACUUAGUCCCACCAGCGCCAGGGUUCCCCCCCUUCUCUCCCUCCUGCGCCUUGGGCCUCUUCUGGGAGGCGUACCAGCCCAGUUUGGCCUGGUUGCCCUCCCUCUUUUGGCCCAUGCUGCCUCUUGGGACUGGUGGCCCCUCCCGGUGGACCCCCGGGACCAUUUCCGGUGGUCCCGGUACGCUACCGGUGACGCCCGAAACAUUUCCGGUGUCCAAAACCAUCCAUCCUAUAUAUCAAUCUUUACCUCCGGACCAUUCCGGAGCUCCUCAUGACGUCCGAGAUCUCAUCCGGGACUCCGAACAACUUUCGGUAACCUCGUAUAACAUUUCCUUAUAACCCUAGCGUCAUCGAACCUUAAGUGUGUAGACCCUACGGGUUCGGGAAGCAUGCAGACAUGACCGAGACGCUCUCCGUCCAAUAACCAUCAGCGGGAUCUGGAUACCCAUGGUGGCUCCCACACAUUCCAUGAUGAUCUCAUCGGAUGAAGCACGAUGUCAAGGAUUCAAUCAAUCCCAUAUACAAUUCCCUUUGUUUGUCGGUAUAGAACUCUCCCGAGAUUCGAUCGUCAGUAUACCUAUACCUUGUUCAAUCUCGUUACCGGUAGGUCUCUUUACUCGUUCCGUAGCACGUCAUCGUGUGACUAACUCCUUAGUCACAUUGAGCUCAUGAUGAUGUUCUAUCGAGUGGGCCACAGAUACCUCUCCGUCACACGGAGUGACAAAUCCCGAUCUCGAUUCGUACCAACCCAACAGACACUUUCAGAGGUACCCGUAGUGCACCUUUAUAGUCACCCAGUUAUGUUGUGACGUUUGAUACACCCAAAGCACUCCUACGGUAUCCGGUAGUUGCACAAUCUCACGGUCGAAGGAAAAGACACUUGACAUUAGAAAAGCUUUAGCAUACGAACAAUACGAUCUAGUGCUAUGCUUAGGACUGGGUCUUGUCCAUCACAUUAUUCUCCCAAUGAUGUGAUCCCGUUAUCAAUGACAUCUAAUGUCCAUGAUCAGGAAACCAUGAUCAUCUAUUGAUCAACGAGCUAGCCAACUAGAGGCUUGCUAGGGACACAUUAUGAUCUAUUUAUUCACACAUGUAUUGCUGUUAAUACAAUUAUAGCAUGAACAAUAGACGAUUAUCAUGAAUAAGUAAAUAUGAUAAUAACCAUUUUAUUAUUGCCUCUAGGGCAUAUUUCCUAUAGUUGGUCAUGGCGAUGCGGUUCUAGACAUUUGGUCACGCCGAUGUGGCUCUGGACGCGCUGCCUGGAGCCUCAUCAACCAACCUACGUAGGAGGAGGACACGUGGAAAGCCAAAGGAGGUGACCCUGCCGCGUCACUCUGUUCGCUUCCCCCGAAGCUCUUUGAUGACCCAUAAAUAUAGAGAAUCAAUCGUAGUCAUUUUGAUAAGUAAAAGUGUCGAACUCAAUGAGAAACAGAAAAAGAAAUGACAAGCAGUUUCACUCAACACGUUUGUUUGCCUAGCUGAACCAAAAAAAUAAAAAGCGGAUCAAAUUCACGUCCAUUUACGUCAACACGUUGGAGUUGGCCUCCGGGAACUCAAGUCUGUUUAUGUAGACACGUUGGAGUUGGCCUCCGAGAGGAUUUGAUCUAACCCGCUGCAAGACGCACAGACCAAAAUGGCCUUUGUGUAUGCCAGCCCCAAAAAUACUGUUAGCUGGUGCACGAAUCGUUGAUACAUUUGUCCAAGCAAAAUUACAAACUUGAAGUACAAGAUUGAUGUGGUCCAUAGAGUACAUCAAAAGGUUUCUAAUGAUUGAUGGCGGAAGCGGUUCGGGGAUCUCUAGUGUCUAUGGGACUCCAUUUCCCACAAAAACAACUGACUUGGAUAAUUCCUAUCUCACGCAGCUGCUGUCAUCUGUGCCUAAGUUCCGGGUUUAUCGUCGAGUUCCUCCUCUCCAAACACACAAUCUGGCCAAGACAAUAGCUAGGGACAAGCUAGUGAGUACUUUGAAUAUACUCGCAAACAUGAUGAAACAAACAUAAAUUGGCAGGGUUAAUAUACACUUGUAAUAAUACCACAAUACUUUGUCAACCCUGAUGUACUUCUCAAGUACUAGUAAUGAAAAUAUAAUCAUACUGAGAAAUUAAUAAGCAAUCAAUAAGAGUAAAAUUAACGGAUGUGAUAUAAAACAUGCCUCCGUCGGGCGUCUGAGCGACACCACAUACAUGGCUUGAAUAAAAUAAUAACAAGCAUGCCACAGACGGGUGUCUAAGCGACACCACAUAAAGAGCUUAUAUGAAAUAAUAAACAUGCCGCAGUCGGCAUCUAACCGACACCACAUAAAGGGCUUGUAUGAAAUAAUAAACAUGUCGCAGUCGGGCGUCUAAGGAACACCACAUAAAGGGCUCAUAUGAAAAUAAUAAACAUGCCACAGUCGGGCGUCUAAGCGACACCAUAUAAAGGGCUUAUAUGAAAUAAUAAACAUGCCGCAGUCGGGCGUCUAAGCGACACCACAUAAAGGGCUUAUAUGAAAUAAUAAACAUGCCGCAGUCGGGCGUCUCCUACGCGUGUGGAAACGUGGUGGCAGGCGCAAGCACCCGACACGUGGCUCCGUGGGUGUGCCCCCGGCGGCGUCGCUGUCGCUGUGUCACGAAGGGGGGAAAUGGCCACAUCGGGCCGACAUGGAGGAAAUCUUGGGGUGGGUUGGGACGGGACCAUGUUCGGGCCGACAUGUUAGGGGGGUAGCUAUGCCUCUAGGUCUUGCGGUGGGCCCUCCUAUGCGUGUGGAAGCGUGGUGGCAGGCGCAAGCACCCGGCACGCGGCUCCGGCGUGUGCCCCCCUCACGGGCGUCGCUACCGCCGUGUCACGGAGUGGGGAAACGGCCACGUCAGGACGACACGAAGGGAAUCUUGGGCCGGGGCCAUGUUCGGGGGUGUAGCUAUGGGCUGGGCUAUGACAACCCGGUGAAAAGGUCCAUUGAUCAAACCCCGUCCGACGUAAGUCAAAGGUCUAGAUCCGUCGGUCAUCUGUGUCAGGGUUAGACGGGACGGGGUACCUAGGGGGGUAGCUAUGACUCCAUGUCUUUGCGGUGGGCCCUCCUAUGCAUGUGGAAGCGUGGUGGCAGUCGCAAGCACCCGGCACGCGGCUCCGUGGGUGUCCCCCCUUGCGGGCGUUGCUGUCGCCGUGUCACGGAGGGGGGAAACGGCCACGUCGGGCCGACACAGAGGGAAUCUUGGGGUGGGUUGGGACGGGACCGUGUUCGAGGGUGUAGCCAUGGGCUGGGCUAUGACAACCCGGUGAAAAGGUCUAUCGGUCAAACCCAGUCCGACGUAAGUCAAAGGGCUAGAUCCGCCGGUCAUCUGUGUCAGGGUUAGACGAGACGGGGUACCUAGGGGGGUAGCUAUGCCGCCAGGUGAUACGUCCAAAAUGCAUCACUAUUUUGUAUCAUAAUUUGUCUCUAUUCAUUGAUAUAUCUCACAUUAUGAUGAUGUACUUAUAGUGUUUUGGCUUAUUUCACACAGUUUACAACUUUCCGGUGCCGAAACAGGAGACGCAGAUUCAGCGGAGGAAAUAGCACGAAGAGUUACCAUAUCAGAACAUCUCCAACUACGCUGAAAUUUUGAGGGAAGAACUUUCCGAACAGAUCAUGAAGACUGGCCGAAGGAGGGUCGGAGGGGAGCCACACGUCAAUCAGGCGACCUGCUGGCGCGGGCCACCCCUAGGCCACGCCAGGAGGCCGCCUGGGUGGUGGGUCCCGCCUCCGACGCUCUCCUUUGGCCUAUAUCACCUUCUUGACCUAAAAGUUAUGGGGGUAGAAGAGUUUUCGUAGUUCCGCCGCCGCUCCACGGCGGAAACCCACAAAGAAGAAGAGACCUUUCCGGUGGGCAGAUUCCGCCGGGGAGAGCUCCUCCCGAAAGGGGAGAUCGUCCUCAUCGUCAUCACCAUUGUCACGGGCAUCAUCGGGAUUAUCAUCACCAUCAUCACCAACACCAGCACCACCUCCAUCUUCAUCUCAUCUACUUCACCAUUGCAAUCGGAGUUCUACCUUGAUAUUCAUCGCCUCUACUCUACUGGUGUUGAUUACUCUAUUGUGGUGAACGCUAUUGAGUUUUGUGGAGAAUUAUAGUUAUGAACAGAUUGUUAAUCAUAUUUUCAUCACCUCUGAUCAUGAUCUCUUUUAUGUCUUGUGAGUAGUUCCGUUAGUUCUUGAGGACAUGGGAAAAGUCUAGAUGCUAGUAGUCAUAUGCUAUUGAAGUAAUAUGUGUUGAUUGAUAUUUAAGUUAUGAUGUUAUUCUUCUAGCGGUGUUAUUUGAACGUCGACUACAUAACACUUACACUUUUUAAGGACCUAGCGGAAUGCAUUGUGUAUAAAGAAUGCUUAUGGUGGGUUGCCGGAGUGACAGAAACCUGAACCCCAGUUCGCAUACUUUUGCAUGAGGGAGUAUUGGAUCCUAAAGCUUAUUGCUAUGGUUUGGCUUUGCCUUAAUUUCUCUCUUGUAUUUGCGGAUGCUUGCAAGAGGCAUUAAUCAUAAGAGUGUACUUGUCUUAGCCUAGACGAUGCACUAGUUCAGGUCCAUCCAUAUAAAACUUAGCAAUACAAAACAUAGUACUAGACGGAAUAUGGCGAAAGCACUUGACUAUCUCUCCUGUGUGUCCUCAGGAACGCCUUAGUCUUUAUAAAUUUAGUCCCUCGGCUUAUCCUUUGUGUUCAAAAGGAUUGGGCCACUUGCUGCACCUUGGAACCAUUUACUUUCCUUGCAUUUAUUUCCUUGUUGCUAUUACUAGAAAACCCAUAAAAAGUUACCAUUCAGUACUUGCACUUAUUCCUUGCUCAAGAUCACUUGUCAAUACCUUCUGUUCCUCGUUGGGUUCGACACUCUUACUUAUCGAAAAGGCUACGAUAGAUCCCCUACACUUGUGGGUCAUCAAUACCAUUUUCUGGCGCCGUUGCCGGGGAGUGUAGCGCUAUUGGUUUGACACUCUUACUUAUCGAAAGGGCUUAUAUGAAAUAAUAAACAUGCUACAAUCGAGCGUCUAAGCAACACCACAUAAAGGGCUUAUAUGAAAUAAUAAGCAUGCCACAGUCGGGCGUCUAAGAGACACUACAUAAAGGGCUUAUAUGAAAUAAUAAUAAUUAAUGAAUAUCCAGGAGGUAGAACCGUUCUAGGGAUAUUCAACAAUCAUAAUCAUAGGGGUUAGUCCACAGUAAAAUAAUAUUUAUCAUCAUCCACCAUAUUUCCUGAUUAGCCUCAUGAUUACUUAACUUCCUCCGAAGUCCGACACUCAGACCGACACUUGACUAGUCAACCAGUCGUCCUUGACCGUGGACAUGGCUACUCGAAUAGUUUUAACUUUGCAGAUGGUGUACUCUUUACCCACAACCCACGGGUUUCAAUAGUCACUCGGACUAAUCCCGCGUACGGUAUCUCAGAAGUAAACACUCAGAACCAGUACACACCCAUUUUUCUCCCGCGAAGACCGAUAUCAAUCGGACUACGCUGCCAGAGAAGAACCAUGAGAUGGGGAGGCUCCAACCUCGACUAGCAUGGGAUUGAAUUUAUACUGCGCGCUACAAGGGCAGAGCUCUUCCCUUCUCGGUCCCAGACCGGAAACACCCAUGCCCCCUGACCGGAUGAGUGGAUUUAGUCCAGUGCCCCGGUACCUUCAUCCCGGCCUCUCUACUUGGUGUGUACCUGGUAAUAGAUUUACGACCUACUAAACCAUAUUCCCUUUCAGGAAGACCUGUGGCAGCACGAAGGGUUAAGGUGACACAUUGACAAGACUAGAUCUACGGUCGACUCAGGAGGUUUAAAUAUUCCUUGCAUGAUUAGCACACUCAAAAUGUUUUAUCACCGCAGACAGAGUCACUACCUGUCGUACCCCAACAUGCCUUGCUGACCACUCUCGCCCCACGAGAUGCCAGUCCCAAGGUCGUGUCUCCACAAGACACCGACUCUCAUCGGAUCCUAUCCGGUAGACAUGUGUGGUAGGAAGAUGUGACUGUUGUCCCAUGCAUAUCAAUUAUGCAACAAUUGUACUUUCAAAUCUUGAAGCCACAUGCAUGAUUGUCACAUAAAAUAACACCACUUGUUUAACAUAACCAUAAUGUUUUUCUCAUCAAGUAACGCACAGACAACCAAGAUAUAAGUAGGUUCAGAAUGCUUGCCUUCCAAGUGUAGAGAGGUAGGCUUCAUUUCAAAUCUUUUGAAGUUUUUUCUCCUCUCUCCAUCGCCUAGUUUGAAAAAUAUUCUUAUUAAAACACAAUUUAAAACAAUACAUAAAGUUGUCAUUGAAAAUUUUCAAAUAAAUACUAAAAUAAACUAGAUGAACUUUGAAAGAGAUGAGAAAAAGAAUCAACUCAUUUGGACUAUUAUUUUAGAAACUAGGACCAGUCAAAGUUUGGUCAAAAUCUUGUCUUUAAAGCAAAUAAAACAAGGGUUUCACUGGGUUUUACGCUAACCAGAGGGGAAGACGUAUAGCAGGAAUUACACGUCCAUUCAAAACACGUCGGCCACGACCUAGGGUCACCGACGAUGGACCCGCGGGUCCACUGGUCACAUUUGACCUGGUCCAACCACGCCUUCUUCUUCCUCCGACCAACAGGGAAGGGCUCCGGCGAGCCUUGCCGAUGGAUGGCUCCUCCCCUGCACGAGGGAAUCCGACUUUUGUGUCUAGGGGACCGAGGCAGCUCCACCGGUGCUUGACACGACCGGAGGGGCAAACAAAAUCAUCGUCGGCGAGCUCUCCAGCGGUGGCGGCGUCGGGCGAAAAUGGGGAUUCUGCACACGAGCUUUCUCCGAUGGAAUUAAGGGGUGAAAUGGGUAGGCGGAAUCAAUUGGAAGCUUCUAUGAAGGAACCAAUGGGGGAAGGCUCUGGAUGCACGGAAAUCGGCCAGGUGGCCGAACUUGCCAGAGAAGAAAAUGGGGCUAGCUCUGGUGGCCUCGCUACCUUGGGGCGGUUCAGGGGGAAAGGGUUAUGGGGAUAUGGAAUGACUCCGCUCGACGGGGUGGGGGNNNNNNNNNNNNNNNNNNNNNNNNNNNNNNNNNNNNNNNNNNNNNNNNNNNNNNNNNNNNNNNNNNNNNNNNNNNNNNNNNNNNNNNNNNNNNNNNNNNNNNNNNNNNNNNNNNNNNNNNNNNNNNNNNNNNNNNNNNNNNNNNNNNNNNNNNNNNNNNNNNNNNNNNNNNNNNNNNNNNNNNNNNNNNNNNNNNNNNNNNNNNNNNNNNNNNNNNNNNNNNNNNNNNNNNNNNNNNNNNNNNNNNNNNNNNNNNNNNNNNNNNNNNNNNNNNNNNNNNNNNNNNNNNNNNNNNNNNNNNNNNNNNNNNNNNNNNNNNNNNNNNNNNNNNNNNNNNNNNNNNNNNNNNNNNNNNNNNNNNNNNNNNNNNNNNNNNNNNNNNNNNNNNNNNNNNNNNNNNNNNNNNNNNNNNNNNNNNNNNNNNNNNNNNUCCAUUUAGGUUUUAGAUUUCAGGGGUGUGUGUGAAUUCUUUGACAAGUCAGCUUCUUAAAAUCCGAUCCCACUUGUCAUGUCAGAAAGCGAUCAAACGGAUCUAAUCAUCCAAUAAGUGUUUUUUUUCAAUAAGAUUACGAAAAUUACGAUGUUUUAUACAAUGAAUUCGUGACUUAGUAAUUUUCUGCAAACAUAGCCGUAAAUAUCAUAGUUUCUUGCAAUUAACUCACUGUAGAUGGAUGUGAAUGUGUAGGCGAGGCCAGCGUUUUGCAUGCCAUAUGCAGUCCCGUCCAUGAAGGCGGCCAUGCUUGCUAAUCGCCCAACUUGCAUCCAUGCCAGCACAAUCAUCUAUACAACGAGUCAACGACUAUUAGUGGUGUUCACCCAACCUGCUCCUGCCACAAACACUACUUGUUUGUACUACCUUUCUGCCCCCCUUCAUUUUUAAAUAUAAGUCUUUUUAAAGAUUUUAUUGCAAAAUUGCAUAGGAAGCAAAAUGAAUGAAUCUACAUUUUAAAAUACGUCUAUAUAUACAUCUAUAUGUAGUUUCUAGUGAAAUCUCUUAAAAGACUUGUACUAUUCAGAAACGGGAGGAGUAUCUUGUGUGUAUAGGAUCUGUAUGUGUAUCUGUAUUUUCCUUGGCCCUCUUUCUUCCUGUUAAUGCUAAUGCUAAUACAGAAAGCAUGCAUCCAUGGCUGCCUGUCAAACAUCAUCACUUUCAACUCUUUCUUCUUCAGUUCAUAAUUAACAAGCUCUCCUUCUUCGUCACAUGUACAGAGACCAAUUCAAUCGCUUACCUGCCCCCCCGCGACACCUGUGUUCGUGUAUAUGUUGUCGCGUGUGUGCAUCCCAAUGCCAAUCCCAAUCCUAAUCCUGGGGUGGAUGCAUUCCGGCAGCUCCUGGUAGGAAACUAAAAUAGGAAUCUCAGAAAAAGAAAGAUACAGAUGACUAGAUAGUUUUCCUCAACUAUAAAUAUUUAAAUACAUAAAAAGUAUAUAUAUAUAGAAGUACCUAGAUAAUAGUACAUGUGAUCUCGGUCAGAUGCAGCAACACAAAGCCUUCCUCUGCCGAUCGAGCGCACACCCAACCGCCAUGCAACAAUGAAAUGAAAUGAAAUGAUCAUAAUACAUAUAUUUUACUGUUCAUGCAAAAUAGCAUUCGAGCUUGAGCGCAAAUUAGGACUUUGGCCAUUUUUUAAACCCACUUAAGAAAUCAUGAAAUAUCAGUAUUUUUUUCGACCAGAUCAAAUAUCAAUAUUUUUUUUGGCAAGGCUGGAGCAGAUGGGCAUUAUUUUAGUUGCAAGGUUGGAGGAGGUACAGAUACAACGAAUGCUAUCAUACCACCACAUCUGAAAUACUCCUGCUAGUCUAAUAAUAGAAGUAGGAGUAAUAUAUUCCUACGUCUCAUAAAAAAGCACUCCCUUCGUUUUUAAAUAUAAGUCUUUUAAGCGAUUUCACUAGAUGUCUACAUACAGAGUAAAAUGAUUGAAUGCACACUCUAAAGUAUGUCUAUAUAUAUCCAUAUGUAGUCCAUUAGUGAAAUCUCUACAAAGACUUAUAUUUAGAAACGGUGGGAGUAGGUUAAAAAUUUGCGCAGGCGGGCAGGAUCAUGCUGCAUCUUCUCUCUCUUUGCUUUUUUUUAAACACUAAUUGAAGUCCUUCACAUGAAAAGCAUACACCUCAUUCUUAUGAAAACUCACACGCGCAUUGUAUCAUCUCUACAAAAAGUAAACAGUUAUAUCGUUUUCAGAUUGAUGAAAUCGUUACAAACACUUUCAUAGUCGACUGGAACGUCUACUUCCACUCAACGUUGACGAUAUCGCUUAUCGUUAACAUCUCGGACAACUGAGGAUUAGAGACUAAUCGAAAACCCGACGAUUAACCGAUUUUAUCGAUCGAAUAUUAAUCUGCCAUUUUUUGCAAAUACGUGAUUCCCAACACUAAAAUAUGCUAUGUUAAAUAUCAAAAAAAUAAGUGCCAUGAAUAGACCCGAUUUAUUGAUAGAAUCCCGAAAAAUCGCUUGUUAGAAUGAGAACGAUAAACGGUGAGAUAAGACAUCCCUCGAGCAACGAUAAAUCGAAUGAGAAACUGCUGAAUCGGAUGAUUCUAUGACGUCGUAAAACAAAUUCAGAAAAAUACCAGCAUCAUUGUUAAGUCUUGAACUUAAACUUGGAUGAAGAAAGAUACCACCAAUCUUCUAAACAUUCAACCACGGAUUAGUUUGCUAUACCCCUCUCUCGUAGUCUUCCACUGCAUUUAAUGAGCCACGUCAUUUGCAUGUUUUUUCCUGGUGUAAUAGGUAAUUAAAUUAAUAAAUUCCGCCGUCCAAAGUCAACCCUCCUCUCCGCGUCGCCGACGGUUGCUUGCUUGCCGCCGAGGAGGGAAAAAAGGCGCCGUUUUUAUCCCCUAUGCGCCGGUCGGUCGGUCCCAUGGCGCUCCUCCUCCUCCUCCUCCCGAUCGCGCUGCUCGCCGGCGGGCUGAGGGAGGCGGCGGCGCGCACGGUGCCGGUGGAGUUCCUCUACCCGCCCUACAACCUCACCUACAUGCACUACAUCGACACCAACGGCGUCUUCCUCCGCUCCCCCAACGCCACCUUCUCCGCCGCCGUCUUCAACUCCGGCUCCUCCGACUCCUCGGGCGCCGACGAGUCGCAGCUCACCAUGUCCCGCUACUUCUUCUCCGUCCUCCACGACCGCUCCCGCACCCCCGUCUGGGCCGCCGCCGCCGGCGCCACCAUCGUCCAGUCCAUCAUCCUCUCCCUCAACGCCUCCGGCCUCUACAUCUCCGACCCCGCCGGCCUGUCCGGCCCCUCCUGGUCCACCCCCCGCCUCGCCGCCCCCGUCGCCGCGCUCCGCCUCCUCGACACCGGCCAGCUCGCGCUCAUCGACGCCGACAACGCCACGCUCUGGUCCACCUUCGACGCGCCCACCGACACGCUGCUCCAGGGCCAGCUCCUCCCCGUCGCCGUCCCGCUCACCGCCACCGCCUCCGACCAGGACCUCUCCCCCGGCGCCUACCGCCUCCUCCUCACCCCCGCCGACGCGCUCCUCCAGUGGGCCUCUUCCGACGGCGGCGGCGACUUCGUCACGUACUGGGCGCUCUCCUCCGACCCGGCAUCCGUCCAGGACUCCAACCGCGCCGUGCGAUCCAUGAUGGUCAACGCGUCCGGCGUCUUCCUCCUCGCCGACGGCGGGGGCACCGUCUUCAGCCUCCGCUUCGCGUCGUUGACCCCCGCGCCGGCAACAAAGAUGCUCCUCAAGGUCGACUCCUCCGGCCGCCUGCGCGCGCUCAGCACGGCCUACUCCCCCACGGCGGCGCGCGCCACGCUGCCCGCCGUCUGGGCCGCUCCGGCCAGCGACUGCGACCUGCCGCUCCCGUGCGGCGCCCUCGGCCUCUGCACGCCCGGCAACAACGGCUCCUCCUGCAUGUGCCCCGACGCCUUCACCACGCACACCACCGGCGGCUGCUCGCCGGCCGACGGCUCCGCGCUCCCCGCCUUACCUGACACCUGCCUCGCCGCCAACUCCAAGCCUUCGUCGUCGGCGGCGGCUGCUCACAGCUACACGAGGCUGGGCGACGGGAUCGGCUACUUCGCCAGCAAGUUCGCGCUGCCGACGACGGCCGGCGAAGCGCUCCCGGCGUGCCGCGACCUCUGCUCGGCCAACUGCUCCUGCGUCGGCUUCGUCUACAAGAACUCCUCCAAGUCCUGCCUCCUCGUGCACAACCAGAUCGGCUCCGUCUUCCGCGGCGCCGGCAACAGCGCAUCGGCCACCGUCGCCUUCGUCAAGACGGUCCCGCCGGCUCCGUCUCGCGGUGGCCAAGGCGGCGACGGCGGAUCCGGCUCGUCGUCGUCCCUGAGCACCAUCACCAUCAUAUUCGGCAUCGUGCUGCCGGCCGUGGCGGCGGUGUUCAUCACCUUCCUGCUGUACGUGCUGGGCGUGCACUGGCUCAAGAACCGCCACGGCGGCGCCGGCAAGGCGAAGAGGAAGCAGCACGGCCACGGCGGCAGCAGCUGGUUCAUGCUGCACAUGAUGCCGUCCUUGUCGUCGUCGCGGGCGUCGUCCAACGCCCCGUCGGAGAAGGGGGGCGGCGACAGCGAGGACGAGGGCGACGACGAGGUGCUAAUCCCCGGCCUGCCGACCCGGUUCACGUUCGCCGACCUGGAGGCGGCCACCAACGGCUUCAAGUGGCAGAUCGGGUCCGGCGGGUUCGGCUCCGUGUACCGCGGCGAGCUCCCCGACCGUACCACCGUGGCCGUGAAGCGGAUGAACAACCUGGGCAUGCAAGGCCGGCGCGAGUUCCUCACGGAGAUCGCCGUCAUCGGCAACGUCCACCACGUGAACCUGGUCAAGCUCCGCGGGUUCUGCGCCGAGGGCGCCCGGCAGCAGCUGCUGGUGUACGAGCACAUGAGCCGCGGCUCGCUCGACCAGUCCCUCUUUCCCCGCGCCGGCGCCGGCGCCGCUUCUAAGGCGGUGCUGGAGUGGGGGGAGCGGCUGGGCGUGUGCGUGGGCGCGGCGCGCGGGCUGGCGUACCUGCACGCCGGCUGCGACCGCAAGAUCCUGCACUGCGACGUGAAGCCGGAGAACAUCCUGCUGGACGAGCGCGGCGGCGUGAAGAUCGCCGACUUCGGGCUGGCGAAGCUGAUGAGCCCGGAGCAGUCGGGGCUCUUCACCACCAUGCGCGGCACCCGCGGGUACCUGGCGCCGGAGUGGCUCAUGAACGCGCCCAUCACCGACAAGGCCGACGUCUACAGCUUCGGCAUGGUGCUGCUGGAGCUCCUCCGCGGCCGCAAGAACUCCAAGCAGGACGACGACGACCACCACGACGCCGCCACCACCGGCACAAACAGCAGCACCACCACCAGCGGCACCACCGGCGAGGCGACGGAGGCGAGGAGGAGCAGCUACUUCCCGGCGCUGGCGCUGGAGCUGCACGAGGAAGGGCGGUACAUGGAGCUGGUGGACCGGAGGCUGGAGGGGGGCGCCGACGCGGCGGAGGUGGAGAGGGUGGUGCGCGUGGCGCUGUGCUGCCUCCAUGAGGAGGCGUCGUCGCGGCCGGCCAUGACGGCGGUGGCCGGCAUGCUCGACGGCAGCAUGGACGUGUGCGUGCCGAGGACGGAGCAGCUGGCGUACCUGAGGAUGUACGGCCGCGGCCUCGUCGACGUCCGGCCCGGCGGGUGGAAGGGCAAGUGGAAGGGCUCCGAGAUGACCGCCGGCAGCAGCAGCUGGUCGCCGCCGUCGUGCGUGUCGGCGCAGCAGCUCUCGGCCCCCAGAUGACAUGCCAUCGCCGUCCGUGUAAUUAUAAUGCAAUGUGAUGCAAAUUUUGCCGUGAAAAAAGUAUAUCAAAGAGGUGUACGUGCAUGUUGUUUCUGUCAAUAGAGUAUUUGUUAGUACUACUUGUGAAUACAUACAUACUCUACGAUACAAAGUUACAAACAAGAUAAAUUUUCAUCUCAUCAACAUCUUGACAGGACCUGUGGUUUCCCCCGAUGCUCCAAGAACGGGUAAAGGCCAUGGCAGCGCCUUCAAGAAGGAAGACGGACACCCAUGAAUGUCACCGCUGCCAGCAUUGAAAAAACGAACCCCAACAGCCCCCAACAGCCAUUCACCCAUGAAUGUCGCGCCCCCAACAGCCCCCCUCCUCCAGGCCAGUUUUUUCGACGGCGAAGAAAAACGAUCCAGUCGCGCCCCAAGGAGCCCUUUUUCGCGAGUUAGGGUCAAAAUUGGUCCCGACGGUCCCAGGCCAAACCCAGCGCGUUGGGGGCGUCGACAGAAAUGUUUUUGACGCGAAAUAGUUGUGGACCCGCCGAGUCAGCGACUAGCACACGGUCGUCAUCCUCAUCGCCUUGUUUCCCUUGGGAAUCAAUGCGAAGGAUCCGUCGUCAGCCAGCCUUCCAUUGAUUCUUCACGUGCGGUGCAAUGAAUGCGCGGUGACGCACGUCCCGUCCGUUCCUGCCACACGUUCACACGGCGCCGCUCCGCGUGCCCGCCCUUCCGAGGCUAUAUAAGCCGCCCCUCUCCCUGCCGGAGGCCACACACCUCUCUCAAUAGAAUCUCGUCGUCAACGCCCUCUCCUCUUUCGUCACCGGCGCCUCCUCUCCCUCUUUCUCCCCCAAAAAUGGCCGAACGCUUACCCGAGGAUGGAGCGGCAGCCGAUGGCUUCGGCCGCCGUCACCUACGCGAGGACGAGGCCUGCCUUCUCUACGAGGCGGACUACCCGACGCCAACAGACAUGCGGGUUCCGGGCUCGUGGAGGCUGAGCAGUGGCGGCAUCGUCAUCAACGAGCCUGCGCGCCACCUCCCGCCUCGUCAAGGCGAAGAUGGAGCCGACGCUCCUCCCCAUCAAGCAGGAGCACCUAUCUAUGGCUGCCGAUGAAGAGACCUCCCUCAAAUGGGCGCGGGACUACUACUUCCGGGAGGAGAUGAAGCGCCAGCACCGCGCCCUUGAGGAGAUCGCUGCGCGGCGCCGCGACCGUGAGGAGGACGACGUUGUCAUCCUCGACGACAGCGACGAGUAGGCGUCCGGGCUUUCCAACCCCGUUCACCAUGGCGACCAAGGGCAGGGGUACAGCAAGGACGACGGUAGAACGCAGGACGACGACGACGGCGGCGGUGAUUACACUAACUUCUACAAACUUCUCGACAUGUAGAAGACGGCAUCGGGUGGCGGAUGGAGAUGCUCUUGCACCGAGGGUAUCUCAUGGCUGAUGAUCUGAAUGAGUGAAUGAAAAAUGAUAGGGAUGAUGGAUUUUUUCUUUUCUUUUUGUCAUCAUGGUAGAAGCUGGGCCAAUUGAAAAGGAGGGUCAAUGCCAAUUGCACAUGGCGACGUUUGCUUGCAUUCUUGCUUCCGUAUGAAAGGAGAUGAUGAUCCUAUAUAUGCAUAUUCAAACAGAUCCAUCUGCACCUGCCACUGCACGCCACCAUGACAGCCGGCCAGCAUAAAUAAUAAUAAUAAUGUAGUACCAACUUAAAAAUACUGUGGCAUGUCAUGGGGAUAAAAAUGAAUAUUCCAUCAAUAAAACACACAUGUGGAUGUGGUAUAAGAUGACGACAUACUGUGGUAGGAGUAUCAUUUUUAUACUGGUAUGAUUUUGAUAGUCAUAAUCCCCAAGAAGAAGAGGCAAUGAUCCAUCUCCACCUGCAACAGGAAAAAUAUAUGAACAAAAUAUAUUAGUGGACCACGUCGCAAACAAUGAGAAAUCAGAUUUAUGUAUAGUAAGAUAAUAAGAUCAUAAUCUUUGAUGAGUGGUUUAGGUAUUUCCUCCAUUGGUCCGUGUAACACCCCAAAACUUUGGGCAUGAUUUUUAAAACUGGCCAUGGUAAUUUAAAAACGUAUUUUUGGGUUUCCUGCAGUUUUCAGGCCCUUUUUUGUUUUAUUUUAUAAAAAUAUUUAUUUCUUAAGUAGGGGUAUUUGAAAGAUGUUAUUUGACUUGAGUGUUGCCUCAAAUAUUUUUCCAAUUAUUUCCAAAUCAAAUAAAGGCAUUUUUAUAAAUAUUUCCUUUAUGUCUCAUUUAUUCAAAAAUUUAUUUCUAAGGCAUGAUUUGAACUGCAAGCAUUUGAUAAUUUCUCUUGAAAAUUCCACAAAUACUUGGAAAUGAUUUAGUAUGUAUCUGAAUCAAUUUUUAUGAAAUAAUCUAGCCCAGUGUUUUGGAAUGAGUAAGCACAUUAUAUCCUUUUCCAUUUCUCAUACCACUUGAUAUUUGUACUACAACCCCUAGUUAAAACUCUUAAAAAAUUCUACAAAAAUUUGGAGUUGUCAAGGAGUUUAUAUAAAUAACUUUUAUGCAAAAAAACACUUUGUGCUUUGAAAAUUUUGAGUACUACUUCUUAUUUUUUGUUCUGGACCAGAUUUGCAAUUUGCACUGCAACCAUAUUAUUUUCUUACCCAAAGCUUUUGACAAUUUUACUACUUACACAUGACCUUACAAAACCCUCAAGUCCAGAAUUUCAGCCCCAAUGGUAUUGUUUGAGACCAGGUUAUAACCUCAUUUUGUUUCUGUUCAGGAAUGCACUUUUGUAAAAAUUGCACUAACAAGUUUCUGGUUUUCAAAAACUAACCUUUCCAUCUUUAUUAGAAUCCAAAGAGACCAUGGACUGGUAAAUUUGGUGGCCACAAAACCUCUCUAGAUGCCCAUGGAAUUCUGUCAAGCAUCUUGUGUGGCUAAUCAGAAUUGGCACAGUUUUUAGAUUGCAUUGGAGAUUUUCUUUUUGUGCCCCACUAGCAUGUCUAGCAGAACGUGGUUAAAUCUCUUAGCCACCAUGUGGAGUUUCAACUCAAACCUAAGAACCUAGCCCGCCCUGGCAUUUCGUCGAACACGUGUGUGGCAUGUCUAGAACGCGCCCAGAGCGCCCGUUUUGCUGCCUGCGCAUCCAAGUCGCCGCGUCCCACAUGACCCCGCGCUCUCUGGCCCUUCCCCACUCGCAGAGACGUUCAACACCAUGCCAAGACCCAACCGACUACCCCCUGGCUCCCCGCAGCGCCGCCGCAGCAUCUCCUUGGCGGCAUGCCUGUGACCGCAGCUCGCCCCUGCCAUGGCAGCGCCGUCCCUCCUCUCCCCACUCGCCAGCUGCCUCUGGUGUAGUACCAGAGCUCAUACGCUUUCUCCCAAACUCGCGAGCUAUUGCCACGUCGCCCCAUAGUAACGGUGGCGGCAUGUCUCCGGGCUUAUCAAAUUCGGCCAAAACCGAGUCAAAUUCAAAAGAAAUUCAUAGUUUGCAUUAAAUUUGUACAAUAAGUGAAAUAGAAACAUAAUUAAACAUAAAACUAAAGUAAAAAAACUAGACUACGUCACCGCCGCCCGCCGCUAACGCCCGACGCCGCCGCCUUCUACGUGCCGAGGAGCUUGUAGAAAGUGGUGUAGUCGUCGUCGCUGUCAUCGUCGUUGCCGUCCGCUCCGUCGCCGUCCUUGCUACAUCCCUGCCCUGGGUCGCCGUGGCGAACGGGGUUCGAAGGGGCGCCUCGUCGUCGUUGUCGUCGAGGAUAACCAGGACGCCUUCCUCGCGGCCGCGGCGACGGGCGGCGAUUUCCUCUAGGGUGCGGCGUUGGCGCUCCAUCUUCUCCCGGACAUAGUCGUCCUGCCCAUUUCAGGGCGGCCUCGUCAGCGGCGGUCAUGGCGAGAUGCUCCUGCUUGACGAGCAAGAGCCCCAUCUCCGUCUUCGGGCUGACGAGGCGGGUGGAAGAGCCGGGCUCAUUGAUGACGAUGCCGGUGCUGGCCGUGCGCUGCCCGAGCGGCAUCUUAUGCGACUACGGCUUGACGGGGAGCAACACCGGCAAUCCGGGGGAGCGGGAGUCGGAGCCGCCGGACGAUGCGGACAUCGCCGUCUCCAUCCUCCUCGGUGUCCAGGUGCUGCCGGGGCGACGAGAGAAGGUUGGUGGCGGUGGAUAGUCGUACCUGGGCGUGUUGGCGCCCUCGAUGUGGUCGAGGACGGCCUCCAAGGUUCGGCUGGGGACGCCCCACCAUUGGCGCCGUCCCUUGGAGUUGUGGCGGCCGCGGGGCUUGACCCUGUUGGUGGCGAUGAGCUGGUCGACGUGACAGUGCUCGAAAUACGCCGUCCAUAGCGCAUUGCUAUUGGGGGCGUACGGCGGAAGGUUGCGUGAGCUCUUCGGCAGGCCAGAGCGGAUGCACACGAUCUCUGUACGCCGGUCAGCUCCUAUGGGCGGUGGUGGCACCGAGACGCCGACGGUGCUCAACCUCCAUGACCCCGGCACCCUCAUGUCCGGCGGCAUCGGGUAGUCCGCCUCGUAGAGGAGACGGGCCUCGUCCUCGCGGAGAUGCCAGCGGCCGAAGCCAUUGGUGGCCGUACCGUCGCCGGGGUAGUGUUCGGUCAUCUUUUUCGGGGGAGGAGAGGCGGAGAAGGGGCCGGUGCUGGAGAAGAAGAGAAGAGAGCAUCAACGGGAGAGGUGUGCGGCCACCGGCGGGGGGAGCACACCUUAUAUAGCCGCGGGCGGGUGGGCACGUGGAGAGACGAUGUGUGAACGCGUUGUUGGAAAUAUGCCCUAGAGGCAAUAAUAAAUUAGUUAUUAUUAUAUUUCUUAGUUCAUGAUAAUCGUUUAUUAUCCAUGCUAUAAUUGUAUUGAUUGGAAACACAAUACUUGUGUGGAUACAUAGACAAAACACUGUCCCUAGUAAGCCUCUAGUUGACUAGCUCGUUGAUCAAAGAUGGUCAAGGUUUCCUGGCCAUAGGCAAGUGUUGUCACUUGAUAACGGGAUCACAUCAUUAGGAGAAUCAUGUGAUGGACUAGACCCAAACUAAUAGACGUAGCAUGUUGAUCGUGUCAUUUUGUUGCUACUGUUUUCUGCGUGUCAAGUAUUUAUUCCUAUGACCAUGAGAUCAUAUAACUCACUGACACCGGAGGAAUGCUUUGUGUGUAUCAAACGUCGCAACGUAACUGGGUGACUAUAAAGAUGCUCUACAGGUAUCUCCGAAGGUGUUAGUUGAGUUAGUAUGGAUCAAGACUGGGAUUUGUCACUCCGUGUGAACGGAGAGGUAUCUCGGGGCCCACUCGGUAAUACAACAUCACACACAAGCCUUGCAAGCAAUGUAACUUAGUGUAAGUUGCGGGAUCUUGUAUUACGGAACGAGUAAAGAGACUUGCCAGUAAACGAGAUUGAAAUAGGUAUACGGAUACUGACGAUCGAAUCUCGGGCAAGUAACAUACCGAAGGACAAAGGGAAUGACAUACGGGAUUAUAUGAAUCCUUGGCACUGAGGUUCAAACGAUAAGAUCUUCGUAGAAUAUGUAGGAUCCAAUAUGGGCAUCCAGGUCCCGCUAUUGGAUAUUGACCGAGGAGUCUCUCGGGUCAUGUCUACAUAGUUCUCGAACCCGCAGGGUCUGCACACUUAAGGUUCGACGUUGUUUUAUGCGUAUUUGAGUUAUAUGGUUGGUUACCGAAUGUUGUUCGGAGUCCCGGAUGAGAUCACGGACGUCACGAGGGUUUCCGGAAUGGUCCGGAAACGAAGAUUGAUAUAUAGGAUGACCUCAUUUGNNNNNNNNNNNNNNNNNNNNNNNNNNNNNNNNNNNNNNNNNNNNNNNNNNNNNNNNNNNNNNNNNNNNNNNNNNNNNNNNNNNNNNNNNNNNNNNNNNNNNNNNNNNNNNNNNNNNNNNNNNNNNNNNNNNNNNNNNNNNNNNNNNNNNNNNNNNNNNNNNNNNNNNNNNNNNNNNNNNNNNNNNNNNNNNNNNNNNNNNNNNNNNNNNNNNNNNNNNNNNNNNNNNNNNNNNNNNNNNNNNNNNNNNNNNNNNNNNNNNNNNNNNNNNNNNNNNNNNNNNNNNNNNNNNNNNNNNNNNNNNNNNNNNNNNNNNNNNNNNNNNNNNNNNNNNNNNNNNNNNNNGUUUCUGCGGAGCUCGGGCGGAGCCCUGCUGAGACAAGGUCAUCACCAACCUCCGGAGCGCCGUCACGCUGCCGGAGAACUCUUCUACCUCUCCGUCUCUCUUGCUGGAUCAAGAAGGCCGAGAUCAUCGUCGAGCUGUACGUGUGCUGAACGCGGAGGUGCCGUCCGUUCGGUACUAGAUCGUGGGACUGAUCGCGGGAUUGUUCGCGGGGCGGAUCGAGGGACGUGAGGACGUUCCACUACAUCAACCGCGAUCUCUAAUCGCUUCUGCUGUACGAUCUACAAGGGUACGUAGAUCACUCAUCCCCUCUCGUAGAUGGACAUCACCAUGAUAGGUCUUCGUGCGCGUAGGAAAAUUUUUGUUUCCCAUGCGACGUUCCCCAACAGUGGUAUCAGAGCUAGGUUCAUGCGUAGAUGUCUUCUCGAGUAGAACACAAAAGGUUUUGUGGGCGGUGAUGUGCGUUUUUCUGCCCUCCUUAGUUUUUCUUGAUUUCGCGGUAUUGUUGGAUUGAAGCGUCUUGGACCGACAUUACUCGUACGCUUACGAGAGACUGGUUUCAUCGUUACGAGUAACCCCCUUUGCUCAAAGAUGACUGGCAAGUGACGGUUUCUCCAACUUUAGUUGAAUCGGAUUUGACCGAGGAGGUCCUUGGAUGAGGUUAAAUAGCAACUCAUAUAUCUCCGUUGUGGUGUUUGCGUAAGUAAGAUGCGAUCCUACUAGAUACCCAUGGUCACCACGUAAAACAUGCAACAACAAAAUUAGAGGACGUCUAACUUGUUUUUGCAGGGUAUGCUUGUGAUGUGAUAUGGCCAAUGAUGUGAUGUGAUAUAUUGGAUGUAUGAGAUGAUCAUGUUGUAAUAGAAAUAUCGACUUGCACGUCGAUGGUACGGCAACCGGCAGGAGCCAUAGGGUUGUCUUUAUACUAACAUAUGUGCUUGCAGAUGCGUUUACUAUUUUGCUAGGAUGUAGCUUUACUAGUAAUAGCAUAAGUAGCACGACAACCCCGAUGGCAACACGUUGAUGGAUGAUCAUGGUGUGGCGCCGGUGACAAGAAGAUCGUGCCGGUGCUUUGGCGAUGGAGAUCAAGAAGCACGUGAUGAUGGCCAUAUCAUGUCACUUAUAAAUUGCAUGUGAUGUUAAUCCUUUUAUGCACCUUAUUUUGCUGAGAACGACGGUAGCAUUAUGAGGUGAUCUCUCACUAAAGUUUCAAGACGAAAUUGUGUUCUCCCCGACUGUGCACCGUUGCUACAGUUCGUCGUUUCGAGACACCACGUGAUGAUCGGGUGUGAUAGACUCAACGUUCACAUACAACGGGUGCAAAACAGUUGCGCACGCGGAACCCUCGGGUUAAGCUUGACGAGCCUAGCAUGUGCAGACAUGGCCUCGGAACACAUGAGACCGAAAGGUCGAGCAUGAAUCGUAUAGUUGAUAUGAUUAGCAUAGAGAUGCUUACCACUGAAACUAUUCUUGACUCACGUGAUGAUCGGACUUGAGAUAGUGGAUUUGGAUCAUGUACCACUCAAAUGACUAGAGAGAUGUACUUUUUGAGUGGGAGUUCUUAAGUAAUAUGAUUAAUUGAACUAAUUGUCAUGAACAUAGUCUAAUGGUCUUUGCGAAUUACGAUGUAGCUUGCGCUAUAGCUCUACUGUUUUUAUAUGUUCCUAGAGAAAAUUUAGUUGAAAAUUGAUAGUAGCAAAACUUUGCAGACUGGGUCUGUAAAACUGAGGAUUGUCCUCGUUGCUGCACAGAAGGCUUAUGUCCUUAAUGCACCACUCGGUAUGAUGCACCUCGAGCGUCGUCUGUGGAUGCUAUGAACAUCAGACAUACACUUUUCUGAUGACUACACGAUAGUUCAGUGCAAAAUACUUAAUGGCUUAGAAGCAAGGCGCCGAAAACGUUUUGAAACGUCAUGGAACAUAAGUGAUGUUCCAAAGAGAUGAAAUUGCGAUUUCAUGCUUGUGCCCUUGUUAAUAGGUACGAGACCUCCAACAAGAUUCUUUGUCCACAAAGUAAAUAAGAAAAGCUCAAUCGUUGAGCGUGUGCUCAGAUUGUCUGAGUACGACAAUCACUUGAAUCAAGUGGGAGUUAAUCUUCCAGAUGAGAUGGUGAUGGUUCUCCAAAGUCACUGCCACCAAGCUGUGAGAGCUUCGUGAUGAACUAUAACAUAUCAAGGAUAGAUACAAUGAUCCUUGAGCGAUUCGUGAUGUUUGACACUGCGAAAGUAGAAAUCAAGAAGGAGCAUCAAUAGUUGAUGGUUUGUAAAACCACUAAGUUUCAAGAAAGGCAAGGGCUAGAAGGGAUACUUCGUGAAACGGCAAAACAGUUGCUGCACUAAUGAAGAGACCCAAGAUUAAACCCAAACCCGAGACUAAGUGCUUCUGUAAUGAGGGGAACAGUCACUGAGGCGGAGCAACUCUAGAUACUUGGUAGAUAAGAAAGCUGGCAAAAGUCGAAAGAAGUAUAUUUUAUAUACAUGAUGUUGAUGUGUACUUUUCUAGUACUCCUAGUAGCAUGAGGGUAUUGGAUACCGGUUCGGUUGCUAAGUGAUUAGUAACACGAAAUGAAAGCUACGGCAUAAACGGAGACUAGCUAAAGGCGAGGUGACGAUACGUGUUGGAAAUGUUUCCAAGGUUGAUAUGAUCAGACGUCGCACGCUCCCUCUACCAUCGGGAUUGGUGUUAAACUUAACUAAUUGUUAUUUGGUGCUUGCGUUAAGCAUGAACAUGAUUGGAUCGUGUUUAUUGCAAUACGAUUAUUCAUUUAAAGAGAAUAAUGGUUACUCUAUUUUCUUGAAUAUUCACCUUCAAUGGUUUAUUGAAUCUCGAUCGUAGUGUUACACAUGUUCAUAAUAUUGGUGCCAAAAGAUACGAGUUAAUGAUGAUAGUACCACUUACUUGUGGCACUGCCGCUUAAGUCAUGUUAGUAUAAAUUGCAUGAAGAGGCUCCAUGCUGAUGGAUCUUUGUACUCACCUGAUUUCGAAUCACUAGUGACAUGCAAAUCAUACCACAUGAGCAAGGCCUUGUUUUCAUUGAGAUGAAACAAGAUAGUAACUUGUUGGAAGUGAUACAUUUUGAUGUAUGCAGUCCAAUAGGUGCUGAGGCACGUAGUGGAUAUCAUUGUGUUCUUACUUCAAUGAUGAUUUGAGUAGAUACUAGAGUAUUUACUUAAUGAAUCACAAGUCUGAAAUAUUGAAAAGUUCAAUUCUGUUUCGGAGUGAAGUUCGUCGUAACAAGAGGAUAAAUUGUCUACGAUAUGAUCAUAGAAAUGAAUAUCUGAGUUACGAGUUUUGGUACGCAGUUAAGACAAUGUGGAAAUUGUUUCGCAGUUCAUGCCACUUGGAACAUCAUAGUGUGAUGAUGUGUCUGAACAUCAUAGCCAUGCACUAUUUGGAAUGGUGCAUACUAUGAUGUCUCUUAUCGAAUUACCACUAUCGUUUAUGGGUUAUGCAUUAGAGACAACAACACUCACUUUAAAUAGGGCACCGCGUAUUUCCGUUGAGAUGACACAGUAUAGACUGAGGUUUAGAGAAAUCUAAACUGUCGUUUCUUGAAAGUUUGGGGUUUCGACACUUAUGUGAAAAAGUUUCAGUCUGAUAAGCUCGAACCCAAAGCGGAUAAAUGCUUCUUCAUAGGGUAUCCAAAACAGUUGGGUACAUCUCCUAUCUCAGAUCCGAAAGCAAAGUGUUUGUUUCUAGAAACGGAUCCUUUCUCGAGGAAAGGUUUCUCUCGAAAGAAUUGAGUGGGAGGGUAGUAGAACUUGAUAAGGUUAUUGAACCAUCACUUCAACCAGUGUGUAGCAGGGCGCAGGAAGUUGUUCCUGUGGCGCCUACACCAAUUGAAGUGGAAGCUGAUGAUGGUGAUCAUUGAAGCUUCGAAUCAAGUUACUACAAACCUCGUAGGUCGACAAGGUCGCGUACUGCUGCAGAGUAGUACGGUAACCAUGUCUUGGAGGUCAUGUUGUUGAGCAACAGUGAAUCUACGAGUUAUGGAGAAAGCGAUGGUGGGCCCAGAUUCCGACAAAUGGCUGGAAGCCAUGAAAUCCGAGAGAGGAUCCAUGGAUGAAAACGAAGUGUAGACUUUGGAAGAAUUACUUGAUGGUCAUAGGACUAUUGAGUAAAGAUGGAUCUUUAAAGGAAAACAGACGAUGAUGGUGAUAAGUCACUAUUAAGAAAAGCUCGACUAGUCGCAAAGAUGUUUUCGACAAGAUCAAAUGGUUGACUAUGAUGAGACUUUCUCACUCGUAGCGAUGCUAAAGGUCUGUUAGAAUUAUGUUAGUUGUUGAUGCAUUAUUUAUGAAAUAUUGCACGUAGGAUGUCAAAACAUUGUUUCCUCGACGGUUUCCUUGAGCAAACAUUGUAUGUGAUACAACCAGGAGGUUUUGUCGAUCCUAAAGAUACUAGCAAGUAUGCAAGUUCCAGCGAUCCUUCAAUGGACUGGUGCAAGCAUCUCGGAGUUGGAAUAUAUAUACUUUGAUGAGAUGAUCAAAGAUUUUGGGUUUGUACAAGGUUUAUGAGAAACUUGUAUUUCCAAAGAAGUGAGUGGGAGCACUAUAGAAUUUCUGAUAGGUAUAUGUGGUUGACAUAUUGUGGAUCAGAAGUAAUGUAGAAUUUCUGUAAAGCAUACAAGGUUGUUUGAAAGAAGUUUUCAAAGGAGUACCUGGAUUACGCUACUUGAACGUUGAGCAUCAAAGAUCUAUGGAGAUAGAUCAAAAGCGCUUAAUAGAAGUUUCAACAAGAUGCAUGCCUUGACAAGUUUUUGAAGGAGUUCAAAAUAGAUCAGUAAAGAAGGAGUUCUUGGUUGCAUUGUAAGGUGUGAAUUUGAGUAAGACUCAAAACCCGACCACGGCAGAAUAAAGAGAAUAGACGAAGGUCGUCUUCUAUGCCUUAGCCGUAGAAUCUAAAGUAUGCCAUGCUGUGUACCGCACCUGAUGUGUGCCUUGACUCAAAGUCUGUUGAGAGGUACAGAGAGUGAUCCAUGAUUGAAUCACUAGCAGCGGUCGAAAUUUAUCCUUAGUAACUAAUGGACUAAGGAAUUUUUCUCGAUUAUGGAGGUGGUUAAAGAGUUUGUCGUAAAGGGUUACGUCAAUGCAAGCUUUGACACUAAUCCGGAUAACUAUGAGUAGUGAAACGGAUUCGUAUAGUAGAGUAGAUAUUUGGAGCAUUUCCGAAUAGCACGUAGUAGCAGCAUCUAUAAGAUGACAUAAAGAUUUGUAAAGAACGCACGAAUCUGAAAGUUUCAGAACCGUUGACUAAAACCUCUCUCACGAGCAAGACGUGAUCAGACCCCAUAACUAUAUGGGUGUUGGAUUCGUUGGAAUCACAUGGUGAUGUGAACUAGAUUAUUGACUCUAGUGCAAGUGGGAGACUGUUGGAAAUAUGCCCUAGAGGCAAUAAUAAAUUAGUUAUUAUUAUAUUUCUUAGUUCAUGAUAAUCGUUUAUUAUCCAUGCUAUAAUUGUAUUGAUUGGAAACACAAUACUUGUGUGGAUACAUAGACAAAACACUGUCCCUAGUAAGCCUCUAGUUGACUAGCUCGUUGAUCAAAGAUGGUCAAGGUUUCCUGGCCAUAGGCAAGUGUUGUCACUUGAUAACGGGAUCACAUCAUUAGGAGAAUCAUGUGAUGGACUAGACCCAAACUAAUAGACGUAGCAUGUUGAUCGUGUCAUUUUGUUGCUACUGUUUUCUGCGUGUCAAGUAUUUAUUCCUAUGACCAUGAGAUCAUAUAACUCACUGACACCGGAGGAAUGCUUUGUGUGUAUCAAACGUCGCAACGUAACUGGGUGACUAUAAAGAUGCUCUACAGGUAUCUCCGAAGGUGUUAGUUGAGUUAGUAUGGAUCAAGACUGGGAUUUGUCACUCCGUGUGAACGGAGAGGUAUCUCGGGGCCCACUCGGUAAUACAACAUCACACACAAGCCUUGCAAGCAAUGUAACUUAGUGUAAGUUGCGGGAUCUUGUAUUACGGAACGAGUAAAGAGACUUGCCAGUAAACGAGAUUGAAAUAGGUAUACGGAUACUGACGAUCGAAUCUCGGGCAAGUAACAUACCGAAGGACAAAGGGAAUGACAUACGGGAUUAUAUGAAUCCUUGGCACUGAGGUUCAAACGAUAAGAUCUUCGUAGAAUAUGUAGGAUCCAAUAUGGGCAUCCAGGUCCCGCUAUUGGAUAUUGACCGAGGAGUCUCUCGGGUCAUGUCUACAUAGUUCUCGAACCCGCAGGGUCUGCACACUUAAGGUUCGACGUUGUUUUAUGCGUAUUUGAGUUAUAUGGUUGGUUACCGAAUGUUGUUCGGAGUCCCGGAUGAGAUCACGGACGUCACGAGGGUUUCCGGAAUGGUCCGGAAACGAAGAUUGAUAUAUAGGAUGACCUCAUUUGGUUACCGGAAGGUUUUCGUGCAUUACCGGAAAAGUUUCGGGCUCAUCGGUAGUGUACCGGGAGUGCCGGGAGGGGUGCCGGGGACCAUCGGGAGGGGUGUCACGCCCCAAGGGAUCUCAUGGGCUAUGGGAAGAGAUAAACCAGCCCCUAGUGGGCUGGAAUAAGUUCCCACUAAGGCCCAUAAGGUUUGAGAAGGAAAAAACACAAGGUGGAAAGAGUUUCCAAGUGGGAAGGUGGAAUCCUACUCCAAGUAGGAUUGGAGUAGGACUCCUCCACCUCCAAUUUCGGCCAAACCUUUAGGUUUUGAGGCUGCCUCCUCCCCUCCCUCCCACCUAUAUAUACGGAGGUUUUAGGGCUGAUUUGAGACGACUUUCUCACGGCUGCCCGACCACAUACCUCCAUAGUUUUUCCUCUAGAUCGUGUUUCUGCGGAGCUCGGGCGGAGCCCUGCUGAGACAAGAUCAUCACCAACCUCCGGAGCGCCGUCACGCUGCCGGAGAACUCUUCUACCUCUCCGUCUCUCUUGCUGGAUCAAGAAGGCCGAGAUCAUCGUCGAGCUGUACGUGUGCUGAACGCGGAGGUGCCGUCCGUUCGGUACUAGAUCGUGGGACUGAUCGCGGGAUUGUUCGCGGGGCGGAUCGAGGGACGUGAGGACGUUCCACUACAUCAACCGCGAUCUCUAAUCGCUUCUGAUGUACGAUCUACAAGGGUACGUAGAUCACUCAUCCCCUCUCGUAGAUGGACAUCACCAUGAUAGGUCUUCGUGCGCGUAGGAAAAUUUUUGUUUCCCUUGCGACAUUCCCCAACACGCGUGGCAGAAGCCGCCGAGACGCACGUCGCCGCGCGCCUUCACUGAGCUGCCCGUGAGGAAUCAAUGAAAGGCUGAACGGCGGAGUAGCCUUCACAUUGAUUCCCGCGGGAAACGAGGCGACGAGAACGACGACCGCGUGCCCAGUCGCUGCAUCGCUGACUCGGCGGUGCCACGUUUUUCGCGCCAAAAACGUUUCCGCCGGCGCCCCCGAGCGACCUCCAGCGCGCUGGGUUCGGGUUGGGACUGCCGGGGAAAAUUUUGGCUCGAGUCGGCGAAAAACAGGCUCCUGGGGGCACGACUGGGCCGUUUUUCACCCGCCGAUGGAAAAAAUGGCCCGGGGAGGCUUGUUGGGGACGCGGAUGGAGAUGCUCUAAGGCGGAGCUGCACCGUGCGAUAGCAGGAGCCGGUGGGCUUGAGCUCCACCGCGCCGGAGGGCCAGGAGCAGCAGUCAACGGGCUCGAUCUCCACCAUGCCGAAGGGCCAGGAGCAGCAGUCGACGGGCUCAAGCUCCACCAUGCCGAAGGGAUAGGACUAGCAGUUGCUCCGGGCUCGAGUUUCACCGCGCUAGAGGGCCAGGAGCAGCAGCGGCAGACUCGAGCUCCAUCAUGCCGCACACCAGAGUGAGCAGGAGCCGCGCCGGCCGCGUACAUGCGCGAGCGGCGGCCGCGCUAGCCACACACCAGAGAAAGAAGCAGCUAUGCCCGCCAGACGGGCGCGAGCAGCUGUGCCGUUGGCCGCGCUCACCAUCCAUCCUGGCCUCACGCGGCGCGGCGGACCUCACCGGCGUGAACGGCUACGGAGCAGAGGAGGCUGCCCGCGGAGAGCACCUCGCCGUUGGCGGUCGGGGAUGUGGAGUGUCGUGGAAUCCGUCAUGGAUGGAUCUUGGAGGUCCACCAUCAUGGUCUCUCCGACGAGCACCAACAGGAAUGGCGGCAGCCACAAGGAGCCCGUUCGGAGGGGCGACGACCGAAGCUCAACCUCCCGCAACAUGUCGUUCGGCAGCCGGUGCCGCAACCUACCCCUGCCUCCCGACGCAGUGUUGCUCCGACAACCUCGCACAAGUAGAAAACAGGGCUUUGGUCAAGCCGAUGAAAGUGCUUUAAUCCCGGUUCUAUUAUGAACCAGCAUUGCAGGGGGGAUAACCCCGGGGUAGGCUCAUCGAGCCUACUCCUUUGACUCCUGCCAUGAAGGAACAACACGAAUCAUUCUACAAAAGCCCAAGUCCCCCUAGCCGGCUAGGAAGCACCUGCCGGCUCGGGGCAAGACGGCCAAUUCUCUCUGGCCGGCCAGGAAGCUCGUGCCGGCUAGAGGCGAGACGACUACCUCCCUCUGGCCGUCUAGGCCAAGCCAGCCGGCUAGAGGCGAGGCGGCCGUGCCUAGGCCAGCUAGUUAAGAAACUAGCCGGCUAGGGAACUCAAGUCACAUCAGAAUGUAGGUCAUGACGAGACCCUACGGUUAAAGGUGGCUACGCGUCAGCCAAGGUAAUGGAUUGGAGCACACGGUAGGUACAAACAUCGAUGACCAUGCCGCUGACCUACUCCGGCUCCGAUCCAUCAUCCUGCACAGUGUCGGCCUGUCAAAUUCCCACUCCAUUACUGCACUCGGCGUGGGAACAGUGGAGACGGCCGUACUGGCGGCCCAUGACGAAUCUCGCAAGAGGACGCCGGACGUACUACACGUGUCCUGCAUCAAUGAUGACCCACAAGUAUAGGGGAUCUAUCGUAGUCCUUUCGAUAAGUAAGAGUGUCGAACCCAACGAGGAGAAGAAGGAUCUGACAAGUGGUUUUCACCAAGGUAUUCUGUGCAAGCACUGAAAUUAUCGGUAACAAAUAGUUGUGUGAUAAGAUGAUUCGUAGCAAGUAGCAAGUAGAAAAAGUAACAACGGUGUAGCAAAGUGGCCCGAUCCCUUUUGUAGCAAGGGACAAGCCUGGAGAAACUAUUAUAGGAGGUAGAGCGCUCCUGAGGACACAUGGGAAUGUCUGUCAAACUAGUUUUCAUAUGAUUCACGUUCGCUACUUUGAUAGUUUGAUAUGUGGGUGGACGGGUGCUUGGGUGCUGCCCUUACUUGGACAAACCUCCCACUUAUGAUUAACCCCUCUCGCAAGCAUCCUCAACUACGAAAGAAGAAUUAAGACAAAGUCUAACCAUAGCAUUAAACUAGUGGAUGCAAAUCAGCCCCUUACGAAGCAACGCAUAAACUAGGGUUUAAGCUUGUGUCACUCUAGCAAUCCAUCAUCUACUUACUACUUCCCAAUGCCUUCCUCUAGGACCAAAUAAUGGUGAAGUGUUAUGUAGUGGAUGUUCACAUAACAUCACUAGAGGAGAGACAACAUACAAUACAUCAAAAUAUCGAACGAAUACCAAAUUCACAUGACUAAUUAUAGCAAGACUUAUCCCAUGUCCUCAGGAACAAAAGUGACUACUCACAAAGCAUAAUCAUACCAAACUAGCGAGAAUAGUCCAAAACUGUGAUUUUUGACGAGUUCCACGUAACCAGACCCCUGGGUUCCCGAAACGUUCGGAUCGCAGCGGGACUCAAAAUCAGUGACUAAUAGCAUAUAAAACCGGCCAUAAUAGGCCAAAACUGCGAGUUUUCUAGACUUCCACGUAACCGGACCCCGGGGUUCCCGAAACGUUCUGAUCGUAGCGGGUCCCAAAAUCAGUGAGUAAUAGCAUGCAAAACUGGCCAAAAUAGACCAAAACUGCUAGUUUUGACGAGUUCGCCGUAACCGGACCCAAGGGUUCCCGAAACAUUCGGAUCACACCGGAACCCAAAAUCAGUGACUAAUAGCGUAGAAAACGGGUCGGAAUAGGCCAAAACUACGAGUUUUGACGAGUUCGCCGUAACCGGACCCAAGGGUUCCCGAAACAUUCGGAUCACACCGGAACCCAAAAUCAGUGACUAAUAGCGUAGAAAACGGGUCGGAAUAGGCCAAAACUACGAGUUUUGACGAGUUCCCCGUAAGUGGAUCUCGGGGUUCCCGAAACGUUUGGAUCGCGGCAGUAUCCAAAAUCAGUAAGUAAUAGCAUACAAAAUUAGCCAGAAUAGGCCAAAACUGCGAGUUUUGAAGAGUUCCACGUAACCGGACCCCGGGAUUCACGAAACGUUUGGCUCGCAGCGGGACCCAAAAUAACUAAGUAAUAGCAUACGAAACCGGCCAGAAUAGGCUAAAACUACGCUUUUUGACGAAUUCCCCGUAACCGGACCCCGGGGUUCCCGAAACGUUUGGAUCACAAGAGUUUUGAAGAGUUCCCCGUAACCGGACCCAAGGGUUCCCGAAACAUUCGGAUCACACCGGAACCCAAAAUCAGUGACUAAUAGCAUAGAAAACGGGUCGGAAUAGGCCAAAACUGCGAGUUUUGACGAGUUCCCUGUAAGUGGAUCUCGGGGUUCCCAAAACGUUCGGAUCGCGGCGGGAUCCAAAAUCAGUGAGUAAUAGCAUUAAAAACAACCCAGAAUAGGCCAAAACUGCAAGUUUUGACGAGUUCCCCGUAACCGGGCCCAGGGGUUCCCGAAACUUUCGGAUCACAAGAAUUUUGACGAGUUCCCCUUAACCGGACCCAAGGGUUCCCGAAACAUUCGGAUCACAAGGAACCCAAAAUCAGUAACUAAUAGCAUAGAAAACUGGUCGGAAUAGGCCAAAAUAGCGAGUUUUGACGAGUUCCCCGUAAGUGGAUCUCGGGGUUCCAGAAACGUUCGGAUCUCAGCGGGAUCCAAAAUCUAUGAGUAAUAGCAUACAAAACUAGCCAGAAUAGGCCAAAACUGCGAGUUUUGACGAGUUCCACGUNNNNNNNNNNNNNNNNNNNNNNNNNNNNNNNNNNNNNNNNNNNNNNNNNNNNNNNNNNNNNNNNNNNNNNNNNNNNNNNNNNNNNNNNNNNNNNNNNNNNNNNNNNNNNNNNNNNNNNNNNNNNNNNNNNNNNNNNNNNNNNNNNNNNNNNNNNNNNNCGUAACCGGACCCCGGGGUUCCCGAAACGUUUGGCUCGCAGCGGGACCCAAAAUCACUUAGUAAUAGCAUACACAACCGUCCAAAAUAGGCCAAAACUGCGCUUUUUGACGAGUUCCCCAUAACCGGACCCCCGGAUUCCCGAAACUUUCAGAGCACAAGAGUUUUGACGAGUUCCCCGUAACCGGACCCAAGGGUUCCCGAAACAUUCGGAUCACAACGGAACCCAAAAUCAGUAACUAAUAGAAUAGAAAACUCGUCGGAAUAGGCCAAAACUGCGAGUUUUGACGAGUUCCCCGUAAGUGGAUCUCGGGGUUCCCGAAACGUUCGAAUCGCAACGGGAUCCUAAAUCAGUGAGUAAUAGCAUACAGAACUAGCCAGAAUAGGCCAAAACUGCGAGGUUUGACGUUCCACGUAACCAGACCACGGGGUUACCGAAACAUUCAGAUCGCAGCGGGACCCAAAAUCAGUGACUAAUAGCAUACAAAACUGGCCGGAAUAGGCUAAAACUACGAGGUUUGACGAGUUCCACGUAACCGGACCCCGGGGUUACCAAAACAUUGGGAUCACAACGGAACCCAAAAUCAGUGACUAGUAGCAUAGAAAACUGGUUAGAAUAGGCCAAAACUGCGAGUUUUGACGAAUUNNNNNNNNNNNNNNNNNNNNNNNNNNNNNNNNNNNNNNNNNNNNNNNNNNNNNNNNNNNNNNNNNNNNNNNNNNNNNNNNNNNNNNNNNNNNNNNNNNNNGAGGGCGGGCGCCGGAGGGCGGGCGAGGGCGGGCGACCGAGGGCGGGCUCUGGUGUACAGCGAGGCGAGGGCGGGCGCCGGCCGGCGCCGGCGGCGCAGUCCCGGCUGGCCACGGGAAAACCUAGCGCCGCCCUUGCUCCAUCCCGUGUGGCUGUGUGCUGCGGGAAAAAAUGGCUAAGGAAAAAAACUGAACGGGGGAUUUGCACGUUUAUAUGGGAGGGGCAUUUUUGCUUGGGAGUGAUUCACCGGGGGAGGAAGCUGUGGAAGCUGCUCGGGACCAGCUUCUCCUUUUGCAUGUAAAAAAGUUGCAGCUGCAGUCAAACUUCUCCCAGAAGCUGGCUGUUUGGUUGGGCUGCUGGCUUCAAAGCUGGGGAAGCUGCUAAAAAUCUCAACCAAACACCCUCUAAAUUUGCCCAUCUGAAUGAUACUCCCUCCGUAAACUAAUAUAAGAACAUUUACAACACCACGUUAGCAAUCUAAACGCUCUUAUAUUAGUUUACAGAGAGAGUAACAUUCAUCGUCAUUUUCCCCGUUAAUGAAAUGUGAAGAAUUCAGAUCACCAGGCAUUCUAACCCAUUGCAUAGACACACGAAUACCAGUUACAACGCAUCGUCUGUGCCUGUACUCUGUACUGUGUUUCUCUCUAAAAAAAUUUGCAACAAAUUAUUCUUAAACAGGGAAUUAUAGGUCCAUCUGAACAUGAUGCAGCUACCAAAUCACUCCCUCCGUAAAAACAAAAAACAUAAGAGCGUUUAGAUCGCUAAAGAUGUGCUCACUGCUCAGCAAGGGCAUCUGAUGGAUGUAUAUUAGCAUAACACCAACAACAUACGAAUUGCUACGGUAUUCACCCUGCAAAUGAUUAGGCAACUAGAAUUGCUUCAGACAAGGUAAAAAAGAAGUGUUCAUAGCUCACCAGUGGUUGCCUGAUGGAGGUAGCAUGCAUAACACAAACAGCAGAUGAUGUGCAUUCUCCAGCUACUUACGCUAGUGUCGUGGAGAUAAACCAAUGGCCAAAUCAGUACUGAAAUGAUAGAGUCUUUAUUCAGGUGGACACACAUUCUUAUAUGUACACACGAACGACGACAACCGGUCUGAUUCAUAUGGUUGCACAGAUAAUAGAUAGAUAAGCAGGCAUGGUUCUUGGUCUAGGGAGCAGCUACAUGGUUUGCAGUGCCAGGGAAGGGAACGACGAUUAGCACUAGUAAUAUUUACAGUCAUGUCAUGUCUGCCUGCCUAAUCAACUUGAUCCUGCAUUGUCUUGCAAGGUCACACGGCGCCCUGGUCGUCGUCCUCGCUGGAGCUUAUGCGAGCGUCGUGCUCGGCCCACAGCUGGAUGCGGUCGGGAGGGCCGCCUCCGCCCGAGUGGAUCUUGCACCUGCACAUCACCCAAAGAAAUGGGGAAUGAUUUCAAACUAGCUAGUUUGGUUUGUUAGGCAUGGUUAACAGGGUAGUAGGGUAGCAUAAGACUAUGAUGGCAGCAGUAGCAUCUUCUGUAUAAGGAGUAACAUGUAUAAGGAGCAGAGUGUGACCGACCUCUCGAGGAUGAACUUGCCCUCCUUAUACCUCUGGUCCUUCUCAAACGCAGAGACCUGACAAGCACACAGGUAACCAUGGCCAGAUUGAGCGCUCACACAGGCUAGACAAACCAUGAAAUGAAGAGGAUGGAUCAUUGUUACGCUUACGUAUUUCCAGCCGAGGAUGGCUCCGCAUGCGACGCAGAAGAUGUCGCGGACGGUGUGCAGGCCGGUGGUCAUCAUCCGGUCGUCCUCGCUCUCUCCGGCCACCACGUUCACGCUGAAUGAAUGAUAACGCAGCAGCAGCAGCCGUGUUACAGACAAGAACAACAGAGCACACGGUAAAUGAAAUGAAACAGAGCAUGGAGCAGAGAGCAGAGGUGAGGUCGAUGGUGGAUAAAAACGGAGCAAGAUUGAGGCAUGGUGGGCAUGGCGAUGGAUGACUUACACCUUGUCGAAGAGGUAGGCCUUGCCGUGCUUGCAGCGGAACAUCUGGACGGGGAGACAAAGAAUGGAUGUUAAGCAGCAAGAAACAAGAAUGGAUGGGAGGGGGAGACGGCGGAGGACCUUGGAGAUGAUGUGCUGGGCGUAGGCGAGGUGGGAGUCGCAGUGCUUGCAGCGGUAGAUGGUGCCGGUCGCCGGCGCCAGGCUCGUCAGGAACAGCCGCCCCAUCGCCCGAUCCGCUCUUCUCUUCUAUACUCUUCGCUUCUUUCUUGCUCCCCCUCCGGCUGUCGAUCGGCCGGCUGUCGAUCUGCCGGCGGUCCGCGGCUGCCGGAGAAGAGGAGAGGGAGAGCGGCGCGAUCCGAUCCCGGCGACGGAAUGGGGAAAAGUGUAGUGGAGUGCAAGUAAAUGCUUGUAAAUUUGUGGGGAAGGAAGGAAGGAGACGACGGGAAUUUUCACCGGGCGGAGUGACGGUUUUGCCCACCACGCCACCGCACCCCCACCGCUCUACACGUGCCGUCCCACGAUUUGGUCCUUUCCUUUUUCUAACAUACUCCCUCCGUCAUGAAAUACUAGUCCUAGAGAUGAAUAUAUCUAGAUUUAUUUUAGUUAUAGAUACCUUCAUUAUAUCCAUUUCUGUGACAAGUAUUUUCAGACGGAGGGAGUAUUACACAUGCAAGCGCUCGUAUGCAUACAUACAUGCGCAUACACUUAUUACACCCACGAACAUAAACGCAUAUACUAUCUUUACGAGCAUCUUCAAGAUAGUGUAAUACGAUUUGGUCUCACAAGUUAAAAAGAUACUGUAAUAAUACAAUCCUUAUACAUGUGAAUACAUAACACUAUACGGUUCCCUCGAUGUUAGUACGUCUUAGUGCCGCUAUGUGGUGUCGUGCUUUUUCGGAUGAUCCCCUCGCGUUUUUGUGGAAACAACAUGUGCUCCCCCAGUCCAUGCGCCAUGCCACCUGGUCUCCUGGCCCACUUGUCAUCCUCCCGCGUGGAGUAGUCAAAUCGACACAACCUUAUAGUAAGCCAGUAGCCUUCAGUCCACCACUCCGAGCGAGCCGCCUCCUGCAUCACCAAUACUCUUGCUCCAUCUCUUUCUCCCCUCCCUCAAACCUGUCACCCGGGAUCCUUCUCACCCUUACCAAUCGAUAUGCAGACGUCGCCGUCGAACUUCAAUUUGUAAUGGAGAUCACUCCUUCGUUGACACAGCUCGUUCAGGUGGUUGCUAGCGAUGCGGAGAAGCUCUCACGCUCGCGCGAGAUAUGCUCGUGGUUCACUCACCUAGCGAUGCUCUACAAGGAUGCCGUCGGCAUCGCCGUUUGUCUCAAAGGCAAGGAGAAGGCAUGCAUGCGACCUAACCGCUCUCUUCCGGUGGAGUACCUCUGCUGGGUGAUUAUGGAGGUGGAGAGCGACGGUCUGGUACAGAGGUACCGCUAGAGGGCAUACAAAUCAACUCACGCCGAUGGCGUCGGGUGGGACGCAUACGUCGGCGCGGGUCAUGCGGCUGGCCCAACGCGGGUCAUGGCGAGGGCGGCUAGGGCCACGACGUUGGUCAUGCCGAUGCGGCUCUAGACAUUUGGUCAUGCCGAUGUGGCUCUAGACAUGUAUACGAUUUAGUCUUUUUUUUCCUAACAUAUUACACACGCAAGUGCUCACAUACAUACAUGCGCAUACACUUAUUACACCUAUGAACAUAAACGCAUAUACUAUCCUUAUGAGCAUCUUCAAGAUAUUGUAAUACGAUUUGGUCUCACAAGUUAAAAAGACACUGUAAUAAUACAAUCCUUAUACAUAUGAAUACAUAACACAAUACGGUUUCCUAAAUGCUAGUACGUCUUAGUGUCGUUGCGUGGUGCCGUGCUUUUUUACAUAGCCCCCUUGCAUUUUUGUGAAAACAACAUGUGCUCCCCCAAUCCAUGUGCCAUGCCGACCGGUCUCCUGGCCCACUUGUCACCCUCCCGCGUGGAGUAGUCAAAUCGAUACAACCUCAUUCAGUAAGCUAGUAGCCUCGAGUCCACCACUUCGAGCCAAUCGCCUCCCACACCACCAAUACUCCUGUUCCAUCACUUUCUCCCCUUCCUAAAAUCCGUAACCCGUGAUCCUUCUCACCCUUACCAAUCGAUAUGCAGCCAUCGUCGUCCAACUCCAAUCUGUAAUGGAGAUCACUCCUCUGUUGGUACAACUCGUUUAGGUGGUUGCCAGCCAUGCGGGGAAGCUCUCCUGCUCGCGCGAGAUAUGUCCGUGGUUCCCUCACCUGGCAAUGCUCUACAAGGACACACACGCAUAUGCUCGUAGUUCCCUCACCUGACGAUGCUCUACAAGGACACACACACUCACAUACAUACACGCGCAUACACUUAUUACCCCCACGAACACACACACACACAUAUUCUACCCUUAUGAGCAUCUUCAAAAUACGAUAAUAGGAUUUAGUCUCACAACUUAAAAAUGGACUGUAAUAAUACAAUCCUUAUACAUGUGAAUACAUAACACUAUACGAUUCCCUCGAUGUUAGUACGUCUUAGUGCCGCUAUGUGGUGUCAUGCUUUUUUGGAUGACCCCCUUGUUGGAAAUAUGCCCUAGAAGCAAUGAUACAAUAGUUAUUAUUAUAUUUCCUGUUUCAAGAUAAUCAUUUAUUAUCCAUGCUAUAAUUGUAUUGAAUGAAAGCAUAGAUACAUGUGUGGAUAUAUAGACAAAACAAUGUCCCUAGUAAGCCUCUAGUUGACUAGCCAGUUGAUCAAGGAUGGUUAAGGUUUUUUGACCAUAUGCAAGUGUUCUCACUUGAUGGCUGGAUCACAUCAUUAGGAGAAUGAUGUGAUGGACAAGACCAAAACUAUGAACGUAGCAUGUGAUCCUGUCAUUUUGUUGCUAUUUUUUUCUGCGUGUCAAGUAUUCAUUCCUAUGACCAUGAGAUCAUGUAACUCACUGACACCGGAGGAAUACCUUGAGUUAGCAUGGUUCAAGACUGGGAUUUGUCACUCCGUGUGACGGAGAGGACCGAGUACUAAGCGAUUAAUGAGUCGAGAGGGUCAAUUAAGUAUCCCAACGUGUGGUAGUAUCUAGUCUUGGAUUACAUACACGGAACUCAGUUCCUAAGGACGGUUCCAAUGAAACAACUGUUGGAAUUAUGCCCUAGAGGCAAUAAUAAAUAUUGUUAUUAUUAUAAUUCCUGUAUCAAGAUAAUCGUUUAUUAUCCAUGCUAUAAUUGUAUUGAAUGAAAGCAUAGAUACAUGUGUGGAUAUAUAGACAAAACAAUGUCCCUAGUAAGCCUCUAGUUGACUAGCCAGUUGAUCAAGGAUGGUUAAGGUUUUUUGACCAUAUGCAAGUGUUCUCACUUGAUGGCUGGAUCACAUCAUUAGGAGAAUGAUGUGAUGGACAAGACCAAAACUAUGAACGUAGCAUGUGAUCCUGUCAUUUUGUUGCUAUUUUUUUCUGCGUGUCAAGUAUUCAUUCCUAUGACCAUGAGAUCAUGUAACUCACUGACACCGGAGGAAUACCUUGAGUUAGCAUGGUUCAAGACUGGGAUUUGUCACUCCGUGUGACGGAGAGGACCGAGUACUAAGCGAUUAAUGAGUCGAGAGGGUCAAUUAAGUAUCCCAACGUGUGGUAGUAUCUAGUCUUGGAUUACAUACACGGAACUCAGUUCCUAAGGACGGUUCCAAUGAAACAACUGUUGGAAUUAUGCCCUAGAGGCAAUAAUAAAUAUUGUUAUUAUUAUAAUUCCUGUAUCAAGAUAAUCGUUUAUUAUCCAUGCUAUAAUUGUAUUGAAUGAAAGCAUAGAUACAUGUGUGGAUAUAUAGACAAAACAAUGUCCCUAGUAAGCCUCUAGUUGACUAGCCAGUUGAUCAAGGAUGGUUAAGGUUUUUUGACCAUAUGCAAGUGUUCUCACUUGAUGGCUGGAUCACAUCAUUAGGAGAAUGAUGUGAUGGACAAGACCAAAACUAUGAACGUAGCAUGUGAUCCUGUCAUUUUGUUGCUAUUUUUUUCUGCGUGUCAAGUAUUCAUUCCUAUGACCAUGAGAUCAUGUAACUCACUGACACCGGAGGAAUACCUUGAGUUAGCAUGGUUCAAGACUGGGAUUUGUCACUCCGUGUGACGGAGAGGACCGAGUACUAAGCGAUUAAUGAGUCGAGAGGGUCAAUUAAGUAUCCCAACGUGUGGUAGUAUCUAGUCUUGGAUUACAUACACGGAACUCAGUUCCUAAGGACGGUUCCAAUGAAACAACUGUUGGAAUUAUGCCCUAGAGGCAAUAAUAAAUAUUGUUAUUAUUAUAAUUCCUGUAUCAAGAUAAUCGUUUAUUAUCCAUGCUAUAAUUGUAUUGAAUGAAAGCAUAGAUACAUGUGUGGAUAUAUAGACAAAACAAUGUCCCUAGUAAGCCUCUAGUUGACUAGCCAGUUGAUCAAGGAUGGUUAAGGUUUUUUGACCAUAUGCAAGUGUUCUCACUUGAUGGCUGGAUCACAUCAUUAGGAGAAUGAUGUGAUGGACAAGACCAAAACUAUGAACGUAGCAUGUGAUCCUGUCAUUUUGUUGCUAUUUUUUUCUGCGUGUCAAGUAUUCAUUCCUAUGACCAUGAGAUCAUGUAACUCACUGACACCGGAGGAAUACCUUGAGUUAGCAUGGUUCAAGACUGGGAUUUGUCACUCCGUGUGACGGAGAGGACCGAGUACUAAGCGAUUAAUGAGUCGAGAGGGUCAAUUAAGUAUCCCAACGUGUGGUAGUAUCUAGUCUUGGAUUACAUACACGGAACUCAGUUCCUAAGGACGGUUCCAAUGAAACAACUGUUGGAAUUAUGCCCUAGAGGCAAUAAUAAAUAUUGUUAUUAUUAUAAUUCCUGUAUCAAGAUAAUCGUUUAUUAUCCAUGCUAUAAUUGUAUUGAAUGAAAGCAUAGAUACAUGUGUGGAUAUAUAGACAAAACAAUGUCCCUAGUAAGCCUCUAGUUGACUAGCCAGUUGAUCAAGGAUGGUUAAGGUUUUUUGACCAUAUGCAAGUGUUCUCACUUGAUGGCUGGAUCACAUCAUUAGGAGAAUGAUGUGAUGGACAAGACCAAAACUAUGAACGUNNNNNNNNNNNNNNNNNNNNNNNNNNNNNNNNNNNNNNNNNNNNNNNNNNNNNNNNNNNNNNNNNNNNNNNNNNNNNNNNNNNNNNNNNNNNNNNNNNNNCAAAACACCGUCCCUAGCAAGCCUCUAGUUGGCUAGCCAGUUGAUCAAAGAUAGUCAGUGUCUUCUGAUUAUGAACAAGGUGUUGUUGCUUGAUAACUGGAUCACGUCAUUAGGAGAAUCACGUGAUGGACUAGACCCAAACUAAUAGACGUAGCAUGUUGAUCGUGUCAUUUUGUUGCUACUGUUUUCUGCGUGUCAAGUAUUUAUUCCUAUGACCAUGAGAUCAUAUAACUCACUGACACCGGAGGAAUGCUUUGUGUGUAUCAAACGUCGCAACGUAACUGGGUGACUAUAAAGAUGCUCUACAGGUAUCUCCGAAGGUGGUAUUUGAGUUAGUAUGGAUCAAUACUGGGAUUUGUCACUCCGUGUGAACGGAGAGGUAUCUCGGGGCCCACUCGGUAAUACAACAUCACACACAAGCCUUGCAAGCAAUGCAACUUAGUGUAAGUUGCGGGAUCUUGUAUUACGGAACGAGUAAAGAGACUUGCCGGUAAACGAGAUUGAAAUAGGUAUACGGAUACUGACGAUCGAAUCUCGGGCAAGUAACAUACCGAAGGACAAAGGGAAUGACAUACGGGAUUAUAUGAAUCCUUGGCACUGAGGUUCAAACGAUAAGAUCUUCGUAGAAUAUGUAGGAUCCAAUAUGGGCAUCCAGGUCCCGCUAUUGGAUAUUGACCGAGGAGUCUCUCGGGUCAUGUCUACAUAGUUCUCGAACCCGCAGGGUCUGCACACUUAAGGUUCGACGUUGUUUUAUGCGUAUUUGAGAUAUAUGGUUGGUUACCGAAUGUUGUUCGGAGUCCCGGAUGAGAUCACGGACGUCAUGAGGGUUUCCGGAAUGGUCCGGAAACGAAGAUUGAUAUAUAGGAUGACCUCAUUUGNNNNNNNNNNNNNNNNNNNNNNNNNNNNNNNNNNNNNNNNNNNNNNNNNNNNNNNNNNNNNNNNNNNNNNNNNNNNNNNNNNNNNNNNNNNNNNNNNNNNACUGGUCGGAAUAGUCCAAAACUGCGAGUUUUGACGAGUUCCCCGUAACCAGACCCAAGGGUUCCCGAAACAUUCGGAUCAAAGUGGAACCCAAAAUCAGUAACUAAUAGCAUAGAAAACUGGUCGGAAUAGUCCAAAACUGCGAGUUUUGACGAGUUCCCCGUAACCAGACCCAAGGGUUCCCGAAACAUUCGGAUCAAAGUGGAACCCAAAAUCAGUAACUAAUAGCAUAGAAAACUGGUCGGAAUAGUCCAAAACUGCGAGUUUUGACGAGUUCCCCGUAAUUCGAUCUCGGGGUUCCCGAAACGUUCGGAUCACAGCGGGAUCCAAAAUGAGUGAGUAAUAGCAUACAAAACUAGCCAGAAUAGGCCAAAAUUGCGAGGUUUGACGAGUUCCACGUAACCGGACCCCGGGGUUCCCAAAACAUUCGGAUCACAACGGAACCCAAAAUCAAUGACUAAUAGCAUAGAAAACUUGUCAGGAUAGGCCAAAACUGCGAGUUUUGACGAGUUCCACAUAACCGGACCCCGGGGUUCCCAAAACAUUCGGAUCACAACGGAACCCAAAAUCAAUGACUAAUAGCAUAGAAAACUUGUCAGGAUAGGCCAAAACUGCGAGUUUUGACGAGUUCCACAUAACCGGACCCCGGGGUUCCCAAAACAUUCGGAUCACAACGGAACCCAAAAUCAAUGACUAAUAGCAUAGAAAACUUGUCAGGAUAGGCCAAAACUGCGAGUUUUGACGAGUUCCACAUAACCGGACCCCGGGGUUCCCGAAACGUUUGGAUCGAAGCGGGACCCAAAAUGACUGAGUAAUAACAUACAAAAUUGGCCACAAUAGUCCAAAACUAUGAUUUUUUACGAGUUCCCCGUAACCGGACCACGGGGUUCCCAAAACAUUCGGAUCGCUGCGGGACCCAAAAUCAAUGACUACUAGCAUACAAAACUGGCCGGAAUAUGCUAAAACUACGAGUUUUGACGAGUUCCAGGUAACCGAACCCCGGGGUUCCCAAAACAUCCGAAUCCUAGGAGGACCCAAAAUAAGUGACUAAUAGCAUAGAAACGUGGCCAGAAUAGGUCAAAACUGCUAGUUUUGACGAGUUCCCCAUAACUAGACUUCGGGAUUCCCGAAUCGUUCGGAUCGCAGCGGGAUCCAAAAUCAGUGAGUAAUUCCCUAUAGAACUAGCGAGAAUAGGCCAAAACUGCGAGUUUUGACGAGUUCCCCAUAACUAGACUUCGGGAUUCCCGAAUCGUUCGGAUCGCAGCGGGAUCCAAAAUCAGUGAGUAAUUCCCUAUAGAACUAGCGAGAAUAGGCCAAAACUGCGAGUUUUGACGAGUUCCACGUAACCAGACCCAGGGUUUCCGAAAUGUUUGGAUCACAAGAGGACCCAAAACAGUGACUAAGCAUAAAAUCCUAGCCACAAUAGGUCAAAACUGCGAGUUUUGACGAGUUCCUUGUAACUGGACCUCGGGGUUCCCGAAACAUCCGGAUCGCAGCGGGAUCCAAAAUCAAUGAGUAAUAGCAUACAAAACUAGCGAGAAUAGUCCAAAACUGCGAUUUUUGACGAGUUCCACGUAACCGGACCCCUGGGUUCCCGAAACGUUCGGAUCGCAGCGGGACCCAAAAUCACUGAGUAAUAGCAUACAGAACCGUCCAGAAUAGGCCAAAACUGUGAGUUUUGAAGACUUCCACGUAACCGGACCCCUGGGUUCCCGAAACGUUCGGAUCGCAGCGGGACCCAAAAUCACUGAGUAAUAGCAUACAGAACCGUCCAGAAUAGGCCAAAACUGUGAGUUUUGAAGACUUCCACGUAACCGGACCCCGGGGUUCCCAAAACGUUCGGAUCGUAGCGGAUCCUAAAAUCAGUGAGCAACGACAUGCAAAACUGGCAAGAAUAGACCAAAACUGCGAGUUUUGACGAGUUCCCCGUAACCGGACCCAAGGGUUCCCGAAACAUUCAGAUCAUAGCAGACCCCAAAAUCAGUGACUAAUAUCAUAGAAAAUGGGUCGGAAUAGGCCAAAGUUGCGAGUUUUGACGAGUUCCCCCUAAGUGGAUCUAGGGGUUCCCAAAACGUUCGGAUCGCGACGGGAUCCAAAAUCAGUGAGUAAUAGCGUACAAAACUACCCAGAAUAGGCCAAAACUGCGAGUUUUGGUGAGUUCCACAUAACCGGGCCCCGGGGUUCCCGAAACGUUUGGCUCGCAGCGGGACCCAAAAUCACUGAGUAAUAGUAUACAAAACCGUCCAGAAUAGGCCAAAAAUGCGCUUUUUGAUGAGUUCCCCGUAACCGGAACCCGGGGAUCCCGAAACUUUCGGAUCACAAGAGUUUUGACGAGUUCCCCGUAACCAGACCGAAGGGUUCCUGAAACAUUCGAAUCAAUGCGGAACCCAAAAUCAGUAACUAAUAGCAUAGAAAACUGGUCGAAAUAGUCGAAAACUACGGGUUUUGAUGAGUUCCCCGUAAGUGGAUCUCGGGGUUCCCGAAACGUUCGGAUCGCAGCGGGAUCCAAAAUCAGUGAGUAAUAGCAUACAGAACCGUCCAGAAUAGGCCAAAACUGUGAGUUUUGAAGACUUCCACGUAACCGGACCCCGGGGUUCCCAAAACGUUCGGAUCGUAGCGGAUCCUAAAAUCAGUGAGCAACGACAUGCAAAACUGGCAAGAAUAGACCAAAACUGCGAGUUUUGACGAGUUCCCCGUAACCGGACCCAAGGGUUCCCGAAAACGAAAACAUUCGGAUCACAAUGGAACCCAAAAUCAGUGAGUAAUAGCACAGAAAACUGGUCACGAUAGGCCAAAACUGCGAGUUUUGACGAAUUCCCCGUAAGUGGACCUCGGGAUUCCCGAAACGUUUGGAUCGCAGUGGGGUCCAAAAUCAGUGAGUAAUAGCAUACAAAACUAGCCAGAGUAGGCCAAAACUGCGAGUUUUGACGAAUUCCCCGUAAGUGGACCUCGGGAUUCCCGAAACGUUUGGAUCGCAGUGGGGUCCAAAAUCAGUGAGUAAUAGCAUACAAAACUAGCCAGAGUAGGCCAAAACUGCGAGUUUUGACGAAUUCCCCGUAAGUGGACCUCGGGAUUCCCGAAACGUUUGGAUCGCAGUGGGGUCCAAAAUCAGUGAGUAAUAGCAUACAAAACUAGCCAGAGUAGGCCAAAACUGCGAGUUUUGACGAAUUCCCCGUAAGUGGACCUCGGGAUUCCCGAAACGUUUGGAUCGCAGUGGGGUCCAAAAUCAGUGAGUAAUAGCAUACAAAACUAGCCAGAGUAGGCCAAAACUGCGAGUUUUGACGAAUUCCCCGUAAGUGGACCUCGGGAUUCCCGAAACGUUUGGAUCGCAGUGGGGUCCAAAAUCAGUGAGUAAUAGCAUACAAAACUAGCCAGAGUAGGCCAAAACUGCGAGUUUUGACGAGUUCCAUGUAACCGGACCCCGAGGUUCCCGAAACGUUUGGAUCGAGGCGGGACCCAAAAUGACUGAGUAAUAUCAUACAAAAUUGGCCAAAAUAGUCGAAAACUAUGAUUUUUUACGAGUUCCCCGUAACCGGACCACGGGUUCCCGAAACAUUUGUAUCGUAGCGGGACCAAAAAUCAGUGACUNNNNNNNNNNNNNNNNNNNNNNNNNNNNNNNNNNNNNNNNNNNNNNNNNNNNNNNNNNNNNNNNNNNNNNNNNNNNNNNNNNNNNNNNNNNNNNNNNNNNAAACAUUCGGAUCAAAGCGGAAUCCAAAAUGAGUAACUAAUAGCAUAGAAAACUGGUCAGAAUAGUCCAAAACUGCGAGUUUUGACGAGUUCCCUGUAAGUGGAUCUCCGGGUUGCCGAAACGUUAGGAUCGCAGCGGGAUCCAAAAUCAGUGAGGAAUAGCAUACAAAACUAGCCAGAAUAGGCUAAAAUUGCGAGGUUUGACGAGUUCCACAUAACCGGACCCCGGGGUUCCCAAAACAUUCGGAUCACAACGGAACCCAAAAUCAGUGACUAAUAGCAUAGANNNNNNNNNNNNNNNNNNNNNNNNNNNNNNNNNNNNNNNNNNNNNNNNNNNNNNNNNNNNNNNNNNNNNNNNNNNNNNNNNNNNNNNNNNNNNNNNNNNNNNNNNNNNNNNNNNNNNNNNNNNNNNNNNNNNNNNNNNNNNNNNNNNNNNNNNNNNNNNNNNNNNNNNNNNNNNNNNNNNNCGCAGUGGGAUCCAAAAUCAGCGAGUAAUAGCAUACAAAACUAGCCAGAGUAGGCCAAAACUGCGAGUUUUGACGAGUUCCACGUAACCGGACCCCGGGGUUCCCGAAACGUUUGGAUCGAAGCGGGGCCCAAAAUGACAGAGUAAUAGCAUACAAAAUUGACCAGAAUAGUCCAAAACUAUGAUUUUUUACGAGUUCCCCGUAACAGGACCGCGGGGUUCCCGAAACAUUCGGAUCGCAGUGGGACCCAAAAUUAAUGACUAAUAACAUACAAAACUGGCCAGAAUAGGCUAAAACUACGAGUUUUGACGAGUUCCACGUAACCGGACCCCGGGGUUUCCGAAACGUUUGGCUCGCAGCGGGACCCAAAAUAACUGAGUAAUGGCAUAGAAAACCGUCCAGAAUAGGCCAAAACUGCGCUUUUUGAUGAGUUCACCGUAACCGGACCCCGGGGUUCCCAAAACAUUCGGAUCCUAGGAGGACCCUAAAUCAGUGACUAAUAGCAUAGAAACGUGGCCAGAAUUGGUCAAAACUGCUAGUUUUGAUGAGUUCCCCAUAACUAGACUUCGGGAUUCCCGAAUCAUUCGGAUCGCAGCGGGAUCCAAAAUAAGUGAGUAAUUGCCUAUAGAACUAGCCAGAAUUGGCCAAAACUGCGAGUUUUGACGAGUUCCACGUAACCGGACCCCGGGGUUUCCGAAACGUUUGGCUCACAGCGGGACCCAAAAUCACUGAGUAAUGGCAUAGAAAACCGUCCAGAAUAGGCCAAAACUGCGCUUUUUGAUGAGUUCACCGUAACCAGACCCCGGGGUUCCCGAAACUUUCAGAUCACAAGAGUUUUGACGAGUUCCCCGUAACUGGACCCAAGGGUUCCCGAAACAUUAGGAUCAAAGUGGAACCCAAAAUCAGUAACUAAUAGCAUAGAAAACUGGUCGGAAUAGUCCAAAACUGCGAGUUUUGACGAGUUCCCCGUAAGUGGAUUUCGGGGUUCCCGAAACGUUCGGGUCGCAGCGGGAUCCAAAAGCAGUGAGUAAUAGCAUACAAAACUAGCCAGAAUAGGCCAAAAUUGCGAUUUUUGACGAGUUCCACGUAACCGGGCCCUUGGGUUCCCGAAACGUUCGGAUCGCAGCGGGACGCAAAAUCAAUGACUAGUAGCAAACAAAACCGGCCAGAAUAGGCCAAAACUGCGAGUAUUGAAGACUUCCACGUAACCGGACCCCGGGGUUCCCAAAACAUUCGGAUCCUAGGAGGACCCUAAAUCAGUGACUAAUAGCAUAGAAACGUGGCCAGAAUUGGUCAAAACUGCUAGUUUUGAUGAGUUCCCCAGCCAAAACUGUGAGUUUUGACGAAUCCCCCGUAAGUGGACCACGGGGUUCUCGAAACAUUCGGAUCGCAGUGGGAUCCAUAAUCAGUGAGUAAUAGCAUACAAAACUAGCCAGAGUAGGCCAAAACUGCGAGUUUUGACGAGUUCCAUGUAACCGGACCCCGGGGUUUCCGAAACCAUAAUCAGUGAGUAAUAGCAUACAAAACUAGCCAGAGUAGGCCAAAACUGCGAGUUUUGACGAGUUCCACGUAACCGGACCCCGGGGUUCCCGAAACGUUUGGAUCGAAGCGGGUCCCAAAAUGACUGAGUAAUAGCAUACAAAAUUGGCCAGAAUAGUCCAAAACUAUGAUUUUAUACGAGUUCCCCGUAACCGGACCACGGGGUUCCGGAAACAUUCGGAUCGUAGCGGGACCCAAAAUCAAUGACUAAUAGCAUACAAAACUGGCCGGAAUAGGCUAAAACUAUGAGUUUUGACGAGUUCCGCGUAACCGGACCCUGGGGUUCCCAAAACAUUCGGAUCCUAGGAGNNNNNNNNNNNNNNNNNNNNNNNNNNNNNNNNNNNNNNNNNNNNNNNNNNNNNNNNNNNNNNNNNNNNNNNNNNNNNNNNNNNNNNNNNNNNNNNNNNNNACUGGCCGGAAUAGGCUAAAACUACGAGUUUUGACGAGUUCCACGUAUCCGGACCCCGGGGUUCCCAAAACAUUCAGAUCCCAGGAGGACCCAAAAUCAGUGACUAAUAGCAUACAAACGUGGCCAGAAUAGGUCAAAACUGCUAGUUUGGACGAGUUCCCCAUAACUAGACUUCGGGAUUCCCGAAUCGUUCGGAUCGCAGCGGGAUCCAAAAUCAGUGAGUAAUUGCCUAUAGAACUAGCCAGAAUAGGCCAAAACUGCGAGUUUUGACGAGUUCCACGUAACCGGACCCCGGGGUUUCCGAAACGUUUGGAUCACACGAGGACCCAAAACAGUUACGAAGCGUAAAAUCCUGGCCAGAAUAGGUCAAAACUGCGAGUUUUGACGAGUUCCCUGUAACUGGACGGGACCCCGGGGUUUCAGAAACGUUUGGAUCACACGAGGACCCAAAACAGUGACUAAGCGUAAAAUCCUGGCCACAAUAGGUCAAAUCUUCGAGUUUUGACGAGUUCCGUGUAACUAGACCUCGGGGUUCCCGAAACGUUCAGAUCGCAACGGGAUCCAAAAUCAGUGAGUAAUAGCAUACAAAACUAGCGAGAAUAGUCCAAAACUGCGAUUUUUGAUGAGUUCCACGUAACCGGACCCCUGGGUUCCCGAAACGUUCAGAUCGCAGCGGGACCCAAAAUCUGUGACUAGUAGCAUACAAAACGGCCAGAAUAGGCCAUGAGUUCCACGUAACCGGACCCCUCGGUUCCCAAAACGUUCGGAUCGCAGCGGGACCCAAAAUCAAUGACUAAUAGCAUACAAAACCGGCCAGAAUAGGCCAAAACUGCGAGGUUUGAAGACUUCCACGUAACCGGACCCCAGGGUUCCCAAAUUGUUCGGAUCGUAGCGGGUCCCAAAAUCAGUUAGUAAUGGCAUGCAAAACAGGCCAGAAUAGACCAAACUGCGAGUUUUGACGAGUUCCCCGUAACCGGACCCAAGGGUUCCCGAAACAUUCGGAUCACACCGGAACCCAAAAUCAAUGACUAAUAGCAUAGAAAACGGGUCGGAAUAGGCCAAAACUGCGAGUUUUGACGAGUUCCCCGUAAGUGGAUCUCGGGGCUCCCAAAACGUUCGGAUCGCGGCACGACCAAAAUCAUAGAGUAAUAGCAUACAAAACUACCCAGAAUAGGCCAAAACUGCGAGUUUUGACGAGUUCCCCGUAAGUGGAUCUCGGGGCUCCCAAAACGUUCGGAUCGCGGCACGACCAAAAUCAUAGAGUAAUAGCAUACAAAACUACCCAGAAUAGGCCAAAACUGCGAGUUUUGACGAGUUCCCCGUAAGUGGAUCUCGGGGCUCCCAAAACGUUCGGAUCGCGGCACGACCAAAAUCAUAGAGUAAUAGCAUACAAAACUACCCAGAAUAGGCCAAAACUGCGAGUUUUGACGAGUUCCACGUAACCGGACCCCGGGGUUCCCGAAACGUUUGGCUCGCAACGGGACCCAAAAUCACUGAGUAAUAGCAUACAAAGACGUCCAGAAUAGGCCAAAACUGCGCUUUUUGACGAGUUCCCCGUAACCGGACCCCGGGGUUCCCGAAACUUUCGGAUCACAAGAGUUUUAACGAGUUCCCCGUAACCGAACCCAAGGGUUCCCGAAACAUUCGGAUCACAACGGAACCCAAAAUCAGUAACUAAUAGAAUAGAAAACUCGUCGGAAUAGGCCAAAACUGCGAGUUUUGACGAGUUCCCCGUAAGUGGAUCUCGGGGUUCCCGAAACGUUCGAAUCGCAACGGGAUCCUAAAUCAGUGAGUAAUAGCAUACAGAGCUAGCCAGAAUAGGCCAAAACUGCGAGUUUUGACGAGUUCCCCGUAAGUGGAUCUCGGGGUUCCCGAAACGUUCGAAUCGCAACGGGAUCCUAAAUCAGUGAGUAAUAGCAUACAGAACUAGCCAGAAUAGGCCAAAACUGCGAGGUUUGACGUUCCACGUAACCAGACCACGGGGUUACCGAAACAUUCAGAUCGCAGCGGGACCCAAAAUCAGUGACUAAUAGCAUACAAAACUGGCCGGAAUAGGCUAAAACUACGAGUUUUGAAGAGUUCCACGUAACCGGACCCCGGGGUUACCAAAACGUUCGGAUCGCAGUGGGAUCCUAAAUCAGUGAGUAAUAGCAUAGAAACGUGGCCAGAAUAGGUCAAAACGGCUAGUUUUGACGAGUUCCCCGUAACCGGACCCAAGGGUUCCCGAAAUAUUCGGAUCACACUUGAACCCAAAAUCAGUGACUAAUAGCAUAGAAAACGGGUCGGAAUAGGUCAAAACUGCGAGUUUUGACGAGUUCCCCGUAAGUGGAUAUCGGGGUUCCCAAAACGUUCGGAUCGCAGCGGGAUCCAAAAUCAGUGAGUAAUAUCAUAAAAAACUACCCAGAAUAGGCCAAAACUGCGAGUUUUGACGAGUUCCCCGGGGUUCCUGAAACUUUUGGAUCACAAGAGUUUUGACGAGUUACCCGUAACUGGACCCAAGGAUUCCCGAAACAUUCGGAUCACAGCGGAACACAAAAUCAGUAACUAAUAGCAUAGAAAACUGGUCGGAAUAGGCCAAAACUGCGAGUUUUGACGAGUUCCCCGUAAGUGGAUCUCGGGGUUCCCGAAACAUUCGGAUCACAGCGGAACACAAAAUCAGUAACUAAUAGCAUAGAAAACUGGUCGGAAUAGGCCAAAACUGCGAGUUUUGACGAGUUCCCCGUAAGUGGAUCUCGGGGUUCCCGAAACAUUCGGAUCGCAGCGGGAUCCAAAAUGAGUGAGUAAUAAAAUACAAAACUAGCCAGAAUAGGCAAAAACUGCGAGGUUUGACGAGUUCCACGUAACCGGACCCGAGGGUUCCCAAAACAUUCGGAUCACAACGGAACACAAAAUUAGUGACUAAUAACAUAGAAAACUGGUCAGGAUAGGCCAAAACUGCGAGUUUUGACGAAUUCCCCGUAAGUGGACCUCGGGGUUCCCGAAACGUUCGGAUCAUAGUGGGAUCCAAAAUCAGUGAGUAAUAGCAUACAAAACUAGCUAGAAUAGGCCAAAACUACGAGUUUUGACGAGUUCCAUGUAACCGGACCCCGGGGUUCCCGAAACGUUUGGCUCACAGCGGGACCCAAAAUCACUGAGUAUUAGCAUACAAAACCGUACGAGUUUUGAUGAGUUCCACGUAACCGGACCACGGGGUUCCCGAAACGUUUGGACCGAAGCGGGACCCAGAAUGACUGAGUAAUAGCAUCCAAAAUUGGCCAGAAUAGUCCAAAACUACGAUUUUUUACGAGUUCCCCGUAACCGGACCAUGGGGUUCCCGAAACAUUCGGAUCGCAGCGGGACCCAAAAUCGGUGACUAAUAGCAUACAAAACUGGCCGGAAUAGGCCAAAACUAUGAGUUUUGACGAGUUCCACGUAAACGGACCCCGGGAUUCCCAAAACAUUCGGAUCCCAGGAGGACCCAAAAUCAGUGACUAAUAGCGUGCAAACGUGGCCAGAAUAGGUCAAAACUGCUAGUUUUGACGAGUUCCCCAUAAUUAGAUUUCGGGAUUCCUGAAUCGUUUGGAUUGCAGCGGGAUCCAAAAUCAGUGAUUAAUUGCCUAUAGAACUAGCGAGAAUAGUCCAAAACUGCGAGUUUUGACGAGUUCCAAGUAAUCGGACCCGGGGUUUUCGAAACGUUUGAUCACAAGAGGAUCCAAAACAGUGACUAAGCGUAAAAUCCUGGCCAAAAUAGGUCAAAACUACGAGUUUUGACGAGUUCCUUGUAACUGGACCUCGGGGUUCCCGAAACGUUCAGAUCACAGCGGGAUCCAAAAUUAGUGAGUAAUAGCAUACAAAACUAGCGAGAAUAGUCCAAAACUGCGAUUUUUAACGAGUUCCACGUAAGUGGACCCCUAGAUUCCCCAAACGUUCGGAUCGCAGCGAGACCCAAAAUCAGUGACUAAUAGCAUAGAAAACCAGCCAGAAUAGGCCAAAACUGCGAGUUUUGAAGACUUCCACAUAACCGGACCCCGGGGUUCCGAAAACGUUCGGAUCGUAGUGGGUCCCAAAAUCAGUGAGUAGUGGCAUGCAAAACUGGCCAGAUUAGACCAAAACUGCGAGUUUUGACGAGUUCCCCGUAACCGUACCCAAGGGUUCCCGAAACAUUCGAAUCACACUAGAACCCCGAAAUCAGUGACUAAUAGCAUAGAAAACGGGUCGGAAUAGGCCAAAACUGCGAGUUUUGAUGAGUUCCCCGUAACCGGACCCAAGGGUUCCCGAAACAUUCGAAUCACACUAGAACCCCGAAAUCAGUGACUAAUAGCAUAGAAAACGGGUCGGAAUAGGCCAAAACUGCGAGUUUUGAUGAGUUCCCCGUAACCGGACCCAAGGGUUCCCGAAACAUUCGGAUCAGACCGGAACCCAAAAUCAGUGACUAGUAGCAUUGAAAACGGGUCGGAAUAGGCCAAAACUGCGAGUUUUGACGAGUUCCCCGUAAGUGGAUCACGAGGAAACUCUCGUAUUCAACUCAACCUACCGGUGCAGUGCUCACCCAUAUGAGCCGCCCAACAGACGGACGCAAGUCGCCGCCCCCAUUGUCCGGCUCACAUCAACUCACCGGUGCAGUGCUUGCCUGUACGAGCGGCCCGAGAGGCACGCGCAAGAUGCCGCCCUCGGGGUCCAAAUGACAUCAACAUAUCGGUGCAGUGCUCGCUUGGAUGAGCCGCCCAACAGACACAAUCAAGCCGCCUCUGCGUCCCGUCUCCCCCAACAACAAUGGAUCAAAGCAUAUCAAAAGUAAUAGGAGAGUUUGACACGAAAACAUCCCUCGUGAAGCUACAAUUUGAUCCAACCAUUAUUGAACCGACAAUUCGAAGCAAGCAGCAAAGAAAAAUGAAAGUGGUCCUGGAGGAACCACGAGAGCCGGACAACCCGAGAAUUAAGCAUGGGUCAAACAUCCAUUAUCAACUGUCAAAUCUUAUGUCGGUUUAUGCCACAAUCAAGUAUGGAGAGUUUCAAGCCGCCUCCUUCAGUCGACUUAAGACUCGGGGGCUACACGGACAUGGCUCGGCAGAAUCAACUAGGUUGAAUAAUUCAAGAACCCCAGGUCGUUACAGAACAAUUAAGCCGGUCUCGGGGGCUGAUGCCUCAUUGACGAGAAGAUUGAAAGAUCGUCUAAGAAGACAAGUCGCCAUGAUACGACCGCCCAAACAUGGGUGCCCGACCUUAUUGGCGGAUGAUUCAUAAGCCGUCCAAGCAUGGACGCUAUCAGUAUCAAAGAGCAUAAGUCGCCAUGCUGCAUUUAUUUCAAAACUAGAUACUGGUACGCCAAAGAGGACCAAAGUUGCCAUGUUGCACGUUUCAAACAUGGGCGUCUUAUAUGGUUUUGAGAACUAAGCCGUCUUACUUGGGGGCUACUAGCUCCCAAGUCGUUUUGUAGUAAGAGCGGAUACACUUCUGUAAUCCUAUGUCUGGUUUUUUCCUUAAUCAUAGGUCACUUGGGGGCUUCCACUCAUUGAGUUCAGCCUGAAUACCCUCUUGGCUAGCGAAAAAUUACCGCAUUACAAAUGGUUAUACUAGAUUAUGUGUUGGACUAGUCGCCCUAUGGACCCAUGUACUCUUGGCGAGUCAAUCCGUUUUUUGGAUCCUCAACUCGCCUUGGUUAAAACAUGAAAGGUACCGGCAAGAGCCACACAUGGAAAAUAGAGAAACCAUUGGUUCACUGAACCUGUUUCACUGAAGCUUGACUCGCGCCUGAUCAGCCGUUCUAAAUAACUUGGGCUGUUGCAAAAGCCUUCUUGGGGUCGCACUAGAGCUUUGCAAACUUGUCCUAUCCUUUCGCAAUUCAUCAAGCCGAAUUUUUUUAUGACUAUCUUCGUGGCACUGCCGUAAGGUUUCAUAAAAAGUUUUAUAACCCGUCGUGACUCACUGUGCCAGCUUAACCUUUUUGGGUACCACUAGAGCCUUGAGAGUUCGUCCUACCCGUGGUGACUCACUGAGUCGGCUGCCAUGACUCAUUGAGUCAGCUUAUUUAUAAUAACUUGAUGCCAUACUAUGGUGUUGCCAGCAUUAUUCUACCAUAUACAUGCAUCAUAUUGCAUUGCAUCAUGCAUCAUGCAUCAUAUCAUGCCGGUCUUCAAACCGGGUCAAAGCAUAAUUUUUUGCAGGAGCAAAUAUAUCUUUGAAUAGCCAAUUUGGCUGGAUUUUCAUCAUGGUUUAUCAUAACCAGUGUUAAAUGAUUGGGGUUUCUAAAGCCAGCUCAGAAAAUUGACUAUUUUCAAAGAGCCGCCCUAUCACAUAUAAUGCCGAGUCAUCUAAUUGACCGGCCCUUGGAUUUCUUCAACUUGUGCUCUGUAGUAAACUACAACACUUAUGGAUUUCUCCGACAUAUGGAUUUCUCAAGGAUAUAUUUGUCGGGUUACAUUGAAACCACGGUCAAGGAUUUCUUUUAUUACAAAGGCAUCAUCAGCUCACAGAGUGGAUAUGAUUUUAUUCUACAAUGGAAGGAAUAGCCCCGAGUCGCUGCAGGCACACAACCCGGCACUUGGGGGCUACAUUAUUCAAAUCAAGAUUACAUCAAAGUAUGAAAGUCCCAUGUCGCUGCAAGCAUGCACCAUGACACUUGGGGGUAAUGCAAUCCGCUUUUCAAAUCAUCACAUCAUCAACAGACCCGCCUACAGGUCGCUUUUUAUUCAAGUAUGGAUUCAAGGAAGAACCGGCUCAUCAUUUUUAUAAUGACCCGGUCCUUGGGGGCUAGACAUUGCUGCUCAAGCUUCCAUCGUUAGAUCUACAAAGUCCCUGCUCAAUAUUGCAUAGUGACCCAGCCCUUGGGGGCUACAUCAUAUGAUGUUUUAUUUUCAAAAGAUAAGAAUGUGGAAGUCCCGAGUCGCCACAAGUAAUCGAUCCGGCCCUUGGGGCCUACACUAUUCAGAUCAUAAUUUCUAAAGUCCCAGGUUGCCGCAGGCAAGACAACUCGGCACUUGAGGGCUGCAUCACUAAGAUGUUUCACAGAUCAUGAGGUUCAAGUUGAAGACCCGGCCCAUCACACACUGAUGACCCGGCCCUUGGGGGCUACAGGUAAUAUGGAUAUAUCAAAAAUUGAAGAGCACAUUUUAUUUCGUCAUGGAGGUGAAGUAUUGGGAGACCGGCUCAACAUCACAUGGAUUUCUUUAUCCCCCAUAAUUCGAUAUAGUCAAUUUGAGUUCAGUUGUUUGACGGGGCAUUACCAAUAAUCAUGACCCGCCAUUAGCAAUCAUGACUCGCCAUUGUCAAACAUAACCCGCGGAAGCAAGAGAAGCUGGUUCAACAUUGUGUGGAUUUCUUAUUCCCCAAAUUUUCAUCAAGCCAAAGCAUUGGAGGCCGACUCAAUGACAUAUGUAUUUAUUUUGCAAAGGACAUGGACUUGCAAGAUGAUUGUGAAGGCGACUCAUUCAUAUGGAGAAGAGACAGGAUUUCUGAGGAGCCACUUCAUAAACCGGCGAAGGGAGAGAGCCGGUCACUUAGCAUAUUUGCUAUUCUUAUUUCAGCAGCUUACCAUGAAUAAAUUCAAGCUAACCUGGGUGUUAAUGUUGGGGAUGUACCCCGCGGUAUGACCCGACAGACGGUUAUGACUGGGAAGACAGUUAUGACUCGGCAGGAAGUUAUGACCCGCGAGACAGUCAAGUUCCGGAGACGAGUCCCUCAAGAUUAGUCUUGAAGAGAAGCCCGGUUGUAAGCAAUCCGAUCGUAAGUAGCCCGGGACUCAGCGACCUGUUUGUAAGUAUCCCGGAACUCAACAAUCCGUUUGUAAGUCGCUCGGGACUCAGCAAUCCGGUCGUAAGCCGCCCGGGACUCAGGAAUCCAUUUGUAAGUAGCCGGGGACUCAGCAAUCCGUUGGUAACUCGCCCGGAACUCAGCAAUCCGUUCGUAAGUCGCCCGGACUCAGAAGCCCACGAAGAGAAGCCUGUGAUGGAGAGUCAUAAUAUGCUAAGCCUAAAUCCGGCUUGGACUCUAUAUUUAACUCGCCCCUUCAGCUUAUAUAAGGAGGGGUGAGACACCCCAAGAGGGUUAGGUUUUUUAGACGUCUCAAUAAACAGAUUCACAGCUUAGGUCUAGACAAGACAAAUCAUGAGAUAGAGAGAUUAGACUCCCAUGAGAUUAGAGGUGCCGAGUCUGCACCCUUGUAAUCGAGAUCAUCAUCUUCAUCAAUGAAACACAAGGAGGACGUAGGCUUUUACCUCCAUUGGAGGGGCCGAACCUGGGUAAACUCACGUCUCUCGAUUCCGACCAACCCCUUCAAGCAACCACAUUGUUGCGAUGUCCUCACACCUAAGUCCUUGUACGAGGAAAUCUGCCGUGACAAAACCACGACACCCGGGGUUCCCAACACAUUCGGAUCCCAGGAGGACCCAAAAUCAGUGACUAAUAUCAUACAAACGUGGCCAGAAUAGGUCAAAACUGCUAGUUUUGACGAGUUCCCCAUAACUAGACUCCGGGAUUCCCGAAACGUUCGGAUCGCAGCGGGAUCCAAAAUCAUUGAGUAAUUGCCUAUAGAACUAGCCAGAAUAGGCCAAAACUGCGAGUUUUGACGAGUUCCCCAUAACUAGACUCCGGGAUUCCCGAAACGUUCGGAUCGCAGCGGGAUCCAAAAUCAUUGAGUAAUUGCCUAUAGAACUAGCCAGAAUAGGCCAAAACUGCGAGUUUUGACGAGUUCCCCAUAACUAGACUCCGGGAUUCCCGAAACGUUCGGAUCGCAGCGGGAUCCAAAAUCAUUGAGUAAUUGCCUAUAGAACUAGCCAGAAUAGGCCAAAACUGCGAGUUUUGACGAGUUCCACGUAACUGGACCCCGGGGUUCCCGAAACGUUUGGAUCACACGAGGACCCGAAACAGUGACUAAGCGUAAAAUCCUGGCCAGAAUAGGUCAAAACUACGAGUUUUGACGAGUUCCUAGUAACUGGACCUCUGAUGUCAGCUCUGCUUCCCUGGCAACGGCGCCUAGAAUAGUCGUGUCGACGGCACCUGGAAUCCUUCUGCUGCGGCUACGCCUUAAGGGACUUCCUAGGAAAAUAUGCAAAGCACUUCCCCCGUGGCCUUGGAGCCUUGCGUUGGUGUUCCCUCGAAGCGGAAAGGGUGAUGUAGCACAGCGGUGGUAAGUAUUUCCCUCAGUUUGAGAACCAAGGUAUCAAUCCAAUGGAGGAGUAUCACAAGAUCCCGCACAAACACAAAAAGCUUGCUGCCAACACUAUGAAGGGGUUGUCAAUCCCUUAUAGAUUGUUCGCUAAGUGAGAACUGAAAGCAACAAAGUAACAAAGCAAAGUAAAAGCGGAUGUGUAAACGAUGGAUGUGAAUAGACCCGAGGGCCGUAGUGUUUACUAGUGGCUUCUCUCAUGAAAGCAAGUAGACGGUGGGUGAACAAAUUACUGUCGAGCAAUUGAUAGAACCACGCAAAGUCGUGACGAUAUCUAUGGCAAUGAUUAUAUCUAUAGGCAUCACGCCCUAAACAAGUAGACCGAUACUUUCUGCAUCUACUACUAUUACUCCACACGUCGACCGCUAUCCAACAUGCAUCUAGUGUAUUAAGUCCAAAAGAACAGAGUAACACCUUCAGCAAGAUGACAUGAUGUAGAUGGACAAUCACAUAUCAACGACAGAGCCCAUCUUGUUACCCUUGAUGGCAACUACUUAAUGUGUGCCUUGCUGCCCCUACUGUCACUGGGAAAGGUCACCACAUGGUAGAACCCAAAACCAAGCACUUCUCCCAUUGCAAGAAUCAUAGAUAUAGUUGGCCAAACAAAACCCAAGACUCGGAGAGACUUACAAGGAUAUCAAAUCAUGCAUAUAAGAAAUCAGCAAAGACUCAAAUAUAUAUCAUAGAUAAUUUAAUCAGAAAUCCACAAUUCAUCGGAUCUCGACAAACACACCGCCAAAGAAGAUUACAUCGGAUAGAUCUCCAUGAAGAUCAUGGAGAACUUUGUAUUGAAGAUCCAAGAGAGAGAAGAAGCCAUCUAGCUACUAACUACGGACCCGUAGGUCUGAAGUGAACUACUUACGAGUCAUUGGAGGGGCGAUGAUGAUGAUGAAGAAGCCCUCCAACUCCAAAGUCCCCUCCGGCAGGGUGCCGGGAAGGGUCUCCAGAUGAGAUCUCGCGGAAACGGAAGCUUGCGGCGGCCGAAAAGUAUUUUUCGAGGCUCCCGUGAUUUUUUGCUGUAUUUUAGUGAAUAUAUAGGCCAAAGAUCUAGGUCAGGUGGCGGCCAGGGAGGCCAUAAGCCCUGCCACUGCCGCCUCCCCUGGUGGCGGAGUGGGGGCUUGUGGGCUCCCAGGAGCCCUCCUAGCUUGGCCCACACCCCCGUGAUCUUCUUCCGUUCGGGAAAAAAUUAUUUUGGGGAUUUUAUUCCGCUUGGACUCUGUUCCAAAAUCAGAUCUGAAAAGAGCCAAAAACACAGAAAAAACAGGAACUGGCACUUGACACAGAAUUAAUAAGUUAGUCCCCAAAAAUAUAUAAAAGGUACAUAAAACAUCCAAAGAUGACAAGAUAACAACGUGAAACCAUCAAAAGUUAUAGAUACGUUUGAGACGUAUCAACCUCGGGGUUCCCAAAACGUUCGGAUCGCAACGGGAUCCAAAAUUAGUGUGUAAUAGCAUACAAAACAAGCGAGAAUAGUCCAAAACUGCGAUUUUUGACGAGUUCCACAUAACCGGACCCCUGGGUUCCCGAAACGUUCGGAUCGCAGCGGGACCCAAAAUCAGUGACUAAUAGCAUACAAAACCGGCUAGAAUAGGCCACAACUGCGAGUUUUGAAGACUUCCACGUAACCGGACCCCGGGGUUCCCAAAACGUUUGGAUCGUAGCGGGUCCCAAAAUCAGUGAGUAAUGGCAUGCAAAACUGGCCAGAAUAGUCCAAAACUGCGAGUUUUGACGAGUUCCCCGUAACCGGACCCAAGGGUUCCCGAAACAUUCGGAUCACACCGGAACCCAAAAUCAGUUACUAAUAGCAUAGAAAAUGGGUCGGAAUAGGCCAAAACUGCGAGUUUUGACGAGUUCCCCGUAAGUGAGUUCCCAAAACGUCCGGAUCGUGGCGGGAUCCAAAAUCAGUGAGUAAUAGCAUAUAAAACUACCCAGAAUAGGCAAAAACUGUGAGUUUUGACGAGUUCCCCGUAACCGGACCCAAGGGUUCACGAAACAUUCGGAUCACACCGGAACCCAAAAUCAGUUACUAAUAGCAUAGAAAAUGGGUCGGAAUAGGCCAAAACUGCGAGUUUUGACGAGUUCCACGUAACCGGACCCCGGGGUUCUCGAAAAGUUUGGCUCGCAGCGGGACACAAAAUCACUCAGUAAUAGCAUAUAAAACCGUCGAGAAUAGGCCAACACUGCGCUUUUUGACGAGUUCCCCGUAAUCGGACCCCGGGGUUCAUGAAACUUUCGGAUCACAAGAGUUUUGAUGACUUCCCCGUAAUCGGACCCAAGGGUUCCCCAAACAUUCGGAUCAAAGCAGAACCCAAAAUCAAUAACUAAUAGCGUAGAAAACUGUUCCGAAUAGGCCAAAACUGCGAGUUCUGAUGAGUUCCCCGUAAGUGGAACUCGGGGUUCCCGAAACGUUCGGAGCGCAGUGGAUCCAAAAUCAGUGAGUAAUAGCAUACAAAACUAGCCAGAAUAGGCCAAAACUGCGGGGUUUAACGAGUUCCACGUAACCGGACCCCGGGGUUCCCAAAAUAUUCUGAUCACAACGGAACCCAAAAUCAGUGACUAGUAGGAUAGAAAACUGGUUAGAAUAGGCCAAAACUGCGAGUUUUGACGAAUUNNNNNNNNNNNNNNNNNNNNNNNNNNNNNNNNNNNNNNNNNNNNNNNNNNNNNNNNNNNNNNNNNNNNNNNNNNNNNNNNNNNNNNNNNNNNNNNNNNNNGCAAAACCCAAAAUCAGUGACUAAUAGCAUAGAAAACGUUCGGAUCGCGGCGGGUUCCAAAAUCAGUGAGUAAUAUCAUACAAAACUACCCAGAAUAGGCCAAAACUGCGAGUUUUGACGAGUUCCACGUAACCGGAUCCCGGGGUUCCCGAAACGUUUGGAUCGCAGCGGGACCCAAAAUCACUGAGUAAUAGCAUACAAAACCGUCCAGAAUAGGCAAAAACAACGCUUUUUGAUGAGUUCCCCGUAACCGGACCCCGGGGUUCCUGAAACUUUCGGAUCACAAGAGUUUUGACGAGUUCCCCAUAACUGGACCCAAGGGUUCCCGAAACAUUCGGAUCAAAGCGGAACCCAAAAUCUGUAACUAAUAGCAUAGAAAACUGGUCGGAAUAGUCCAAAACUGCGAGUUUUGAUGAGUUCCCCAUAAGUGGAUCUCGGGGUUCCCGAAACGUUCGGGUCGCAGCGGGAUCCAAAAUCAGUGAGUAAUAGCAUACAAAACUAGCCAGAAUAGGCCAAAAUUGCGAGCAAAACAGCGUCUUUUGAUGAGUUCCCCGUAACCGGACCCCGGGGUUCCCGAAACUUUCGGAUCACAAGAGUUUUAACGAGUUCCCCGUAACCGAACCCAAGGGUUCCCGAAACAUUCGGAUCACAACGGAACCCAAAAUCAGUAACUAAUAGAAUAGAAAACUCGUCGGAAUAGGCCAAAACUGCGAGUUUUGACGAGUUCCACGUAACCGGAUCCCGGGGUUCCCGAAACGUUUGGAUCGCAGCGGGACCCAAAAUCACUGAGUAAUAGCAUACAAAACCGUCCAGAAUAGGCCAAAACAGCGUCUUUUGAUGAGUUCCCCGUAACCGGACCCCGGGGUUCCCGAAACUUUCGGAUCACAAGAGUUUUGACGAGUUCCCCAUAACUGGACCCAAGGGUUCCCGAAACAUACGGAUCAAAGCGGAACCCAAAAUCAGUAACUAAUAGCAUAGAAAACUGGUCGGAAUAGUCCAAAACUGCGUGUUUUGACGAGUUCCCCAUAAGUGGAUCUCGGGGUUCCCGAAACGUUCGGGUCGCAGGGGGAUCCUCUCCNNNNNNNNNNNNNNNNNNNNNNNNNNNNNNNNNNNNNNNNNNNNNNNNNNNNNNNNNNNNNNNNNNNNNNNNNNNNNNNNNNNNNNNNNNNNNNNNNNNNGAACCCCGAGAUCCACUUACGGGGAACUCGUCAAAACUCGCAGUUUUUGCCUAUUCCGACCCGUUUUCUAUGCUAUUACCACUGAUUUUGGGUUCUGCUGUGAUCCGAAUGUUUCGGGAACCCAUGGGUCCGGUUACGGCGAACUCGUCAAAACUCGUAGUUUUGGUCUAUUCUGGCCAGUUUUGCAUGCCAUUACUCAUUGAUUUUGGGAUCCUCUACGAUCCGAACGUUUUGGGAACCCCGGGGUCCGGUUACGUGGAAGUCUUCAAUACUCGCAGUUUUGGCCUAUUCUGGCCGGUUUUGUUUGCUACUAGUCAUUGAUUUUGGGUCCCGCUGCGAUCCGAACGUUUCGGGAACCCAAGGGUCCGGUUACAUGGAACUCGUCAAAAAUCGCAGUUUUGGACUAUUCUCGCUAGUUUUGUAUCCUAUUACUCACUGAUUUUGGAUCCCGCUGCGAUCCGAAUGUUUCCGGAACCCCGAGAUCCAGUUACACGAAACUCGCCAAAACUCGCAGUUUUGACCUAUUCUGGCCAGGAUUUUAUGCUUAGUCACUGAUUUUGGGUCCUCCUAGGAUCCGAAUGUUUUGGGAACCCCGGGGUCCGGUUACGUGGAACUCAUCAAAACUCGUAGUUUUAGCCUAUUCUGGCCAGUUUUGUAUGCUAUUAGUCACUGAUUUUGGGUCCCGCUACGAUACAAAUGUUUCGGGAACCCCGUGGUCCGGUUACGGGGAACUCGUAAAAAAUCAUAGUUUUGGACUAUUCUGGCCAAUUUUGUAUGCUAUUACUCAGUCAUUUUGGGCCCCGCUUCGAUCCAAACGUUUCGGGAACCCCGGGGUCCGGUUACGUGGAACUCGUCAAAACUCGUAGUUUUAGCCUAUUCAGGCCAGUUUUUAUGCUAUUAGUCACUGAUUUUGGGUCCCGCUGCGAUCCGAAUGUUUUGGGAACCCCGUGGUCCGGUUACGGGGAACUCGUAAAAAAUCAUAUUUUUGGACUAUUCUGGCCACGUUUGUAUGCUAUUACUCAGUCAUUUUGGGCCCCGCUUCGAUCCAAACGUUUCGGGAACCCCGGGGUCCGGUUACGUGGAACUCGUCAAAACUCGCUGUUUUGGCCUACUCUGGCUAGUUUUGUAUGCUAUUACUCACUGAUUUUGGAUCCCGCUGCGACCCGAACGUUUCGGGAACCCCGAGAUCCACUUAUGGGGAACUCAUCAAAACUCGCAGUUUUUGACUAUUCCGACCAGUUUUCUAUGCUAUUAGUUACAGAUUUUGGGUUCCGCUUUGAUCCGAAUAUUUCGGGAACCCUUGGGUCCAGUUAUAGGGAACUCGUCAAAACUCUUGUGAUCCGAAAGUUUCGGGAACCUCGGGGUCCGGUUACGGGGAAGUCAUCAAAAAGCGCAGUUUUGGCCUAUUCUGGACGGUUUUGUAUGCCAUUAAUCAGUGAUUUUGGGUCCCGCUGCGAACCAAAUGCUUCGGGAACCCCGGGGUCCGGUUACGUGGAACUCGUCAAAACUCGCAGUUUUGGCCUACUCUGGCUUGUUUUGUAUGCUAUUACUCAUUGAUUUUGGAUCCCACUGCGAUCCGUACGUUUCGGGAACCCCGAGGUCCUUUUACGGGGAAUUCGUCAAAACUCGCAGUUUUGGCCUAUCCUGACCAGUUCUCUAUGCUAUUAGGCACUGAUUAUGGGUUCCGUUGUGAUCUGAAUGUUUUGGGAACCCCGGGGUCCGGUUAUGUGGAACUCCUCAAACCUCGCAAUUAUGGCCUAUUCUGGCUAGUUUUGUAUGCUAUUACUCACUGAUUUUGGAUCCCGCUGCGACCCGAACGUUUCGGGAACCCCGAGAUCCACUUAUGGGGAACUCAUCAAAACUCGCAGUUUUUGACUAUUCCGACCAGUUUUCUAUGCUAUUAGUUACAGAUUUUGGGUUCCGCUUUGAUCCGAAUGUUUCGGGAACCCUUGGGUCCAGUUAUGGGGAACUCGUCAAAACUCUUGUGAUCCGAAAGUUUCAGGAACCCCGGGGUCCGGUUACGGGGAACUCAUCAAAACUCGAAGUUUUAGCCUAUCGGGAACCCUUGGGUCCAGUUAUGGGGAACUCGUCAAAACUCUUGUGAUCCGAAAGUUUCAGGAACCCCGGGGUCCGGUUACGGGGAACUCAUCAAAAAGCGUUGUUUUUGCCUAUUCUGGACGGUUUUGUAUGCUAUUACUCAGUGAUUUUGGGUCCCGCUGCGAUCCAAACGUUUCGGGAAUCCCGGGGUCCGGUUACGUGGAACUCAUCAAAACUCGCAGUUUUGGCCUAUUUUGGGUAGUUUUGUAUGCUAUUACUCAUUAAUUUUGGAUCCCGCCUCGAUCCGAACGUUUUCUAUGCUAUUAGUCACUGAUUUUGGGUUUUGCNNNNNNNNNNNNNNNNNNNNNNNNNNNNNNNNNNNNNNNNNNNNNNNNNNNNNNNNNNNNNNNNNNNNNNNNNNNNNNNNNNNNNNNNNNNNNNNNNNNNCAUAGUCACCACCUAGUCCACGCGUCAAGAUUACCUUCACCCGGUGGCUUGGACUACAUGUUGCUAUGCACAGGAGCUCCAUAAGAGUCAGCCCUUGUUGAAAUACGCUGCACAUCUUUCUCAUUCGCUUACGCUUAUAAAUAAAUGUGUUGGUCGGUUAAUGCAAUUUAAUCAAAACGGCACGGAGUGACCAGCCCGGAUUUUUUUGAGCUGAAAACAGCUGAGCAUUUAAGCAUGCAAUUCAACAUGGCUAAGGAGAUUGACCCCUAAUUUAAGAAGUGAAAUUUUUUAGUGUAGCCUCAAUUGAUAUAUGAAUCCUCCCUGAUCUUCCUUUUUCCUCAUGCAUGUGAAGAUAAAAUAAAAUCAAAAUGUACAAUAAAUAAACUAUUUUUCUGCUGUUUCCAGAUAAAUAUGGUUCUAGUUAUGAUUGUCCAAAUGUAUACCUUUUUGAGUUAGACCAAGUUUUGACCCGCAAAUAGAAAAAGGAAAAAAGGGUUUGACCAAGUUCUCAGAACAAUGCAUCAACGUGUACAAGAUGAAAUGAAGAGAUUGUGAACAUAUGUUUCAUGAUUGAUCUGAAUUCGAUGUUAUAAAUGUUGGUACUUGACGCACAUCGUCUCUCAUUUGUUAGCACAUCAAUUUCAAUUGCAAUGAUUCCGCGCGCUGGCAAGAUGCCUGUCGUCUCUCGUUUGUGUACGUACUGUUGAUAUGUAAGGUAGCCUUGAUGCCCGGCGAGCAUGAGCUCACCUAGCUUUCUCUUUUGCCUACUGCUAAUAUAUAUACCCACACCUAGCUUUAUGCCUGGCUGUGUGAGUGUGACUGUCAAGUGAGCUAAAUUUGUGAUACUCCCUCCAUUCCACAAUGUAGUGCGCAUGCGUUUUGCGAGGUCUAAAUUUCACCAUAAAUUUAACCAAUGAGACAGAUUGCGAUGGGAGCAAAAGUUAUAUUAUUGAAUUCGUAUAUGAAUAAAGUUUUUGAUGGUACAGUUUUUCCUUCCGUUGCAAUCAUCCACAUUGAUUAAAUUCAUUGUUAAACUUAAAACUUAAAAACCGAGGACGCACUAUAUUAUGGAAUGGAGGGAGUAGAAGCUUUAGACAGUAGGAGAAUCAUGUGUUCCAAACUCCAAAGUGUGAACAAUACGGUAUUUGGCACUUUGGCCUCCCUUUGAUCGAUGCUGUCUUCGGUCCCUGACGUACUCCCUUGGAGCUUCAUGGAGCCCUUUAUUAGAAACGUUCAAAAAUCACAUUCUGAAGCUUUGAAAAAAUAAAAAAUAAACCAUACAUUAACAUAUGGGUGUAUACUAUAUGCAUGUAAAUUUUGAGGAUAAAAUACAUUGAUUCGUAAGAUACACAAAAAAAAUGAAAAUCAUUGGUUUUAUAUAGGGAACGGUGCACAGUGCACCAUGCUGUUCACUAUUUUCAAAAUUACCAAUUACCAAUGCAUGAUGUCAAUGUAUUUUCUCAUGAAAAUUUGCACCCAUGUACAGUAUACAUUUGCAUGGCAUUGUGUGCCUUUUUUCAGAUUUUUUAAAAACUUCAAAAUAUCUGGUUGACUUUUUCAAUAUGAACAAGCAUCGACAAAAAGCAUNNNNNNNNNNNNNNNNNNNNNNNNNNNNNNNNNNNNNNNNNNNNNNNNNNNNNNNNNNNNNNNNNNNNNNNNNNNNNNNNNNNNNNNNNNNNNNNNNNNNNNNNNNNNNNNNNNNNNNNNNNNNNNNNNNNNNNNNNNNNNNNNNNNNNNNNNNNNNNNNNNNNNNNNNNNNNNNNNNNNNNNNNNNNNNNNNNNNNNNNNNNNNNNNNNNNNNNNNNNNNNNNNNAGUAGCGAUGACUAGUGGGCAUGGUAGUGGGUGCGACUUGUCUCACUUAUAGCAUCAUAUGGUGCAGCCUCACAUCAAGCAAUGCCAAAACUCGCGGGGAGGCCACCGCGAUGGGAUCCCGCGGCUGCAACCUAGAUGCAGCUCCCGCGCCGCGCCAUCGAAGACGAAGCGGGCGAGCAGGGAGAAGAGCUAACACGGGAAGGGUGAAAUACCGUAGAAUGAUUGUUAUGCGGUUUGAGUUCAAAAAAAACACGGGAAGGCUGGAGAGGAGGUAGAAGAAGUCCCGCCGUUGCCACAGGCCGGCUGAAGGCCGCCGUCAACGGCGGCAAGGAGAGGCCUAAUCGCCCCCGAGUCGCCCCCGAGUCGCCUACGUGAGACGACGCGAGGGGGGGUGGGGAAUCUUCACCACCCUGGUAUUACUACCAAUAUUACAUAUAUUUAACCCAAAUGAUAAUGCCCACACGUGUGACAUGUUUCUACUUUGCCCUCAUGCCAACUCUUAUUUUACCCAAAUGAUAAUAUCCAUUCUGUUUUGCAUGAAUCUUCAAGGAAUCUGUUGAAAUUUCAGUGCAACGUAGGCAUCAUCGUGUUUGUGGGCGUUUGAGAGUUCGCCCACACGACCCGCAUCGUGUGGUAGACAGCUACGAUCUGUGGGCAAACCAGUUUCUGUCCACAUAGUCACCACCUAGUCCACGCGUGUGUGGGCGAACUGUUUUUCGCCCACACAACGCUCGUCUGUUGCUAGAUGGCAACUGUGUUUGUGCGUAUGUGGCAACUAGGUAAACUCACAUGGCAACUAUGAUUGAUUGCUAGAUGGCAACUGCAGUUGCGCGUACGUGCCAACCUGAUAAACAUAUGUGGCAACUAUGAUUAACAUACAUAACAAUUAUGGUUGGACCACAUGUGACAACUAGUUAAACACAUAUGAAAACUAUCUCCGGAUAACUAAAGUGUCAUCCCGGAGGUCACUAUAGUUAACCAAAACAGAGCGAGUUGUCAUGUUUUCUCAACUACAUUUGCCACCUCGGAUUACUAAAGUUGUCAUUCUUGAGGGAUAACUAAAGUGUCAUCCCGCGGGUAACAAACGUAGUUGCACCACACGCAGGGAUGGGAAUGAAUAAUACUUGUUGGGAGUGUGGUCCAAAGUAGUUGCGCCUACACGCGUUUUAGAACCGAACCGGUUCCUCUUUCUUACAUGACAUGUUUAACAGCCAUCGGCUUAGAACAUAACCAAUAUAACUCCAAGACAAUCUUCCUUGCCCUUGGCAAACAAAGAGAGAAUCGGCUCAAGGGCAUAUGAUGUGACUUGUGAUAUAGGCCUUCCAACCGCUUUUAACAAGAUAAUUAAGCUACUGUAAUUUAAUUUGUGGUAGCUUUAGAAACACCAUCUAUACUACUAGUAAAUAUAUGUAAUCUUGCAACAGACUGUAAAUACUAGUAAAUAUAUGUAAUCCCGCUAGAGAUCCGGUCAGCGGCACAUAGCAUGGUGGUGGUCUUCAACAUGGCCUUCACCUUCAUCAUCGCCCAUAUCUUCAUCAUGAUGCUCUACCACUUCAAGUUCGGCCCCUUCUACUUCUUUGGCAUCUGCGAGCUCCUCAUGACGACCGCCUUCAUCUAGUUCUUCCUGCCGGAGACCAAGGGCAUCCCCAUCGAGGAGAUGGGCCGGAUCUAGGCCACGCAUUGGUACUAGAAGCGCUUCCGUGCUUUGUUGAGGGCAAUGGCAGACUCCGAAAUGUCCACUUGACGUCAUCCAACGCCGUAUGACCAACAUCGAUGGACUGGCUCAGUCCAUCAUAGUUUUGAUGAUUGAUCUCCUUUGGCUAGAUAUAUAUCCCUAGUGUGGUCGUUAGCUAGAGGAUGUUUAUCAUAGAGUUAGUUAUUAAUUAGUUUGGGGAAAACCUAGUUAAUUAUGUGGAUUAAUGUUGAUGCGUAGCAGGAAUUGAACGACUCGACAAAUUAAUCUACUACUACUGUGCCGAUCCUGGUAAAUAAUAUACCACGACUUUCGUGUUUAGAGAUNNNNNNNNNNNNNNNNNNNNNNNNNNNNNNNNNNNAAAAGUAGUGAAUCGAAACACAUGACACGGGCAGUUUUUUAGUAGCACACCACACCAAACCACACAGCACCAAUCAAGAUGAACGACAGAACAGAAAAGUAGUGAAUCGAAACACAUGACUAGUAGUACUUGAGUACUAAUUAGACAUCACCAGGGUGUUCUUAGGCGUGGCGGGCUCUGGCCGGCUGAUGAUCCCGACGUGGGUGAGCAAGGCCCACAGGAGCGUUAUCAGCUCCCCGCCCCGCGCAAUGGCCUCGGCGUGAGCGUCCGAGGGGGCGGCAUAGAGGAUCAUCUCGGACCAGAAGUCCAUGAGGACCUCCCAUGCCUCCUCUUCUCCUUUAUCCUCCAACAGCUCAAUCAGCUUCUUGCCGAGCUCUGCGCCAUUCUUAUGAUCAAAGUAGGCGCAGUAGCGUGACAAGUGUGUGGCGGCGAUCUUAUGAUCAAAGUCAGCCUUCCCCGAUCUACUCACUUCCAGGAUGCUCGUGGCAAUGUGAGCCACCAGCAUUGUAUUAGCAAUACCUUUGACGCCAUUGGACUGUGAGAAAGGGGUUGUUGUCGGCCUGUAGUUGUAGCCUUGUGCAUAGGGAUGCCACGCCAUUGCUUCGGUUCCUCAGUGGCUUGAGGACGGCAGUCUUCACAACUGUCGGUACCUUCUUCCGGUCAAGCACAGGGAUGAGGCGAUGAAGAAGAGCCAGUGGAGUUGUUCUUGGGUUGAGGGUCAAUACUGAGCACUGGUUCAUUUUGUCCACCCAAUGAUUUAGCAGCUUGCAUUUUCUGCGUAGCACAAGGCCUAGUAACUUGUUCUUCCAAGGUGAUUGCUGCCAAGAAGAAGCAUGCCUAACAUAGUGGUGGAUGAGGGAUACUUUAGUCCAGUUAGAGCAGAUGUAAGAAGCAAUCUCCCGUAGCUCGGAAAGCACAACUAGUGACGCAAGUAAAAAUACGGGUACAUCAUCCAAGUACCACUUUCCAUAAUGUUUCCAGGUCAAUGUAUCACAUUCAAUGCUACAUUCAAUCUGUGAACAUGAUACAUUCAAUCUGUGAAUCAUUCCAUGAAGCUUCCCCCGGCAUAUAAAGAGUUUCAUCCAACAUAUAGAACAAGCUCUAACCCAUGCUUAAGAGAGAUAUAAAUAUGCUCAAAAUGGGCAGCCAACUCCUCGAAUAUGAGGUUGUGAGAGAUGAACAAUAAUAAUCGUGAAGGAAAGAAAGCUCAAGUGUAAUCACAUCAAAUGCUCUUUCAUCAUCACUAUCCUGGAGCAACAUGUGUGGAAAUAAGUUAUAGGCCUUCAUGAAACAAGUCUCAACAAUUGUAUGCCUUGCAAAUCGGCAUCUUAGCAGCUUGAACAACGCGAAUGAAAAGCAUAAAUCUUUAAACUGUUCCCUUGAAGACCUCGGAAGCAUGUCAUCCUGCAGCUGCCAAACUUUGUCAAUGGUCACUAAGUUGUUGUUUUCAAUCCUUGCCCCAUCAGCUUGGUUGGAUAACAAUUUGAGACUGUAACCACAAGGCACCCUUUUAAGAUUUAUCAAUCUUAUGUCCUCUCCUGCAACUAUGAGUGGAGGAAGGGAAUGCUCAGUUGUUGGCCCGACAUGCUGCUUUUCAUCUUUUAGCUGCUCCAUGUAUCCAACAAUGAGAUGUGGAUUGCGCCCAAAUGCUAACGAACUUCUUGCACUGUACCAUGCAUAAUAUUUGAGAAGGAGUUUAGCAACGAUAAGAGCAAAGGAUGGAAGAAGGACCAAUACAUCUCCGGGCUCCACAUUCUUUAGCGACCAUUGUCUCGGUGAAUAAAAAUCCUUUCCUAGCAAGUUAACGACAAGGUAGGAAGUCCAUAUUGCUUGAACAAGCAGUACUGUGGCUGGAGGGGUAAUGUUGCGACCUUCCUUAUCAUCACCAGCAACUAUUGCAGUGGUGUUGAGGCCAGCAAUCUGAAUAAGACUAGCCACGAAGACAGAGAUGAUGUGGUCCUGUGUGUGACAACUCCCUGAUAUGAUGUGUGGACCAGAGAAAAUGGCGAUGACAUCUUGAUUACCAAUGGUAGAGUUAACAUACGAGAGGAUGGGCAGGAACAAGGUGUUGCACUGGUGGAAAAACAGGCUUCCGUCCAGCCCCAUAAGUCGCGAAGCUGUAGGAACCGCGACUAAUGGGACCUUUAGUCGCGGUUCUNNNNNNNNNNNNNNNNNNNNNNNNNNNNNNNNNNNNNNNNNNNNNNNNNNNNNNNNNNNNNNNNNNNNNNNNNNNNNNNNNNNNNNNNNNNNNNNNNNNNCUCUAUGCAUAUUUUUCCUACGAAAAUAUGCUUAGAAAACAGAAAAUAAAAUGUUUGAAGUUUCUAUAAAAGCAAUGAUGAUUUUUCUGAAAAGAAAAAGAUAAAAGGUUCUGAAAAUAAAAGAAGAUUUGGGGGGGGGGCCUUUAGUCGCGGNNNNGACCCGCGACUAAAGGGUACCUUUAGUCGCGGGUCUCGUCCCCAACCGCGACUAAAGGGGGGGGGCUAUAAAUACAAGUGCGGGUCGCCUCCCCUGCCGCCGUCUUCUCCAUCUCUCUCGUCUUCUCCGAUUCUCUGCCGCGCGCGCCGAAGGCCUGCCGCCGCCGUCGCCCUCGCCCUCGUCGACGCCGCCCGCCGUCGCCCUCGCCGUCGUCGCCGCCCGCCGUCGCCCUCGCCCGCGACUAAAGGGUUCACCCCUAUCCUUUCAUCUUUCCCGCGCCGCGCCCGCCUUCCUCGCUUCCUGUCGCCGCCUUCCUCGCUUCCUCCGCUCGAAGCAUUGCGCUCGUCGCUGCGCUCAUAGCCGCCCUCGUCCCCGCGCCCAUCGAUGCCGACAGGGCUCGCAGAAAAAGAACGUCUUGGAAGAACGUCUUGGAAGAACGUCUUGGAAGAACGUCUUGGAAGAAAAAGAACGUCUUGGAAGAACGUCUUGGAAGAACGUCUUGGAAGAAAAAGAACGUCUUGGAAGAACGUCUUGGAAGAAAAAGAACGUCUUGGAAGAACGUCUUGGANNNNNNNNNNNNNNNNNNNNNNNNNNNNNNNNNNNNNNNNNNNNNNNNNNNNNNNNNNNNNNNNNNNNNNNNNNNNNNNNNNNNNNNNNNNNNNNNNNNNCUAUAUGCUUAGUCCUAACAUGAAAAACAGGAUUUGCUAACACAUAAGUGGCACCAAGAUUGUCACACCAAAGACAUGGAGUUUGUGUGCGGUGCUGGCAGUCCCCGGCAAUGACACCAGAAAAGAACUGCUUCCAGUUGCUCAACAAUUAGCAAUUGUCUUGCAAUGGCCCACCAGCGUGUGGGAUCGCGGCAGUUUUCGAGGGUAGAGUAUUCAACCCAAAUUUGUUGGUUCGACACGAUGGGAGUGAAAGGAUAUUCUUCAGUAUUAGCAGUUGAGGUGUCAGCUCAACCACACCUGAAAGAUUAGUAUCUGCAAGCAGGAUAUAAGCAGCAAAGGUAGUAUGAUAGCAACGGUGCCAGAAACGAUCUGUUGACAAGGCAGACUAUUCCUAACUGAAGUAUCAAUGGCGCCAGAAAAGUAUUGUAGCAGGUAGCAGCAGUGUAAUGAGUAACAGCAGUGGCAAGGAACAACAGUAGUGACAGCAGUAGCAAGUAGCAGCAGUAGCGACUAACAGCAGUAGCAAGAAGCAACAGUAGUGGCAGCAGCAGCAGGACAAAGCAAGUAACAGUGGCAGUGGGACAAACUCGUAGGCAAUGGAUCGGUGAUUUGCUGGAUGACAUUCAUCAUGCAACAGUUAUAACACGGAGAGAUAUGUGGCUAGCUCCCGUUCGUCGAUGUGAUGUAGGCAUGCAUUCCGUGUGUAGUCAUACGUGCUUAGGGAAAAGAACUUGCAUGACAUCUAUUGUCCAUCCCUCCCGUGGCAGCGGGGUCCAAAGGGAUACUACGGGAUAACACAUUAAGGUUCUCCUUUUAAUAAAGAACCGGACCAACGCAUUAGCACUUGGUGAACACAUGAACUCCUCAAACUAUGGUCAUCACCGGGAGUGGUUCCGGUUAUUGUCACUCCGGGGUUGCCGGUUCAUAACACAUAGUAGGUAACUACAACUUGCAAGAUCGGAUCUAAAACACACAUAUAUUGGUGACAACAUAAUAAUUUCAGAUCUGAAAUCAUGGCACUCGGGCCCUAGUGACAAGCAUUAAGCAUGGCAAAGUAGUAGCAACAUCAAUCUCAGAACAUAGUGGAUACUAGGGAUCAAUCCCCGUCAAAACUAACUCGAUUACAUGAUAGAUCUCAUCCUACUCAUCACCACCCAGCGAGCCUACGAAUAGAUUACUCACGAACGAUGAAGAGCUUCAUGGAAUUGGAGAGGGAAGAAGGUUGAUGAUGACGAUGGCCACGAUCUCCUUGAUCUGGAGCCCAAAACGGACUCCAGAUCUGCCCUCCAGGGCAAGAACGGGAUGUGGCGGCGCCUCUGGAUUGUAAAACGCGAUGAAAUCUUCUCUCUUGAUUUUUUCCGGGACGAAAUGGAAUAAAUAGCGCUGGAAUUGGGGGCGGCAGAGCCACGUGGGCCCCACAAGCCUGGUCGCCGCGGCCAGGGGGAGGCCGCGGCCACAGGGCUUGUGGCCCACUGGCCCGUACCCUCUGGUGGAUCUUUGUUGGGGAACGUCGCAUGGGAAACAUUCGUCAUUCCCGGUACAUUCCCGGUAACUCCGAAAACCUUCCGGUAAUCAAAUGAGGUCAUCCUAUAUAUCAAUCUUCGUUUCCGGACCAUUCCGGAAACCCUCGUGACGUCCGUGAUCUCAUCCGGGACUCCGAACAACAUUCGGUAACCAACCAUAUAACUCAAAUACGCAUAAAAUAACGUCGAACCUUAAGUGUGCAGACCCUGCGGGUUCGAGAACUAUGUAGACUUGAGCCGAGAGACUCCUCGGUCAAUAUCCAAUAGCGGGACCUGGAUGCCCAUAUUGGAUCCUACAUAUUCUACGAAGAUCUUAUCGUUUGAACCUCAGUGCCAAGGAUUCAUAUAAUCCCGUAUGUCAUUCCCUUUGUCCUUCGGUAUGUUACUUGCCCGAGAUUCGAUCGUCAGUAUCCGCAUACCUAUUUCAAUCUCGUUUACCGGCAAGUCUCUUUACUCGUUCCGUAAUACAAGAUCCCGCAACUUACAUUAAGUUACAUUGCUUGCAAGGCUUGUGUGUGAUGUUGUAUUACCGAGUGGGCCCCGAGAUACCUCUCCGUCACACGGAGUGACAAAUCCCAGUCUCGAUCCAUACUAACUCAACGAACACCUUCGGAGAUACCUGUAGAGCAUCUUUAUAGUCACCCAAUUACGUUGCGACGUUUGAUACACACAAAGCAUUCCUCCGGUGUCCGUGAGUUAUAUGAUCUCAUGGUCAUAGGAAUAAAUACUUGACACGCAGAAAACAGUAGCAACAAAAUGACACGAUCAACAUGCUACGUCUAUUAGUUUGGGUCUAGUCCAUCACAUGAUUCUCCUAAUGAUGUGAUCCCGUUAUCAAGUGACAACACUUGCCUAUGGCCAGGAAACCUUGACCAUCUUUGAUCAACGAGCUAGUCAACUAGAGGCUUACUAGGGACAGUGUUUUGUCUACGUAUCCACACAAGUAUUGUGUUUCCAAUCAAUAGAAUUAUAGCAUGGAUAAUAAACCAUUAUCAUGAACUAAGAAAUAUAAUAAUAACUAAUUUAUUAUUGUCUCUAGGGCAUAUUUCCAACAAUCUUUGCGCAGGUAUUUUUCAUAUUUUCUAGAAAUAUUCUCCGUAAAUUUUCAAGACGUUCCGAGAACUUUCAUUUCUGCACAAAAACAACACCAUGACAAUUCUGCUGAAAACAACGUUAGUCCGGGUUAGUUCCAUUCAAAUCAUGCAAAUUAGAGUCCAAAACAAGGGCAAAAGAGUUUGGAAAAGUAGAUACGAUGGAGACGUAUCAACUCCCCCAAGCUUAAAACCUUGCUUGUCCUCAAGCAACUCAGUUGACAAACUGAAAGAGAAAGAAAAACUUUGACAAACUCUGUUUGAUCUUGUUGUUGCAACUAUGUCUAACUCAUAACCAGAAUUUCAGCAAGAUCACAAGUUAACCACAUAAGCAAGUGACACAAAGGUCUCACGGUAAACUAAUAUCAAUGGCAUAAACAGCUAGCGAGCAAAUAAUAAUGAGUUUCAGAUACCAACAAUUCAAUAAAACAAGCAUGAAGCAAUAUGAAUAGGUGGUACCUCGCUAGCUCUUUCUGAGACCGCAAAACAUAAAUGCAGAGCACUUUCAAAUAUCAAGGGCUGACUAAACAUUGUAAUUCAUAGCAACGAAGAUCCAGUCAUAGUCAUACUCAAUAUCAAUCAAAAGCAAGGCAUAGAAAUGACAGAGGUGCUCUCUAAUUGGUGCUUAUAUAAGAAGAGGAUGACUCAACAAGAAAAUAAAUAGACAGGCCCUUCGCAGAGGGAAGCAUUGAUUUGCAGAGGUGCCAGAGCUCAAGCUUUGAAAACAGAGAUAAUAAUUUUUGGGUGGCACUACAGGAAUCAGCUUCUUUGCCGUCUGCCAUCACAGACGGCAAAGACAAAAUCCUGGACGGCAAAGACAAAACAGCAGACGACAAAGAUUCUCACGGCCGGCAAAAUUUCUGCGUCAGCCUACGACGGCAUAGGACCUUCUUUGCCGUCUGCCCCCCCCCCAAAGCGGACGACAAAGCUCUUUGUCGUCAGCUUUCCUUAGGAGCAGUCGGCAAAGUGCUCGAGACGGCAGCCGACAGGCGUUGCCUCCGUUAGGGGUUAACGGAGGCUUUGCCGUCUGCCUCUUCCUUUAUCUUUGCCGUCUGCCUCCCCCUUUAUCUUUGCCGUCUGCCUCCUCCUCCCCCCCUCCACUCUUUGUCGUAUUCCUUCCCCUCCAUCUUUGUCGUCUGCCUACUCCUCCCCUCCCCCCUCCACUCUUUGCCGUCUGCCUCUCCACCCCUCCACUCUUUGCCGUCUGCCUCUCCACCCCUCCACUCUUUGCCGUCUGCCUCUCCACCCCUCCACUCUUUGCCGUCUGCCUCUCCACCCCUCCACUCUUUGCCGUCUGCCUCUCCACCCCUCCACUCUUUGCCGUCUGCCUCUCCACCCCUCCACUCUUUGCCGUCUGCCCACCCUGGAGGCUGACGGCAAAGAUCCUAUAUACACACCCCAGGAUGCACAUCUGGGUGCCAUGUGGCAACUUUGCCAUCUGCAAGCUGAUGGCACAAGUCUUUGCCAUCAGCUGGCAGACGGCAAAGAGCCCAUAUAGUACCUGUUUUUUUUGUUUUAUAUUAUUUCACAGCACAUAUAUAUAUAUAUAUAUAUUUGGCAACACAUUUAUAUAAUUCACCACACAUAUAUGAUAUAUAGUUCACCACACAUAUACUUGCCAACACAUAUAUAUAAUUCACCACACAUAUAUGAUAUACAUAUAAAUCAAUGUACAUCCCCAUAUAUCGGAAGAACCAACAUACAAAGUAUUGCACUGUUUAUCCAUAUAUACAUAUACAUAUAGUUCGACAUUGUUCAUCAACUCAAAUAAAAACAAGAUAAUAUACAUAUAAAGUUCAUCCAUCGACAUUGUUCAACUCCAUGAAUGCCAGCUUCCAUGCAUGUAGUAUAUCCAAUCUGCAAAAAUGUGAAUAAGAAAGUCAGAAGAAGAACAAAAUAUGAUGUUUUUCAGCUAAUUAUGUCAUUUUUAGCGGAAAACAAGCUAAGAAUAUAAUAUUCAUGAGCUAACCAAGGUUCUUAUGCCAUUUUUAGCUUAUUAUGGCAUUUUGGAGCUAAAUGGGUUAAUUAAAGCAAGGAUAAUAUGAAAGAGGAGAAGAAAGAGGAGGAGGAGGAGAAGAAGAAGAAAUCAAGCAGAAGGAGGAGAAGGAGGAGGAGGAGAAGGACAAGAAGGUCCUUGGCCUUCUCCUCCUCCUCCUCCUCCUACUCCUUCUUCUCUUCUUCUUCUUCUUCUUCUUCUUGUUUCUUUUCAUUUUGCCUAUUUCUUCUCCUCUUCUCCUCUUGUUGGAGCUAAAUUACCUAAUGUCUUCCCAUCUAUGUCGAACAAUGUACCAAAAAUAGCCUCUCCGAUAUUCUUUUCAGUGUGCAUCAUGUCGAUAUUGUGUGGAAGAAGGAGGUGUUUAAAGUAAGGCAGAUCCCAGAAGCAUGGCUUGUGAGUCCAGGCGUGUUUUGAAUUAUACCCCUUGAAAUACCCUGGACGCUCUGGAUCAGGCUCGAGGGCGUUUAACUGAUCCAGGAUCAGUUGGCCUGUGAACGGAGGUGGUGCCAAGUUUUUGACAACUUUACCUUUGGUAAAGUUCUUCUUGUCUUUUCUAAACUGAUGGUCAGGAUUCAGGAAUUGUCUAUGCAAGUCAAAGCAAGAAUACUUCCGACCCUCCUGCAACCAAUGAAACUGAAGAGCUGCCUUGCAUUGGGGGCAUGGGAACCUUCCAUGCACACACCAUCCAGAGAAUACUACUGAUAAUUUACUAGGGCAUGUUCUUAUAUGUGUAACUUAUCUACAUCAAAUGUGAGCUCAUUUCAUUUAUCCAAUUCCUCUCAAUAAUUUUUACAAGUUUCUGUCCAUAGAAGAGCAUUGUGAAGGAAGUGCCACUUUGGCAUGUCCAAAUGGUAUAAAAACGUACAGUACUUUCCUAUNNNNNNNNNNNNNNNNNNNNNNNNNNNNNNNNNNNNNNNNNNNNNNNNNNNNNNNNNNNNNNNNNNNNNNNNNNNNNNNNNNNNNNNNNNNNNNNNNNNNCAUCCGGGACUCCGAACAACUUUCGGUAACCUCGUAUAACAAUUCCCUAUAACCCUAACGUCAUCGAACCUUAAGUGUGUAGACCCUACGGGUUCUGGAGACAGGCAGACAUGACCGAGACACCUCUCCGGCCAAAAACCAUCAGCGGGGUCUGGAUACCCAUGGUGGCUCCCACUUGCUCCACGAUGAUCUCAUCGGAUGAACCACGAUGUCAAGGAUUCAAUCAAUCCCGUAUACGAUUCCCUUUGUAUGUCGGUAUAGAACUUGCCCGAGAUUCGAUCGUCGGUAUACCUAUACCUUGUUCAAUCUCAUUACCGGUAAGUCUCUUUACUCGUUCCAUAGCACGUCAUCGUGUGACUAACUCCUUAGUCACAUUGAGCUCAUGAUGAUGUUCUACCGAGUGGGCCCAGAGAUACCUCUCCGUCACACAGAGUGACAAAUCCCGAUCUCGAUUCGUACCAACCCAAUAGACACUUUCAGAGAUACCGGUAGUGCACCUUUAUAGUCACCUAGUUACGUUGUGACGUUUGAUACACCCAAAGCACUCCUAUGGUAUCCGGGAGUUGCACAAUCUCACGGUCGAAGGAAAAGACACUUGACAUUAGAAAAGCUUUAACAUACGAACAAUAUGAUCUAAUGCUAUGCUUAGGAUUGGGUCUUGUCCAUCACAUCAUUCUCCCAAUGAUGUGAUCCCGUUAUCAAUGACAUCUAAUGCCCAUGAUCAGGAAACCAUGAUCAUCUAUUGACUAACGAGCUAGCCAACUAGAGACUUGCUAGGGACACAUUGUGAUCUAUUUAUUCACACAUGUAUUACUGUUUCCUGUUAAUACAAUUAUAGCAUGANNNNNNNNNNNNNNNNNNNNNNNNNNNNNNNNNNNNNNNNNNNNNNNNNNNNNNNNNNNNNNNNNNNNNNNNNNNNNNNNNNNNNNNNNNNNNNNNNNNNUAGCCGCCCCUCCCCUUCCCUCUCCUGCCGCAGAAGGAGCUCGCCGCGGCGGCGCCGCAGCAGCAGCGCGCGAGCGCCAGCAGCCGGCGCGCGCGGUCCUGGCUGUAUUCCGAUUUUGAGGGUUCUAGUCUUUGCCCCUGUUUUUCAACCCUUAAAAGUGUCAAAAAUGUGCAAUUCUCAACCCUUAAAACUGGUUUUUGUUUUAAGGGUUUGAGGGUUCUACUAGACAUGCUCUAAUCGCCCCCGAGUCGCCUACGUGAGACGACGCGAGGGGGGGGAGGGGAAUCUUCACCACCCUGGUAUUACUACCAAGAUUACAUAUAUUUAACCCAAAUGAUAAUGUCCACACGUGUGACAUGUUUGUACUUUGCCCACACGCGUCGAUCCACGUUGAUUCUGUUUUGCACGAAUCCUAAAGGAAUUUGUUGAAAUUUCAGUGCAACGUAGGCAUCAUCGUGUUUGUGGGCGUUGGAGAGUUCGACCACACGACCCGGCAGCGCGUGGUAGACAUCUACGAUGUGUGGGCAAACCAGUUUCUGUCCACACAGUCACCACCUAGUCCACGCGUGUGUGGGCGAACUGUGCUUCGCCCACUUGAUGCUCGUCUGUUGCUAGAUGGCAACUGUAGUUGUGCGUACGUCGCAACUAUGAUGGGCAACUAUGAUUCAUUGCUAGAUGGCAAGUGCAAUUGCGCGUACGUGCCAACCGGAUAAGCAUACGUGACAACUAUGAUUAACAUACAUAGCAAUUAUGGUUGGACCACAUGUGACAACUAGUUAAACACAUAUGACAACUAUCUCCGGAUAACUAAAGUGUCAUCCCGCAGGUCACUAUAGUUAACUAAAACAGAGAGAGUUGUCAUGUUUUCUCAACUACAUUUGCCAUCUCGGGUUACUAAAAUUUUCAUUCCCGAGGGGUAACUAAAGUUUCAUCUCGCGGGUAACUAACUUAGCUGCGUCAUGUAUGUGAGAAGAUAUGCUCCGUGCCACACGCGGGGAUGGGAAUGAAUAAUACUUGUUUGGAGUGUGGUCCGAAGUAGUUGCGCCUACACGCGUUUUUGAACCGAACCGGCUCCUCUUUCGUACAUGACAUGUUUAACAGCCAUGGGCUUUAGAACAUAACCAAUAUAACUCCAAGAUAAUCUUCCUUGCCCUUGUGAAACAAAGAGAGAAUCGACUCAAGGGCGUGUGAUGUGACUUGUGAUAUAGGCCUUCCGACCGCUUUUAACAAGAUAAUUAAGCUACUGUAAUUUAAUUUGUGGUAGCUUUAGAAACACCAUCUAUACUACUAGUAAAUAUAUGUAAUCUUGCAACAGACUUUAAAUACUAGUAAAUAUAUGUAAUCCCGCUAGAGAUCCGGUCGGCGGCACAGAGCAUGGUGGUGGUCUUCAACAUGGCCUUCACCUUCAUCAUCGCCCAGAUCUUCAUCAUGAUGCUCUACCACUUCAAGUUCGGCCCCUUCUACUUCUUUGGCGUCCGCGAGCUCCUCAUGACCGCCUUCAUCUAGUUCUUCCUGCCGGAGACCAAGGGCAUCCCCAUCAAGGAGAUGGACCGGAUCUGGGCCACGCAUUGGUACUAGAGAUAGUGAAGCGCUUUGUUAAGGGCAAUGGCAGACUUGAAAUGUCCACUUGACGUCAUCCAACGCCGUAUGACCAACAUCGAUGGACUGCCUCAGUCCAUCAUAGUUUUGAUGAUUGAUCUCCUUUGGCUAGAUAUAUAUCCCUAGUGUGGUCGUUAGCUAGAGGAUGUUUAUCAUAGAGUUAGUUAUUAAUUAGUUUCGGGAAAACCUAGUUAAUUAUGUGUAUUAAUGUUGAUGCGUAGCAGGAAUUGAACGACUCGACAAAUUAAUCUACUACUGCUGUGAUGAUCCUGGUAAAUAAUAUACCACGACUUUGGUGUUUAGAGAUUGAAGAGCNNNNNNNNNNNNNNNNNNNNNNNNNNNNNNNNNNNNNNNNNNNNNNNNNNNNNNNNNNNNNNNNNNNNNNNNNNNNNNNNNNNNNNNNNNNNNNNNNNNNNNNNNNNNNNNNNNNNNNNNNNNNNNNNNNNNNNNNNNNNNNNNNNNNNNNNNNNNNNNNNNNNNNNNNNNNNNNNNNNNNNNNNNNNNNNNNNNNNNNNNNNNNNNNNNNNNNNNNNNNNNNNNNNNNNNNNNNNNNNNNNNNNNNNNNNNNNNNNNNNNNNNNNNNNNNNNNNNNNNNNNNNNNNNNNNNNNNNNNNNNNNNNNNNNNNNNNNNNNNNNNNNNNNNNNNNNNNNNNNNNNNNNNNNNNNNNNNNNNNNNNNNNNNNNNNNNNNNNNNNNNNNNNNNNNNNNNNNNNNNNNNNNNNNNNNNNNNNNNNNNNNNNNNNNNNNNNNNNNNNNNNNNNNNNNNNNNNNNNNNNNNNNNNNNNNNNNNNNNNNNNNNNNNNNNNNNNNNNNNNNNNNNNNNNNNNNNNNNNNNNNNNNNNNNNNNNNNNNNNNNNNNNNNNNNNNNNNNNNNNNNNNNNNNNNNNNNNNNNNNNNNNNNNNNNNNNNNNNNNNNNNNNNNNNNNNNNNNNNNNNNNNNNNNNNNNNNNNNNNNNNNNNNNNNNNNNNNNNNNNNNNNNNNNNNNNNNNNNNNNNNNNNNNNNNNNNNNNNNNNNNNNNNNNNNNNNNNNNNNNNNNNNNNNNNNNNNNNNNNNNNNNNNNNNNNNNNNNNNNNNNNNNNNNNNNNNNNNNNNNNNNNNNNNNNNNNNNNNNNNNNNNNNNNNNNNNNNNNNNNNNNNNNNNNNNNNNNNNNNNNNNNNNNNNNNNNNNNNNNNNNNNNNNNNNNNNNNNNNNNNNNNNNNNNNNNNNNNNNNNNNNNNNNNNNNNNNNNNNNNNNNNNNNNNNNNNNNNNNNNNNNNNNNNNNNNNNNNNNNNNNNNNNNNNNNNNNNNNNNNNNNNNNNNNNNNNNNNNNNNNNNNNNNNNNNNNNNNNNNNNNNNNNNNNNNNNNNNNNNNNNNNNNNNNNNNNNNNNNNNNNNNNNNNNNNNNNNNNNNNNNNNNNNNNNNNNNNNNNNNNNNNNNNNNNNNNNNNNNNNNNNNNNNNNNNNNNNNNNNNNNNNNNNNNNNNNNNNNNNNNNNNNNNNNNNNNNNNNNNNNNNNNNNNNNNNNNNNNNNNNNNNNNNNNNNNNNNNNNNNNNNNNNNNNNNNNNNNNNNNNNNNNNNNNNNNNNNNNNNNNNNNNNNNNNNNNNNNNNNNNNNNNNNNNNNNNNNNNNNNNNNNNNNNNNNNNNNNNNNNNNNNNNNNNNNNNNNNNNNNNNNNNNNNNNNNNNNNNNNNNNNNNNNNNNNNNNNNNNNNNNNNNNNNNNNNNNNNNNNNNNNNNNNNNNNNNNNNNNNNNNNNNNNNNNNNNNNNNNNNNNNNNNNNNNNNNNNNNNNNNNNNNNNNNNNNNNNNNNNNNNNNNNNNNNNNNNNNNNNNNNNNNNNNNNNNNNNNNNNNNNNNNNNNNNNNNNNNNNNNNNNNNNNNNNNNNNNNNNNNNNNNNNNNNNNNNNNNNNNNNNNNNNNNNNNNNNNNNNNNNNNNNNNNNNNNNNNNNNNNNNNNNNNNNNNNNNNNNNNNNNNNNNNNNNNNNNNNNNNNNNNNNNNNNNNNNNNNNNNNNNNNNNNNNNNNNNNNNNNNNNNNNNNNNNNNNNNNNNNNNNNNNNNNNNNNNNNNNNNNNNNNNNNNNNNNNNNNNNNNNNNNNNNNNNNNNNNNNNNNNNNNNNNNNNNNNNNNNNNNNNNNNNNNNNNNNNNNNNNNNNNNNNNNNNNNNNNNNNNNNNNNNNNNNNNNNNNNNNNNNNNNNNNNNNNNNNNNNNNNNNNNNNNNNNNNNNNNNNNNNNNNNNNNNNNNNNNNNNNNNNNNNNNNNNNNNNNNNNNNNNNNNNNNNNNNNNNNNNNNNNNNNNNNNNNNNNNNNNNNNNNNNNNNNNNNNNNNNNNNNNNNNNNNNNNNNNNNNNNNNNNNNNNNNNNNNNNNNNNNNNNNNNNNNNNNNNNNNNNNNNNNNNNNNNNNNNNNNNNNNNNNNNNNNNNNNNNNNNNNNNNNNNNNNNNNNNNNNNNNNNNNNNNNNNNNNNNNNNNNNNNNNNNNNNNNNNNNNNNNNNNNNNNNNNNNNNNNNNNNNNNNNNNNNNNNNNNNNNNNNNNNNNNNNNNNNNNNNNNNNNNNNNNNNNNNNNNNNNNNNNNNNNNNNNNNNNNNNNNNNNNNNNNNNNNNNNNNNNNNNNNNNNNNNNNNNNNNNNNNNNNNNNNNNNNNNNNNNNNNNNNNNNNNNNNNNNNNNNNNNNNNNNNNNNNNNNNNNNNNNNNNNNNNNNNNNNNNNNNNNNNNNNNNNNNNNNNNNNNNNNNNNNNNNNNNNNNNNNNNNNNNNNNNNNNNNNNNNNNNNNNNNNNNNNNNNNNNNNNNNNNNNNNNNNNNNNNNNNNNNNNNNNNNNNNNNNNNNNNNNNNNNNNNNNNNNNNNNNNNNNNNNNNNNNNNNNNNNNNNNNNNNNNNNNNNNNNNNNNNNNNNNNNNNNNNNNNNNNNNNNNNNNNNNNNNNNNNNNNNNNNNNNNNNNNNNNNNNNNNNNNNNNNNNNNNNNNNNNNNNNNNNNNNNNNNNNNNNNNNNNNNNNNNNNNNNNNNNNNNNNNNNNNNNNNNNNNNNNNNNNNNNNNNNNNNNNNNNNNNNNNNNNNNNNNNNNNNNNNNNNNNNNNNNNNNNNNNNNNNNNNNNNNNNNNNNNNNNNNNNNNNNNNNNNNNNNNNNNNNNNNNNNNNNNNNNNNNNNNNNNNNNNNNNNNNNNNNNNNNNNNNNNNNNNNNNNNNNNNNNNNNNNNNNNNNNNNNNNNNNNNNNNNNNNNNNNNNNNNNNNNNNNNNNNNNNNNNNNNNNNNNNNNNNNNNNNNNNNNNNNNNNNNNNNNNNNNNNUAAUACAAGAUCCCGCAACUUACAUUAAGUUACAUUGCUUGCAAGGCUUGUGUGUGAUGUUGUAUUACCGAGUGGGCCCCGAGAUACCUCUCCGUCACACGGAGUGACAAAUACCUGUAGAGCAUCUUUAUAGUCACCCAAUUACGUUGCGACGUUUGAUACACACAAAGCAUUCCUCCGGUGUCCGUGAGUUAUAUGAUCUCAUGGUCAUAGGAAUAAAUACUUGACACGCAGAAAACAGUAGCAACAAAAUGACACGAUCAACAUGCUACGUCUAUUAGUUUGGGUCUAGUCCAUCACAUGAUUCUCCUAAUGAUGUGAUCCCGUUAUCAAGUGACAACACUUGCCUAUGGCCAGGAAACCUUGACCAUCUUUGAUCAACGAGCUAGUCAACUAGAGGCUUACUAGGGACAGUGUUUUGUCUAUGUAUCCACACAAGUAUUGUGUUUCCAAUCAAUACAAUUAUAGCAUGGAUAAUAAACGAUUAUCAUGAACUAAGAAAUAUAAUAAUAACUAAUUUAUUAUUGCCUCUAGGGCAUAUUUCCAACNNNNNNNNNNNNNNNNNNNNNNNNNNNNNNNNNNNNNNNNNNNNNNNNNNNNNNNNNNNNNNNNNNNNNNNNNNNNNNNNNNNNNNNNNNNNNNNNNNNNCGUACGGCUUGUAGGGCUGGUUAGCGCAUGUGUCUCCUCCUUUGCCUGGAUCAGGUGGCGUCGUGUGCAUAUGCAAGAUAGGAAAUAGCUUUGCUUUAGACAGUAGGAGAAUCAUGCAUGUGUUUCCAAGUGUUGCCUUUGGCACUUUGGCUGCUCUUUGAUCGAUGCUCUUUGGCAUUUAAUUAAGCUCGGAAUCUCCUUUUGAUAUAGCUUCUGUGUUGCUCCAUCCCUUUUAUAUAUUUCGUCCUUGCUUCUCACUUUACGUAUCCAGUGAAAUCUGAUGUAUGUUGUGGUCUUUCCGUAGCUCUAGUACGUCACUGAUAUAUCUUGGUUAAUUCGGUUAACCAUUCGGGUUUUAGGUAUAUGCAAAAAAGAAAAGUGGAACUUCAAAACGGUCAGGAAAUUUCAUGCUGAAUAUCAUAAACCAUAAAAAAAUAUAAUUCGUUUGGUUUCGUUUUCUUGGUUCAAUUUUAAAAUGAGAGUGAGAUCAGACCGUACCGUUCAACAUAGGGGUGGAACAAUGGUGUUGGGUAUGUGAAAAGUAUAUGAAGUGUCUCUACCUCCAUACAUGGGAGCCGCGGUGUUAUAUAUUGAUCAGGAGAGCCAACUCUCGGUAGGUUACAUAGAUCGAUCUACUUGAGAUCAUUGGAGAUAUUACAAGAGGGAGAUCGAAAUAAACAAGAUAAGAACUAGUUUCAACUACCUCCUGAAUACAACCUUGUCUUGCAACGCAAGCCUUCGGGUAUAACUAUCUAGAGAUACGACUCUAGAGAUAAGACGUGUUUCAACACCCUCCCAUAAUCAAAACUUUCCUAAGUUGAGAUUACGUUUAAACACUUCAAAUAACUUUGUAGAAAAGCCUUUGUAAACCCAUCGGUGACUUGAUCGCCGAUUAUUUGCUUGCAACUCUCUCUCUCACAAAAUGAUAGUCGAUCUCUAUAUGCUUAGUCCUAACAUGAAAAACAGGAUUUGCUAACACAUAAGUGGCACCAAGAUUGUCACACCAAAGACAUGGAGUUUGUGUGCGGUGCUGGCAGUCCCCGGGAAUGACACCAGAAAAGAACCGCUUCCAGUUGCUCAACAAUUAGCAAUUGUCUUGCAAUGGCCCACCAGCGUGUGGGAUCGCGGCAGUUUUCGAGGGUAGAGUAUUCAACCCAAAUUUGUUGGUUCGACACGAUGGGAGUGAAAGGAUAUUCUUCAGUAUUAGCAGUUGAGGUGUCAGCUCAACCACACCUGAAAGAUUAGUAUCUGCAAGCAGGAUAUAAGCAGCAAAGGUAGUAUGAUAGCAACGGUGCCAGAAACGAUCUGUUGACAAGGCAGACUAUUCCUAACUGAAGUAUCAAUGGCGCCAGAAAAGUAUUGUAGCAGGUAGCAGCAGUGUAAUGAGUAACAGCAGUGGCAAGGAACAACAGUAGUGACAGCAGUAGCAAGUAGCAGCAGUAGCAAGUAGCAAUAGUAGUGGCAGCAGCAGCAACAGGACAAAGCAAGUAACAGUGGCAGUGGGACAAACUCGUAGGCAAUGGAUCGGUGAUUUGCUGGAUGACAUUCAUCAUGCAACAGUUAUAACACGGAGAGAUAUGUGGCUAGCUCCCGUUCGUCGAUGUGAUGUAGGCAUGCAUUCCGUGUGUAGUCAUACGUGCUUAGGGAAAAGAACUUGCAUGACAUCUAUUGUCCAUCCCUCCCGUGGCAGCGGGGUCCAAAGGGAUACUACGGGAUAACACAUUAAGGUUCUCCUUUUAAUAAAGAACCGGACCAACGCAUUAGCACUUGGUGAACACAUGAACUCCUCAAACUAUGGUCAUCACCGGGAGUGGUUCCGGUUAUUGUCACUCCGGGGUUGCCGGUUCAUAACACAUAGUAGGUAACUACAACUUGCAAGAUCGGAUCUAAAACACACAUAUAUUGGUGACAACAUAAUAAUUUCAGAUCUGAAAUCAUGGCACUCGGGCCCUAGUGACAAGCAUUAAGCAUGGCAAAGUAGUAGCAACAUCAAUCUCAGAACAUAGUGGAUACUAGGGAUCAAUCCCCGUCAAAACUAACUCGAUUACAUGAUAGAUCUCAUCCUACUCAUCACCACCCAGCGAGCCUACGAAUAGAUUACUCACGAACGAUGAAGAGCUUCAUGGAAUUGGAGAGGGAAGAAGGUUGAUGAUGACGAUGGCCACGAUCUCCUUGAUCUGGAGCCCAAAACGGACUCCAGAUCUGCCCUCCAGGGCAAGAACGGGAUGUGGCGGCGCCUCUGGAUUGUAAAACGCGAUGAAAUCUUCUCUCUUGAUUUUUUCCGGGACGAAAUGGAAUAAAUAGCGCUGGAAUUGGGGGCGGCAGAGCCACGUGGGCCCCACAAGCCUGGUCGCCGCGGCCAGGGGGAGGCCGCGGCCACAGGGCUUGUGGCCCACUGGCCCGUACCCUCUGGUGGAUCUUUGUUGGGGAACGUCGCAUGGGAAACAUUCGUCAUUCCCGGUACAUUCCCGGUAACUCUAAAAAUCUUCCGGUAAUCAAAGGGCAAAAGAGUUUGGAAAAGUAGAUACGAUGGAGACGUAUCAACUCCCCCAAGCUUAAAACCUUGCUUGUCCUCAAGCAACUCAGUUGACAAACUGAAAGAGAAAGAAAAACUUUGACAAACUCUAUUUGAUCUUGUUGUUGCAACUAUGUCUAACUCAUAACCAGAAUUUCAGCAAGAUCACAAGUUAACCACAUAAGCAAAUGACACAAAGGUCUCACGGUAAACUAAUAUCAAUGGCAUAAACAGCUAGCGAGCAAAUAAUAAUGAGUUUCAGAUACCAACAAUUCAAUCAAAACAAGCAUGAAGCAAUAUGAAUAGGUGGUAUCUCGCUAGCUCUUUCUGAGACCGCAAAACAUAAAUGCAGAGCACUUUCAAAGAUCAAGGGGUGACUAAACAUUGUAAUUCAUAGCAACGAAGAUCCAGUCAUAGUCAUACUCAAAAUCAAUCAAAAGCAAAGCAUAAAAAUGACAGAGGUGCUCUCUAAUUGGUGCUUAUAUAAGAAGAGGAUGACUCGACAGGAAAAUAAAUAGACAGGCCCUUCGCUGAGGGAAGUAUUGAUUUGGAGAGGUGCCAUAGCUCAAGCUUUGAAAACAGAGAUAAUAAUUUUGGGUGGCAUGCUUUCAUUAUCAACGCAAUGACCAAGAGUUCUCAAUAUCUUCCAUGCUACUCAUGCUAUAGGAGGUUCCCAAAUAGAAAAGUAAAGUUUUAACUCCCCCACCACCAAUCAAUCACACUCCACGGCUAGCCGAAUCCUCAGGUACCAUCCAUACUAACAUCAAUCCGGGGCGAGUCUUCUUUUACAGUUAUGUUUUCGAUUUAAGCGUGGAACUGGGCAUUCCAAUUACCGGCCCCUUUCUCGUGAAUCACAGUGAAUAAACACAUGUCGAGGAUAACACGCCUAACAUGGAAGAUACCAAUAGCCCCCUGUCACCACAUGAGCGGUUCGGGCAUGCAAAACAGAUUAUUUCUUGAAGGUUUAGAGAAUGGCACAUGUAAAUUUACUUGGAACGGCAGGUAAAUACCGCAAAUAGGUAGGUAUGGUGGACUCACAUGGAACAACUUUGGGUUUGUGGAAGUGGAUGCACAAGCAGUAUUCCCGCUUAGUACAAGUGAAGGCUAGCAAAAGACUGGGAAGUGACCAACUAGAGAGCGACAACAGUCAUCAAGAUGGAAUGAGUUUGAGUAACAUUGAGUGCAAGCAUGAGCAGGAUAGAAAUCACCAUGAACACGAACAUCAUAGAGGCUAUGUUGAUUUUGUUUCAACUACAUGCAUGAACAUGCGCCAAGUCAAGCCACUUGAAUCAUUCAAAGGAGAAUACCAUCCUAUCAUACUACAUCAUAGUCAUCUCAAAAUCUAUGUUGGCAUUCAAGACAAACCAUUAUAGGCUCCUAGCUAAUUAAGCAUGGCAUCAGAAACUAUGAUCUCUAAGUUGUCAUUGCAAACAUGGUUCUCUCUAACAAAGCUGAAUCUGGGACGACAAGCUAGUCAUAUUUACAAAAACAAAAUAGAUAGAGUUCAUACCAGCUUUUCCAGACUCAGUCACUUCAUCAUAUAUCAUCAUUAUUGCCUUUCACUUGCACGACCGAACGAUGUGAACAAUAACAAGAGAGUGCUCGUUCAUUCGACUAAGCUGAAUCAGCAAGCAAACACAAAGGAGAAGACAAAGUAAUAUGGCUCUUUAACAAAUUAAUACAUCAUGUCAUAUUCCCUCUUUCAUGUCUUCCUUUGUUAUUAGGCAUGUUCUUUAUUCCUUUGUUCUUUGCUAAAAAGGAAAGCUCUUGUACAAUAUACAUUCUUUUGUCCCAUAUACACAUCUAAUGUAGUAGCUGAUUUGGUGUUGUAUAAAUGUCGGUGCUCGAUCUCUCCGGCUCUUAUUAAUUGUCGCUUUAAACAUGGCACGGGUGGAGUACAUUAUUUGCUAGGAGCAAGAACGAACUUAGACAAGUUUCACCUAUGAGCAAGAACUAUUUACAGCAUGAACUAGUGUAAAUCAACUUUGCAUUUGAAGUUACAUAGUAUCUCUGAUGUGAAUCAACUUUGCAUUUGAAGUUACAUAGUAACUGUGAUGUGAUGUGAACAUCUUUAAAAGGAAUUCUAGAUUCCUGACGUACGGCUUGUAGGGCUGGUUAGCGCAUGUGUCUCCUCCUUUGCCUACCUAGCCUGGAUCAGGUGGCGUCGUGUGCAUAUGCAACAUAGGAAAUAGCUUUGCUUUAGACAGUAGGAGAAUCAUGCAUGUGUUUCCAAGAGUGUACAAUACAAUAUGGUCUUGCCUUUGGCACUUUGGCCGCUCUUUGAUUCAUUGCUCUUUGGCGAUUAAUUAAGCUCGGAAUCUCCUUUUGAUAUAACUUCUGUGUUGCUCCAUCCCUUUUAUAUAUUUCGUCCUUGCUUCUCUCGAAACAGGCAUUCGCCCCUCUUUAUAAAUAAAGGCACAAACCGCACAAAGUACACAGCUGAACGAUACGUGGUGGUGAGAUGACACUCUUACAAAGCAGAUCCUAGGCUAGCCGGACCGCGAAGGAGAACAACAGCGCUACCGAAGGAGAAUACAAGAAGAAUGGAGCACAAUCACGAAACACCCUAGGACCCCUAAGCUCCUAGACAACACCCCCCAAGAGGGAGAACGGCGNNNNNNNNNNNNNNNNNNNNNNNNNNNNNNNGUCGCUGCCUAGCCCCACCGGGCAAGGGUCUUCACCCGGAAUCCUGACGCGGAGAUGAGAUCCACAGCGACGUCUUCAAAGUCACCGCGGCCCUAGGGCAGACGUGGCAUGCCCAUACCCCAGAUCCAGAUCUGGGCGACCUCCAGCAGAGGACGCGCCUGAGCCACCAACUGCUACCCCUCUCGUCGCCCGCACGAACCAAGAAGGAAGCCACCACCGCCGACAUGGCACCCGCCGGAGAGCCAACCAAGCGACCCACCCUCCACAGCCGCCGCUCCGGCAUCCAAAUCCAGGACCUCACCCACUGCCCACACCACAGAGUACCAGCCAUGGUAGGAAGAGCGAAAGUCCACAUCUUUCACUCCUAGCCCGACAUGAGCCACAGAGGUUGGUCUGGCGCCACCACAGUAGGGGCCCAGCCCUGUGUCCCCAGCCAAUCCCGGUGGACUAGAGGAGACACACCUCCGUGAUUCCCGACGGCCGUCGCCGAGUACCCUCGGACAACGCCAUAUCCGUGGCCCUCGACUCCGUGUUGCCCGACAGUACCGUGAAGUCCCGACCACCACCAACGACCACCGUACCAACGGAGGGAGGGACCUCGCCAGCCGCCGGUACAUCCCGGAUCGAGCCUAAUCACACGUACCCGGAGUAGCAACUCCGACACGCCUCGGGCCCCGAUCAGAUCCUCCCAAGCACGCCCCCAGGUCAUAGCCAUUAUAGACCGAGGAGAAGGAGGAUCACAUCCACCACGCUGCACCGUCGAUGGGCACGGCCGCAGCGCCACCGCCCCCACGAACCCGCUCCACCUGCACCCCGGUCAAACCGAUCACCGCGGCCAUACCGCCGGACCCUCCCAACAGGGCACACCACCACACCGCACCACCACUGGCACCCGAAGCCACCGGCAAUGGCCGGCCCGCGCCACCACAGCCCGCAUCGCCCAGGAGACAGCGGGCUUGGGGGCCCGAUGCAGAUCCGACACGGUCCAGCACCGCCGCCCCAAGCACGCCCUGCCACCCCGGGACCUCCAGCAGCGGCCAGCAACCCACCACCACCGAACCUCGUUGGGCCACUGAUACGUCUCCAACAUAUCUAUAAUUUUUUAUGGUUUCAUGCUAUUAUCUUGUCAAACUUUGGAUGUUUUGUAUGCCUUUUAUAUAUAUUUUGGGACUAACUUAUUAACUCAGUGCAAGGUGCCAGUUCGUGUUUUUCCAUGUUUUUUACCCCUUUUAGAGGAGAUUUUGAAACGAAGUCCAAACGGAAGAAAAUCCCUGAAAAUAAUUUUUUCUGGAACGGAAGAAUAUUGGGAAGCUUGGGAGCCAAGGCAGGGGAGCCCCAGGGGCCCCACAAGCCCCCACCCCGCGGCCAAGGGGAGGCCGCGCCAUCCAGGCUUGUGGGCCCCCUGGACGCCCUUUGCCCUAGGUCUUUCGCCUAUAUAUUCCCAUAAAUUCCAGAAAAAAUUAGGAGAUCAUCGAAAGUACUUUUCCGCCGCCGCAAGCUUCUGUCUCCGCAAGAUCCCAUCUGGGGCACGUUCUGGUGCCCUGUCGGAGGGGAGAUUCGGACACGGAGGGCUUCUUCAUCAACACCAUGACCUCUCCGAUGAUGCGUGAGUAGUUCACCAUAGACCUACGGGUCCAUAGCUAGUAACUAGAUGGCUUCUUCUCUCUCUUGGAUCUUCAAUACAAAGUUCUCCAUGAUCUUCAUGGAGAUCUAUCCGAUGUAAUCUUCUUUUGCGGUGUGUUUGUCGAGAUCCGAUGAAUUGUGGAUUUAUGAUCAGAUUAUCUAUGAAUCUUAUUUGAGUUUCUUCUGAUCUCUCUUAUGCAUGAUUUCAUAUCCUUCUAAUUCUCUUCGAGUUGUGGGUUUUGUCUGGCCAACUAGAUCUAUGAUUCUUGCAAUGGGAGAAGUGCUUGGUUUUGGGUUCAUACCGUGCGGUGACCUCACCCAGUGACAGAAGGGGUAGCGAGGCACGCAUCGUGUUGUUUCCAUCAAGGGUAACAAGAUGGGGUUUUCAUCAUUGGUUUGAUAUUAUCCCUCUACAUCAUGUCAUCUUGCUUAAAGCGUUACUCUGUUCGUCAUGAAAUCAAUACACUAGAUGCAUGCUGGAUAGUGGUCGAUGUGUGGAGUAAUAGUAGUAGAUGCAGAAAGUAUCGGUCUACUUGUCUCGGACGUGAUGCCUAUAUGUAUGAUCAUUGCCUUAGAUAUCGUCAUGACUUUGCGCGGUUGUAUCAAUUGCUCGGCAGUAAUUUGUUCACCCACCGUAACACUUGCUAUUUUGAGAGAAGCCUCUAGUGAACACUAUGGCCCCCAGGGUCUACUCCACACCAUAUUUUCAGCCUUACAUUUUUUACUUCGUUGCACUUUCCGCCUUUAGAUCUCAUUUUGCAAACAAUCUUGAAGGGAUUGACAACCCCUUCGAAGCGUUGGGUGCAAGCUUGUUUGUGUUUGCGCAGGUACUCUGGACUUGACGAGAUUCUCCUACUGGAUUGAUACCUUGGUUCUCAAACUGAGGGAAAUACUUACUGCUCCUGUGCUGCAUCACCCUUCCCUCUUCAAGGAAAAAACCAACGCAAGCCCAGCCUCUGUCAACGUGUCAAUUUCUGGCGCUGUUGUCUAUGGGAUAGCAGAAGAAUUUCUGGCGCCGUUGCCGGGGAGCAGGAUCAAGUCAAGAACUCAUCCAAGUAGGUGUCGCAAAAUCAUCUCUUGCAUUUACUUUGUUUGCCAGUUGCCUCUCGUUUUCCUCUCCCCCACUUCACUAUUUGCCUUUUUUCGUUUGCCUUUUUCGUUCGCCCUUUUAUCUCGCUUGCUUUCUAUUCGCUUGUGUACCAUGUGUCUUCAAUAUGCUUGCAUCUUCGCUUGCUGAAAAUCUAGUGAUAUGGAUCCUCAUCCACUUGCUAAUCUCUUUAAGAGAUCCAAUUAUGUUGAUCCAAUUGCUAGUGAGUUGAGUGCACUUGACUUUCUCUAUGGAUUCUUGCUUGAUAUGCGUGAACCGGAAAAUCAUGAUGAAGAAAUUAAUGAAGUGAUUCACGAGGGCUCCUUGAAUGAAAAGCAUGAUUGCAAUGGUUUCACUAUAAAUUCUAUUAGUGAUAAUCAUGCUAAAAAUAUACAAAACCCUAAGCUUGGGGAUGCUAGUUUUGCUUUGUCCACUACUUGUUGCAAUGAUCAUGAUUGGGGUAAUGCUUUUUCUUAUGAUCUUGAAAAUUUGUUUAAGCCUCAUGAUGAAUAUGAUGUUUGCAAUAAUAUUCAAAGUGGGUUUGGAGAAGUCAUGACUUUCGUUGAUGAUAAUCCAACUAUUUUUGAAGAGCAUCAACUUUGCAUGCAUGUGGACCAUGAAAAGAAUAUCCUAUGGGAUAGCUAUAUUGUUGAAUUUGAGUAUGAUCCCACAUGUAAUUGCUAUGAGAGAGGAAAAUAUUGUGGUAGAAAACUUUCAUGUUACCAAAUUACCUCUCGUUAUGUUGAGAUUGCUAUUGUCUCUUUCUUCUUCCUUGCAUUUGUGAACUAUUGGUUGUCUUGCCAAUUUUUUUCCUAUAAAAUGUCUAUGCAUAGGAAGUAUGUUAGACUUAGAUGUGAUUUUCACAUGCUUUAUGAUGCUCUCGUUGUGCUUCAAUUCUUGUCUUUUGUGUGAGCAUCAUUGAAAUCCAUAUGCCUAGCUAAGGGCGUUAAACAAUAGCGCUUGUUGGGAGGCAACCCAAUGAAUUUAUUUCUUUUUAUUUCUGUUUUGUUGCGUCCACACUUUCAUAAUUUUGUUGUGGUUGUGUUUUUUGUGUUUCUUUUUGUGUUUGAGCCAAGAAAAGCCUUUAUGACUAGUCUUGGUAAUGGUUCUUUGAUCCUGCUGGAAAAAGACAGAAACUUUUCGCUCACGAGAUGAUUUUUCAUUUUUAUUCAGAAAGAGCUUUUGAGUUGAUUCUUUUUGCUUCUGGUUGAUAUGCCUUUUGCCCAGGCAUUCGUAAUUUUUCAGAAGAUUUCAGGUAGCAGAAGUAUACGAAGUAUACAGAUUGCUACAGACUGGUCUGUUUUUGACAGAUUCUGUUUUUGUUGAGUUGGUUGCUUGUUCUGAUGAAACUAUGGUUAGUAUCGGGGGGUACCAGCCAUGGAAAAGUGAGAAUACAGUAAAGUUUGCUACGGUACCAAAAGAAGUGGUAGUUUGUUUUCUUGUACUAAUGUUAUCACAAGUUUCUGUUUAAGUUUUGUGUUGUGAAGUUUUCAAGUUUUGGGUGAUGUUCUCAUGGACAAAGAGAUAAGGAGUGGAAAGAGCUCAAGCUUGGGGAUGCCCAAGGCAUCCCAAGCCAAAUUCAAGGACACCAAAAAGCCUAAGCUUGGGGAUGCCCCGGGAAGGCAUCCCCUCUUUCAUCUUCAAUCCAUCUGCAACAUUACUUGGAGCUAUAUUUUUAUUCACCACAUGAUAUGUGUUUUGCUUGGAGCGUCUUGUAUCUUUGGAGUCUUUUAUUUUUGUUGUGUCACAACCAUCCUUGCUGCACACCUUUUUGAGAGAGAGAGACAUGCACUCAUCGUGAUUUUGCUAGGAUGCUCAUAGUGCUUCACUUAUAUCUUUUGAGCUAGAUACUUUUGCUCUUGUGCUUCACUUAUAUCAAUAGAGAACGGUGGUGCGUGAUUUGGUAGCUGGAUUAUGCUAUGAAAGUAGUCCCAAAUGUGCUAGGUACCCAAAGAGGAUGCAAAAACCUCCAUCUUCAUGUGCAUUGAGUAGAAAGAGAAGUUUCGAUUCCUCGCAAUUAGUUUUGAGACGUGGAUUCGGUAAUAUUAAGAGUUAUGUUAGUAGGGUGUUGUGAAUCUAGAGAUACUUGUGUUGGAGUUAGUGAUUCUCGUAGCAUGCACGUAUGGCGAACCGCUAUGUUAGGAAGUCGGAGCGUAAUUGAUCUAUUGAUUGUCAUCCUUUGUGUUGAGGUCGGGAUCGCGCGAUGGUUUACACCUACCAACCCUUCCCCUCGGAGUAUGCGUUUAGCACUUUGUUUCGAUUACUAAUAAAAACUUUCGCAAUAAGUAUGUGAGUUCUUCAUGACUAAUGUGAGCCCAUGGUAUAGAUGCACUUUCACCUUCCACCAUUGCUAGCCUCUCUAGUGCCGUGCAAUUCUCGCCGGUGCACAAACCCACCAACUUCCUUCCUCAAAACAGCCACCAUAUCUACCUACUAUGGCAUUUUCAUAGCCAUUCCGAGAUAUAUUUCCAUGCAACUCCCACCGUUCCGUCUCAUGACUUGUGUCGUCACUCUCAUAUUUCCAUUGCAUGAUUGUAAGAUAGCUAGCGAGAUGUUUCAACGUCAUACGCCAUGCUAGAUCGUUGCACAUCCCGGUACACUGCCGGAGGCAUUUCCUAUGGAGUCAUCAUCAUUGUGAUCUUUGAGGUGUGAGUAAAUAAAAGUGUGAUGAUCAUCAUUAUUAGAGCAUUGUCCCAUGUGAGGAAAUAAAAAAAGGCCAAAGAGCCCAAAAAGAAAAGAAAAAAAGAGGCCUAAGAUCCCAAAUGAAAAAAAAUAAAAGAGAGAAAAAGAGAGAAGGGACAAUGCUACUAUCAUUUUCCAUACUUGUGCUUCAUGUUAGCACCAUGUUCUUCAUGAUUGAGAGCUUCUUGCUUUGUCACUACCAUAUGCUAGUGGGAAUCUUCAUUUUAUAACUUGGCUGGUAUAUUCCAAUGAUGAGCUUCCUCAAAAUUGCCCUAGGUCUUCGUGAGCAAGCAAGUUGGAUGCACACCCACUAGUUUUUCUUUUGAGCUUUCACAUACUUAUAGCUCUAGUGCAUCCUUUGUAUGGCAAUACCUACUCAUUCACAUUGAUAUCUAUUAAUGGGCAUCUCCAUAGCCUAUUGAUAUGCCGAGUCAGUGUGACCAUCUCCUCCUUUUUGUCUCACAACCACCACCACACUCUAUUCCACCUAUAGUGUUAUAUCCAUGGCUCGCGCUCAUGUAUUGCGUGAUAGUUAUAAAAAGUUUGAGAAAGUAAGAGUGCGAAAACAAUUACUUGGCCAAUUCCGGGGUUGUGCAUGAUUUACAUAAGUUGUGUGAGGAUGAUGGAGCAUAGCCAGACUAUAUGAUUUUGUAGGGAUAACUUUCUUUGGCCUUGUUAUUUUGAAAGUUCAUGAUUACUUUGCUAGUUUGCUUGAAGUAUUACUGUUUUCAUGUCAAUAGCAAACUAUUGUUUUGAAUCUUACGGAUCUGAACAUUCAUGUCACGUGAAAGAAGUUGCAAAGGACAACUAUGCUAGGUAGCAUUCCACAUCAAAAAUUCAUUCUUUAUCACUUCUCUACUUGAGGACGAGCAGGAGUUAAGCUUGGGGAUGCUUGAUACGUCUCUAACGUAUCUAUAAUUUUUUAUGGUUUCAUGCUAUUAUCUUGUCAAACUUUGGAUAUUUUUGUAUGCCUUUUAUAUAUUUUUUGGGACUAACUUAUUAACUCAGUGCCAAGUGCCAGUUCCUGUUUUUUCCAUGUUUUUUACCCCUUUGAGAGGAGAUUUUGAAAUGGAGUCCAAACGGAAGAAAAUCCCCGAAAAGAUUUUUUCUGGAACGGAAGAAGAUCGGGAAGCUUGGGAGCCAAGGCAGGGGAGCCCCAGGGGACCCACAAGCCCCCACCCCGCGGCCAGGGGGGAGGUCGCGCCAUCCAGGCUUGUGGGCCCACUGGACGCCAUUUGCCCUAGGUCUUUCGCUUAUAUAUUCCCAUAAAUUUCAGAAAGAAUCACGAGAUCAUCGAAAGUACUUUCCGGCCGCCGCAAGCUUCUGUCUCCGCAAGAUCCCAUCUGGGGCACGUUCUGGUGCCCUGCCGGAGGGGAGAUUCGGACACGGAGGGCUUCUUCAUCAACACCAUGACCUCUCUGAUGAUGCGUGAGUAGUUCACCAUAGACCUAUGGGUCCAUAGCUAGUAACUAGAUGGCUUCUUCUCUCUCUUGGAUCUUCAAUACAAAGUUCUCCAUGAUCUUCAUGGAGAUCUAUCUGAUGUAAUCUUCUUUUGCGGUGUGUUUGUCGAGAUCCGAUGAAUUGUGGAUUUAUGAUCAGAUUAUCUAUGAAUCUUAUUUGAGUUUCUUCUUAUCUCUCUUAUGCAUGAUUUCAUAUCCUUCUAAUUCUCUUCGAGUUGUGGGUUUUGUCUGGCCAACUAGAUCUAUGAUUCUUGCAAUGGGAGAAGUGCUUGGUUUUGGGUUCAUACCGUGCGGUGACCUCACCUAGUGACAAAAGGGGUAGCGAGGCACGCAUCAUGUUGUUGCCAUCAAGGGUAAAAAGAUGGGGUUUUCAUCAUUGGUUUAAGAUUAUCCCUCUACAUCCUGUCAUCUUGCUUAAAGCGUUACUCUGUUCGUCGUGAACUCAAUACACUAGAUGCAUGCUGGAUAGCGGUCGAUGUGUGGAGUAAUAGUAGUAGAUGCAGUAUCAGUCUACUUGUGUCGGACGUGAUGCCCAUAUGUAUGAUCAUUGCCUUAGAUAUCAUCAUGACUUUGCACGGUUGUAUCAAUUGCUCGGCAGUAAUUUGUUCACCCACCGUAACACUUGCUAUUUUGAGAGAAGCCUCUAGUGAACACUAUGGCCCCUAGGGUCUACUCCACACCAUAUUUUCAGCCUUACACUUUUUAAUUCGUUGUACUUUCCGCCUUCAGAUCUCACUUUGCAAACAAUCUUGAAGGGAUUGACAACCCCUUUGAAGCGUUGGGUGCAAGCUUGUUUGUGUUUGCGCAGGUACUCUGGACUUGACGAGACCCUCCUUCUGGAUCGAUACCUUGGUUCUCAAACUGAGGGAAAUACUUACUGCUCCUGUGCUGCAUCACCCUUUCCUCUUCAAGGGAAAAACCAAUGCAAGCCCAGCCUCUGUCAACGUGUCAAUUUUUGACGCUGUUGUCUGUGGGAUAGUAGCCACCACGGCCGGCGUCCACCAUCGUCCAGGACCCACAGUGGCCGCCGACCCCGUGCCGCCCAUGGCUCCCAGCGCCAGAUCUGGCGCAGGCAGCCGCAAGCACGUCCCUUCAUCGAGCAGCCUGACGCGCCACGAAGCCACCUGCCACCAUCGUCGGCAGAGACCCGCCGUACCGCCAGAACCCACCAACCACGGCGCCCUGGCCCAUGGAUGUGGCUCGCACCCGCGCCACAUGCGAGGGGACGAGGAGUCCCGCCGCCGCCAGCGCCGGCCAGUCUUUGCCUGGGCGCACUCUGUGGCGGCAGCGGGGGAGGAAAGGGGUGGGAGGAGGGGAAGAGGCCGGCGGCGGCUAGGGUUCCCUCCCCGUCGCCUGCUGGAGCAACGCGGGAGGGGAGCCUGCAUUGAUUCUCUGCUGCUAACCAUUAGCAAGGGUCCAACCGGCCUGCUGCUCUUGCCUUGCCACUAUGAUGGGACCAUCGUCCUUGCUUCUCACUUUAUGUAUCCAGUGGAAUCUCAAAUAUGUUGUGGUCUUUCAGUAGCUCUAGUACGUCGCUGAUAUAUCUUGGUUAAUUCGGUUAACCAUUCGGGUUUUAGGUAUAUGAAAAAAAGAAAAGUGGAACUUCAAAACGGUCAGGAAAUUUCAUGCCGAAAAUCAGAAACCAUAAAAAAAUAUAAAAUUCAUUUGGUUUCUUUUUUGGUUCAGUUUUAAAAUGCACAGACUGAGAUCAAACCGUACCGUUCAACAUUGGGGUGGAACAAUGGUGUAGGAUAUAUGAAAAGUAUAUGAAGCGUCUCUACCCCCAUACAUGGAAGCCGCAGUGUUAUAUAUUGAUCAGGAGAGCCAACUCUCGGUAGGUUACAUGGUGUUAGAGCAUAUAUCUCCAUAUGUGGUUUUGGUAAUUGAUGACAAUUCCUAUGGACUAAUGGCUGCCUUAAGUUAUAUUUAUAGGAUUUGUCCCUAGGCACUUCUUGAAGUCCAUCUGUUGGGUUCAAGGAGUUUAUAUGAUGACCAAGAUGGUAUUCAAGGUAUUAUCCAAAGAAUGGUCAUGGAGACACAAGAUUGAUCAAGAUCUCAGACAAAGAGUAAAUCAAGAUGAUCAACACACAAAGCGUACAAGAUGUACCGAGAGGGAUCAAGUGAUCCCAUGGUAUGGUAAGCAUUGUUCAUUACGUGUUUGUGUACUAACACAUGGUCUUCGUGAGAGUUCUAUGUGGGGUUAGGUGUGUCUCCAUGGGCUUGCGUCUAUAGGAAGAUCUCAUACAAAGCGUACAAGAUGUACCGAGAGGGAUCAAGUGAUCCCAUGGUAUGGUAAGCAUUGUCCAUUACGUGUUUGUGUACUAACCCAUGGUCUUCGUGAGAGUUCUAUGUGGGGUUAGGUGUGUCUCCAUGGGCUUGCGUCUAGAGGAAGAUCACAUACAACCCAUGAAGGAUGACGUGAAGUGGUGAUCGUCAUCAAGAUUGCGGUGUGCAAGUUAAAGUGGAUAAGCACGAAGAUAUCAUGCUUGAAGCUUGCCGUCCAUUGUGGUGGCAAUGGACUUGUGAAGAUAUGCUGAAGAGUGGCUCACCCAUAGUGAGUAUGGGGGAGCAAUCAACUAGUCUUCAUCAAGCCAACGCAAUCAAGAAAGGUGGUCCAACUUGAGGAAGCCAAGAUCAUCAUCAUCUAGCUCAAGAGGACGAGGUGCAAGGUGUAGGUUUCCCUUGAUAGGUUUUUUGUUUUUGGAUAGAUUGAUGUACUGUCAAGGGGGGCUCUCAAGUGAGUAGCUUGAUCGUAUCGUUCGUUGAGAGCUCAGACCAUUUGCAUCCUUGCAUCAUACUUCUUGGCUCAUGUUUGGUGUUUCUCUUUGUGAGUUUAGAGCUUAUGGUCAUCUUCAUGACAAGCUCGAGUUCAUCGAAAAUGAAGUCCAUAUACAUCUUCUAUGAUGUUUUCGAUGUUGGGAGUUUUUACCGGUCUUAUUCGAAGAAGGGUUCUCACCAUUUUAUUAUGGGCCUUUUCUCGCUUGCUUCUUAUUGAUAUUUCUAUCAAGAUUGUGUUAGCCCUUGUCGUUAGCUUUCCAACAAACUUGGUUUCGUUUAAAUCGGAGUCCAUAUUCGAAAGUUAGAGCACAUUCAAUAUCCAGCCGUAGUACCGCUCCUCGUGCGAGCGGUAGUACCGCUCCUGUAGAGGUAGUACUGCCCCCGAAGCUGUAGUACCGCCCCCAGAGCGGUGAAAAUUUCUUACUACCGCUCCCUAGCGGUAGUACCUCUCUAGGAGAGGUAGUACUGCUCCGGGUGGGCGGUAGUACCGCUUCGGGACGGUAGUACCUUUGAGCGGUUGUUCUUCGUCGGACUUUUUGCGAAGACUUUCUCUAGAGGUAGUACCGCCAGGGCUAGAGGUAGUACCGCCAGGGCUAGUGGUAGUACCGCUGUGCUCGGGUUGUAAGUGGGGGUAACGGUCUGAUUUCUUCCCCCACUAUAUAAAGGGGGUCUUCUUCCCCCUUGGAUUGAUCUAUCCGUUGAGCUCGUGUUCUUCCCCCAUUGUUGACCUUCUUAGAUCUUGCUAACUCUCAAUCCCUCCAAUAAUUCUUUCUAGUUCUUGAGGGAAAAGAGAGAGGAGAUCUAGAUCCACAUCUCCACCAAUCACUUUCUCCUCUAUGUGAGGGGAACCCCUUGGAUCUAGAUCUUGGAGUUCUUUGUGAGCUCCUUGUUCUUCCUCUCAUAUUUCUCCAUAGCUUUUGUUGUUGUGGAGGGAUUUGAGUGUGUGGGACUUGACCACUUUGUGUGUUCUUGCCAUUGCAUGAGUUGCAUCGGUUUGACUUCUCCACGGUGAUACGUGAAAGUGAAGUUUGAGAAGCAAUAUUACGUUUUGGUACUUAGUACCCUAGAGAUUGUUCUUUGUGGAUGCUUUGGCGUCCUAGAAGUUUGGUGGUGUCUUGGAGCUCAAUCAUUAUGGUGUAAAGCUCCGGGCAAGCGUCGGGGUCUCCAAUUAGGUUGUGGAGAUUGCCCCGAGCAAUUUGUACGGGUAUCGGUGACCGCCCCCAAGGUUUGCCAUCUGUACGGGUUCGAUGACCGCCAUCAAGGGUCCCUUAGUGGAAUCACGACAUCUUGCAUUGUGCGAGGGCGUGAGGAGAUUACGGUGGCCUUAGUGGCAUCUUGGGGAGCAUUGUGCCUCCACACCGCUCCAACGGAGAUUAGCAUCCGCAAGGGUGUGAACUUCGGGAUACAUCAUCGUGUUCGUGUGCCUCGGUUAUCUCUUACCCGAACCCUUUACUUAUGCACUUUACUUUGUGAUAGUCAUAUUGUUUCUUGUCAUAUAUCUUGCUAUCACGUAGUUGUUUAUCUUGCUUAGCAUAAGUUGUUGGUGCACAUAGGUGAGCCUAGUUGUUUUAGGUUUUGUGCUUGACAUAUUAAACAUUAGUUUUAUUCCGCAUUUGUUCAAGCCUAAACCGUAAUUAUUUUAAAGCGCCUAUUCAACCCCCCCCCCCUCUAGGCGACAUCCACGUCCUUCCAAUUGGUAUCAGAGCUAGGUCUCUCUUUAUUAGGUUUAACCACCUAGAGAUUAAGGAUGUCGACUAGGGGUUUAGGAUUCACUAACACUCUUAGUUUCGAUGGCACAAAUUUUGAUGUUUGGGUAAUUCGCAUGCUUAAUCACUUUCGGGUCUUGGAUCCAAAUUUAGAGCGAAUUGUAGAUAUGGGCUUUUCUCCUCCAAAGGAUUCUCAAAAUAUAUCUUUAGAGGAUGAGAAAAACUCUUAUCUCAAUGCUCAAGCUUCAAAUGUGCUUUUUGAUGCUUUGAGGAAUGUAGUUAUAUUUCAACUCAUGCCAUUCUGGGAUGCUCAUGAGUUGUGGACAAAGCUUCAAGAUAAAUAUGGUAUGUCCAAGAUUUGUGGGAAUGAUUGUUCUCCCUCCACCUCCUGUCGUGUGGUCUUCUUAACUUCAUCUACUUCACCUACAUGUGGAUUGCCACAAGGUAAUGAUAUGUGAGUAGUGGAGAUCAUUGCAAUGAUGAUAGUGGGCUUAUUGUUGAUGAUCCUUCAUCACUAUAUUAUUGCAAUGCUUCAUCUUUGGGCAUUAACACUUCAAGCACUCUAAAUGUUUUACAUGCUUGUGUUGAUAGUCCUUGCAUAUCAUGUAAAAACUGCUUGACUAAAUCUCAUGAUGAUAUGCUUCCUAUAUCUUGUUGCCAUGAUAAAAAUGUAUAUAUUUCCUCGAGUUGUUGUGCUAACAAUGUAGAGGAAAUUCAUCACUCCAUGGAACAAGAUGUGGCCUUGAAUGAUUCUUCAAGGGAUCCUACAUUAUCAUCUAUUGUUACUCACUUUUGCCUUAUGGCUAAGGCUUCAAAGGUAUCUCCUACUUCGAAUUCCAAUUUAUCUCAUGAUGAUGAUGUUGAUGAUAAUGAGGAUGAUAAUAAUGAUGAAGAGAGUGAUAUUAUUGCAUCCUUAAAAAUUAAGGGUGAAAUGAUUUUUAAAUAUCUUUAUAAAAAUAAACUUGCUUGUUCCAACUUCUUGGAAAUCAUGUCUAUUGCCACUGAGGGCAAGAAAUACAUUGAGGAGUUGGAAGCUCAUCUCGAGGAGCAUGAGGCCACCAUUGAGACAAUGGAAGGUCAUGAGCAUGAUUACGCUAACGAGAUCGCGGAGCUAUCUCAAGCUCUUGAAAAUGAACAAACCACCAAGGAAUCUCUUGAGGAAACCUUUGCUAUAGAAUUAUCUAGCUUAAAGGAAUCCCAUGAUAGAGCUCUCGAGGUGGCUAAUGAUUUUAAAACUAAAAACGAUAAGCUUGAAGUUGCACAUGCUAAACUCGUUGAGGACUAUGAGCACCUCGAAAAUGGCUCAAGGGCUAUUAAGAGUUCGAUCAUCGAACUCACCGAGUCUCAUGCUCAACUUGAAGCUUCAUAUGCUAAAGAGCUUGCCAAGUUGCCUUCUCCUCUUAUUGUUAAUAAUGAUGCUUGUUCUACUAACUCUACUUCUUGUGAAUCAUCCAUUUGAAAGGAGAAUGUUGAGCUAAGGGAUCAACUUGAGUUGCUAUCUAGCAACUAUGGGAAAUUGGAAGAAAGUCAUGUAAUGCUCACAAGCUCUCAUGAUGAUCUUCUAGUAUCCCAUAAUGUGCUAAAAUUAGCUCAUGAGGCUGUUACUACCAAGGUAACAUCGAGUGAGCCUCAUGUGAACAUUAGCACUAUUUCUAGUCAAAAAUCUAUAUUGCCAUGUGCUAGCCCUCGUAAUUCGUCUACUCAUAACGUUGCUACAUCUUGUGAUGAAUUACUUUCCAUGCCUUGUUGCUCUAAAAAUGAAGCUUAUACUUCCUCUAGUACUUGUGUUUAUACUAACCAUGUAUAGGAAAUCAAAGAGUGCAAGGCCCAAGUCACUUCCUUGAAGAAAGACUUGGAAAAGAGUCAUGAAGGAAUGUCCACACUCAACAUUGUCUUGUGUGGGAAAAAAUUCCCAAAUGACAAAUAUGGACUUGGAUUCAACUCCAACAAGAAGAAUAAGUCCAAAAGCUUCAAGAAGAAGGUCCAAGAACAAGUCAAGAAUUCGGCCAAGAUUAUUUGCUUCAAGUGCAAAAUUGAAGGGCACAAUGUUAGAUCUUGCCCACUAAAGAAGAAGCCCCAAAGUCACAAGCAACAAGGGAAACGUCCACAAGUUCAAUCACAUACUCAACUACAAGUUUAAGAAAGUCCCCUUCCCAAGAAGACCCAAGCCAACACUCCUCAUGUUGAGAAAUUAAUAGGGAAGAAAUUAAAGGGUAGAUGUUGCUACUUAUGUCGUGAGAAGGGUCACUUCGCUUCUUCUUGCACGAGAGGUAAUUUAUCCAACCCAAUCAUUAUUGAUGAUAUCUACUCUCCUGGGAAGGAUAAGGUUGGCAAUGUGUUUGCCAAGUUUGUUGGCACUCAAAGUGGUGUCAAAAAAAGUACCAUUUGGGUUGCCAAGCCUAUUGUGACUAACUUCUUAGGACCCAAUGUGGUUGGGGACCAACAAGCUCAAACUUGAUCAAUAGGUGAAUGUGGAGGACAUUGGAGACUUUGAUACAUAAUGAAUAAUUAAGGGGUCUUCAUCAUUCAUAUUAUCUCAAGCCAAGUCAUUUGGAUUAUCGAGUUUCUAUCGUAUAUCCAAUGUGCCUCCUUACGGUAACUUGUACUUCAACUGUUUACAUUGGUAGUUACUUGCCCCUUUGCAUGUUGUGGUUUUGUACCUUGCAUGUGUUUGUAUAUUUUGUGCUUCCAACUUGCUUAUCUUGAGUAAUCGAGUAUGUGUAUGUUGGUUUGCACAUCAUGUACAUGUGAGUCUUGUAUUGAGCCUUUUUGCAUUUUGUUUGUAUCUUUGUUGGCUCUUGUGAGAGAUUAAUGGAUUAUCCCAUUGUGGGGGAGUGAUGUGCUUUGCACACCUCACAAUACUAUAAUGCGUAUACAUGGGGAAUAGCACUUAGUAUUGAUAUUUCAAGAUUAUCUAGUUUCUAUAUGGUUCAUUAAUUAUCUCUUGUUGGUUUUAAUUUGCCACUUGUUAAUAUUGUUGGGUUAUCACAUUAUGGGGGAGUAAUAUGCUAUGUGCAUAUUACAAGCCUAGAAAAUGUGUACAUUUGAGGUAUUGCCCCUUAGUGUUGAUAUUGUGAAUUAUCUUGUUCCUAGGUGGCAUGUUAGCUCAACAAGUGUCAUUUGCUUGUAUUUUAUGGGUAAAGAUGAUGUUGGAUAUAUUUGCAAUCUACCAAUGAGUAUUAUUUCCAAAAUACUUCUUGUCCUUGACAAUUGGUAUUCCCGUCAUGUGGUAGGAAUUGCUAAUUGUCUUUAUAUUGUAUUUUGUGUUUCGUUUGUCUUCCUUGCCUCUUGUGGAUCUAUUUUAACAUGUCUAGUGUUUUUAUAGAUAUAGAGAAAGUGAUGAUCCCAUCUUGUGCAUUUUGUAUUUAAAUGCAAAUUCUAUAUAAUGAACAUCCCUUGGGGGAGCUAUCAUAUUUUCUUUAGAACACUCUCUUUAUUCGCCCAUCAUAAAAUUUUGUGAUUCCCAUCAAGUGUGUGUUGAAGGGAGGAAAGUCUUGCUCUUUAUGAUGCUUUGUGCCAUCAUGAAAAUUUGUCGAGGGUUUGGUUUGUUGGAACCUAGCUCUCUUUUGGAAACUAGAUACCUCGUGUUUGUUUUCCUUCAAUUGGUAUCUUGUUUCCUUUUAUUUGGCAUGUGUCAAUGGAUAUCUCAUUCCUUGAGGUAUCUUUUCAUUGAUAUCCUUCAAGUGAUAGUUUUUCGUUUGGUAUCUUAUUAUCACUUGAUACCUUGUCUUUUGGUCUAUUAUCAACUUUGUGUUGAGUUGAUUCUUGAAAGCCUUGAGCAUGCAUAUUUACCAUAUAUAGCUUCUUUUGCUUGCUUUCUUUCUUUGACCCAAUAUAUAGGGGAAACUCCACCUUGUUAUAAAUUGGCUAAAGUGUGCAUGAAAUUCAAAUUCAUAUCUAUGUGCACAUAUGUAUGUGGAGUUUGUCCUAUGUAUUGUUGGUUUUCUAACUCUUUGGUCCCAAUGAGCUUGGGCACCAUUAUGUUUGUUUUGUUGUUCCAGGAACAAUUGGAGAUGCAUUGGAUGCUCGACUCACCUAUAAGGAAGUUGUUAAGACCAUGUGAUUAUUGGAGCCAAAUUCUCAAGUUCCGAAGUAAUUACACAUAAUAGAAAAAUGGACUCAGGUUCAAGUUCCGAAGUAAUUACACAUAUAGAAAUUCAAAAAGAAAUCGAUACGAUCCACGUCAUAAUCCAUAUUGGAUUCCCAAAUUUAUUAAAGAAAAAAGGAGCAAUCGAAGAAUUAGAGAAAGAUCUACAAAAGGAAAUUAACUCUGUAAACCAGAGAUUUAAUAUUUCUAUCGAAAAAGUUAAAGAACCUUAUAGACAGCCUAACAUUCUUGCAGAAUAUAUAGCUUUCCAAUUAAAAAAUAGAGUUUCAUUCCGAAAGGCAAUGAAAAAAGCCAUUGAAUUAACUAAAAAAGCAGAUAUAAGGGGAGUAAAAGUAAAAAUUGCGGGUCGUCUCGGAGGAAAAGAAAUUGCACGUGCCGAAUCCAUUAAAAGGGGCAGACUUCCCCUCCAAACAAUCCGCGCUAAAAUUGAUUAUUGCUGCUAUCCAAUUCGAACUAUCUAUGGAGUAUUAGGUGUAAAAAUUUGGAUAUUCGUAGACGAAGAAUAACUAAUCUUGUCUUCGAAUUCUGUCCAUUGAUAGAAUAAAAAAUGACAAGAGACUUUUAUCCUGAAAUCCCUGCAAAAGAAGAAAUUCUACCUCUUUCUAUAAGAUUUAAUGAAAAUUGAUAAAUCAUUUAAUAUAAUUGCUAUGCUUAGUGUGUGACUCGUUAUUUUUUUUUCUUUUUUAAAGAAAAAAACUUAGUAAUUAUAGAAAAUUAACUAAUACUAAUAACCAACCUAUUGCUUCGUAUUGUCGAGAUCCUAACUAAGAAACAGUCACUAUAUGAAUAAAUACCUCUAUCAUAAAUGAGUAGAUGUGUCAUAUAGUUGUAGCAACUGCACUUUUUUAUCUAAAAAAUAAAUGGGAUUCUAGGUUGUGAAGCAAAACUAAAGGGAUGUGGAUAAAGGGAGGGAUGAUAGAAAGAAGGAAGAGGAAAUAAAUAAGAUAUAGAAUUCCACUGUGUAUGGUCUAUGAAUUACAUCAUAAAAGGCAAUGUGAAAAAGCAUCAAUAUAAUAAAACUAAUAGAGAAUGAAAAAUCGUAACUUGAAAGAAGAACUACAAAUUUUAAGCAAUAAUAAAGAGUCGCCCGGGUUAAUAAAACUGAGAAAAUUAACUCGGAAAGAAAUUUUUUGGAAGCUCCGUUGCGGGAUUCAGACCUAACCAUUCAAGGAGAAGCAGUGGGAACGAGAGAACCUAUGAUUCCAUAGGAUUUUAUUGAAAAGAAUCCUAACACUUCAUUGGGUGGGAUGGCGGAACAAACCAAAAAAAUUGUCUUAUUUGGUAAGUUUAUAAAUUAACAAAUAAGACAGGAAAGAGUAAAUAUUCGCCCGCGAAAUUCUUAUUGAAUUAGAAUACUUUACCGUGAUUCAAUAAGAGUAAAAAUAAGGAUAUUUUUUAGAAGGACUACAUUAUUAUCUAUAAAUAUAGAAUUUAGAUAAAUAUCCACACACAUCUGGAUAUAUUCUAGAUCUUCUUUCUUGACUAUAUAUUGUAUUUUUCUGUUUUAACAAAUUCAAUAUAAAAAUAAAAAUAAAAAAAACCUAACUUCUUCUAUUAUCUACUAAUGUGUAUCUAUCUGUACCGUAAUAUUUUUAAAAGGAUGAUCAACGAACAACUAUCUACUACAUCAAUCCAAUGUGGUCUUGGUAACAAGUAUCUACUUCAUGCAUUCAUUUCUUGCAAAGGCCCAAACCUGUCUUUUCUUUUCCAGGUUGCAUCAUGGCAUGAAUCUCUUGAUUCGUUCUUGUAGUACUUGUUUCCUUUCUCAAAGCAUCCGAACGAUGAUGUCUUAUUGCUAGUUGGGAUGUCUUUCAUGUUCGUAUGUUGGAAGUUCAUAUUGUACAAUAAGAAAAUAUUAGGCCAUGUGCUAUGCUUCCAAGCAAAGAUCUUAUUGAUAUAUUUAUGACUUCCUUUUGGAUAUCUUGUUUGUUCCUUCUUGUAACCAUUUCGUGUGUACAUCCUUCUUUGUGGAUAUAUAUCAUCAUGAUUGUGUUCUACUUAGAAUCUUUUACACAUGAGAGAAGUUACAUCUCUAAUUGAUAUCCUCUUUUCUUUCACGUCCACCGUUGCAUUUCCUUUUCCAGUUUUUGGUGGCUUCGUGAAAGGAUUUGUCUUGAGUGCCUAUCUUAUUUUCCUACAUCUUGAUGCACUCUUUGGCCAGAAGAUUAUUUUUCCUCAUGCUUGUCUUGAUGAGAGUUUUGCCAUUUCGAUUGGUAUCCCUCCUCUUGACAAGGUUCUUAUUUCCUAUCUUCACCAUAGGUUGUCACAAGUGUUGGUUCUUAUUUUGUUUAUUAGUAAGCUUGUGAACCCAUUUUCUAGUAUGUGUGUGUGGGAAUGAUAUGUCUUGCACUUUGUGUCUCAUUUCAUCAAGACUAUGUUGAUGAGUAAUGCUCAUCCUUAUCUUAGUCUUCUCAAGUGCUUUGCCAUGACUCACACACAUUAUUUUGGUUGAGCCUAUUCUUAAGUUGCCUCUUUUACAUGUUGCUCAACCAUUUGUUUUGUCCAAGUGAUAUGCUUAUUGUCUCAUCUAUAUUCUUGCACUCGUUGUGUGUUUUUAUUAAUUUUGGGGGAGCAACGAUCCUAUUUUGUGCACUUGUAUCAAAUACAAAAAUCUCUUAUGAGUGCACAAAUCAUGGGGAGCUUCUCUAGUUUUGAUAAAACACUCUGUUGCCUUUAUCAUAAUAUCUUUUAUUCAUGUGGUUCGAAGGACCAUAUGAUUGUUUGUUCCAUAUGGUAUCUUUUGAUUGCUUGCCUCUAUUUUUGUAUGUCUUUGUGGCAUACGAUCCUUUUAUUUGCAAUCUUUGGGUCCUCAAUAUAGUUUGUUUUCCUCCAACUACUUAUCAUUGUAUUUGUGUAUUUCUUUGCACUCAUUUGCUGAGAAGUACACACUUUUUGGAGGACCACCUACUAUAUUGUCUUUCUAAACUUUUCGUCCAUUUUGGCAAUCGAUGCCAAUGGGGAAGAAGUUUAGAGAGUUUUUUGGAUAUGUUUAGAGGGUUUUGCUUUUAUUGCGUAAGCAUUUACAUCUUGCACACAUGCAUUAUUGCUUUGUAUAUGUGCGCUUGGUUAUGCUUAUUUCCUUGUAUAAACUCUCUUAAAGUGGUUGUCAUCAAUUACCAAAAUGGGGGAGAUUGUUAGAGCAUAUAUCUCCAUAUGUGGUUUUGGUAAUUGAUGACAAUUCAUAUGGACUAAUGGUUGCCUUAAGUUAUAUUUAUAGGAUUUGUCCAUAGGCACUUCUUGUAGUCCAUCUCUUGGGUUCAAGGAAUUUAUAUGAUGACCAAGAUGGUAUACAAGGUAUUAUCCAAAGAAUGGUCAUAGAGACACAAGGUUGAUCAAGAUCUCAGAAAAAGAGUAAAUCAAGAUGAUCAACACACAAAGCAUACAAGAUGUACCGAGAGGGAUCAAGUGAUCCCAUGGUAUGGUAAGCAUUGUCCAUUACGUGUUUGUGUACUAACCCAUGGUCUUCGUGAGAGUUCUGUGUGGGGUUAGGUGUGUCUCCAUGGGCUUGCAUCUAGAGGAAAAUCUCAUACAAAGCGUACAAGAUGUACCCAGAGGGAUCAAGUGAUCCCAUGAUAUGGUCAGCAUUAUCCAUUACGUGUUUGUGUACUAACCCAUGGUCUUCGUGAGAGUUCUAUAUGGAGUUAGGUGUGUCUCCAUGGGCUUGCGUCUAGAGGAAGAUCACAUACAACCCAUGAAGGAUGACGUCAAGUGGUGAUCGUCAUCAAGAUUGCGGUGUGCAAGUUAAAGUGGAUAAGCACGAAGAUAUCAUGCUUGAAGCUUGCCGUCCAUUGUGGUGGCAAUGGACUUGUGAAGAUAUGCUGAAGAGUGGCUCACCCAUAGUGAGUAUGGGGGAGCAAUCAACUAGUCUUCAUCAAGCCAACGCCAUCAAGAAAGGUGGUCCAUCUUGAGGAAGCCAAGAUCAUCAUCAUCUAGCUCAAGAGGACGAGGUGCAAGGUAUAGGUUUGCCCUUCAUAGGUUUUCUAUUUUAGGAUAGAUUGGUGUACUAUCAAGGGGGGCUGCGAAGUGAGUAGCUUGAUCGUAUCGUUCGUUGAGAGCUCAAACCAUUUGCAUCCUUGCAUCAUACUUCUUGGUUCUUGUUUGGUGUUUCUAUUUGUGAGUUUUAGAGCAUAUGGUCAUCUUCAUGACAAGCUCGAGUUCAUCGAAAACGGAGUCCACAUGCAUCUUCUAUGAUGUUUUCGAUGUUGGGAAUUUUUACAGGUCUUAUUCGAAGAAGGGUUCUCACCAUUUUCUUAUGGGCGUUUUCUCACUUGCUUCUUAUUGAUAUUUCUAUCAAUAUUGUGUUAGCCCAUGUCGUUAGCUUUCCAACAAACUUGGUUUCGUUGAAAUCGGAAUCCGUAUGCGAAAGUUAGAGCAGAUUCAGUAUCCAACGGUAGUACCGCUCCUCGUGUGAGGGGUAGUACCGCUCUUGUAGCGGUAGUACCGCCCCCGGACCAGUAGUACCGCUCCCUAGCAGUAGUACCGCUCUAGGAGCGGUAGUACCGCUUCGGGUGGGCGGUAGUACCGCUUCGGGACGGUAGUACCUCUCUCUGAGCGGUUGUUCUUCGUCGGACUUUUUGCGAAAACAUUCUCUAGAGAUAGUACCGCCAGGGCUAGAGGUAGUACCGCCAGGGUCUAGCGGGAGUACCGCCAGGGUCUAGCGGGAGUACCGCCAGGGCUAGCGGUAGUACCGCUAUGCUCGGGCUGUAAGUGGGGGUAACGGUCUAAUUUCUUCCCCCACUAUAUAAAGGGGGUCUUCUUCCCCCUUGGACUGAUCUAUCCGUUGAGCUCGUGUUCUUCCCCCAUUGUUGACCUUCUUAGAUCUUGCUAACUCUCAAUCCCUCCAAUAAUUCUUUCUAGUUCUUGAGGGAAAAGAGAGAGGAGAUCUAGAUCCACAUCUCCACCAAUCACUUUCUCCUCUAUGUGAGGGGAAUCCCUUGGAUCUAGAUCUUGGAGUUCUUUGUGAGUUCCUUGUUCUUCCUCUCAUAUUUCUCCAUAGCUUUUGUUGUUGUGGACGGAUUUGAGUGUGAGGGACUUGACCACUUUGUGUGUUCUUGCCAUUGCGUGAGUUGCAUCGGUUUGAGUUCUCCACGGUGAUACGUGGAAGUGAAGUUUUGAAAAGCAAUAUUACGUUUUAGUACUUAGUACCCUAGAGAUUGUUCUUCGUGGAUGCUUUGGCGUCCUAGAAGCUUGGUGGUGUCUUGGAGCUCAAUCCUUGUGGUGUAAAGCUCUGGGCAAGCGUCGGGGUCUCCAAUUAGGUUGUGGAGAUUGCCCCAAGCAAUUUGUACGGGUACCAGUGACCGCCCCCAAGGUUUGCCAUUUGUACGGGUUCGGUGACCGCCCUCAAGGGUCCUUUAGUGGAAUCACGGCAUCUUGCAUUGUGCAAGGGCGUGAGGAGAUUACGGUGGCCUUAGUGGCAUCUUGGGGAGCAUUAUGCCUCCACACCGGUCCAACGGAGAUUAGCAUCCGCAAGGGUGUGAACUUUGGGAUACAUCAUCGUCUCCGCGUGCCUCGGUUAUCUCUUAUCCGAACCCUUUACUAAUGCACUUUACUUUGUGAUAGCCAUAUUGUUUAUUGUCAUAUAUCUUGCUAUCACGUAGUUGUUUAUCUUGCUUAGCAUAAGUUGUUGGUGCACAGAGGUGAGCCUAGUUAUUUUAGGUUUUGUGCUUGACAUAUUAAGAGUUAGUUUUAUUCCGCAUUUGUUCAAGCCUAAAGCGUAAUUAUUUUAAAGCGCCUAUUCACCCCCCCCCCUCUAGGCGACAUCCACGUCCUUUCACAUAGAUCGAUGUACUUGAGAUCGUUGGAGAUAUUACAAGAGGAAGAUCGAAAUAAACAAGAUAACAACUAGUUUAAACUACCUCCUCAAUACAACCUUGUCUUGCAAGGCAAGCCUUCGGGUAUAACUAUCUAGAGAUAAGACUCUAGAGAUAAGACGUGUUUCAACACCCUCCCAUAAUCAAAACUUUCCUAAGUUGAGAUUACGUUUAAGCACUUCAAAUAACUUUGUAGGCAAAUCCUUUGUAAACCCAUCGGCGACUUGAUCCCUUGAGUGAAUAAAUCUGAUCUUCAAUUCUUUGCUUGCAACUCUCUCUCUAAAAAAAUGAUAGUCGAUCUCUAUAUGGUUACUCCUAGCAUGAAAAAUAGGAUUUGCUAACACAUAAGUGGCACCAAGAUUGUCACACCAAAGACAUGGAGUUUGUGUGCUGCUAAUACCAAGUUCCCUCAACAUGGACUUAACCCAAAUGAUUUUUGCAGUUGCAUUCACUAGUGCCUUAUAUUCUCCUUCAGUGCUAGACCUGGAGACUGUUGCAUGUUUCUUUGCACACCAGGAUAUCAAGUUUGGUCCAAAGAAAAUGGCAAAUCCUCUUGUAGAGCUUGUGUCAUCUAAACAGCCUGCUCAAUCAGAAAAUCAUAAACCAUAAAAAACAUCGUUUGGUUUCGUUUCUUUUUUGCUCAAUUUUAAAAUGCACAGAGUGAGAUCACACUGUACCGUUCAACAUUAGGGUGGAACAAUGGUGUUGGAUAUGUGAAAAGUAUAUGAAGCGUCUCUACCCCCAUACAUGGGAGCCGCGGUGUUAUAUAUUGAUCAGGAGAGCCAACUCUUGGUAGGUAUUACAAGAGGGAGAUUGAAAUAAACAAGAUAAUAACUAGUUUAAACUACCUCCUGAAUACAACCUUGUCUUGCAAGGCAAGCCUUCGGGUAUAACUAUCUAGAGAUAAGACUCUAGAGAUAAGAUGUGUUUCAACAGGAUGGACCCAGAUCAUGAUAAACCGCGGGAUCACUUGUAACUUAAUUAUCAUUACUAUCAUAUAUGUGUUAACACUUACUCACAUCCAUUGACCAUGGUAAUAUCGUAUGUCUUCAUACCGGAAGGAUGCUUUGGGGUUGCCAAAUAGUUUCCAUGACUGGGAAAUCAUAAAGCUUCUGGCUACACUGGAAAAAUAUGUUAACAUUCUCGAUGAUUCAAAAUUGGGAUGUGCUCCUUCAACGAAGGAGAAAUACUCUUAGAGGCCACUCGGUAUUACGGUAUCCAUUAUCAUCUAGCCAGACUCAAGUCUGUUAUUGGUCACGGUGAUACCAGAAUAAGGAAAUUAGAAAAGAGAACAAAAUCGGUAACGAGGAUAACUUGUUUAAUGAUACCGAUAAGUCUCAGCUCGGGUUUUGCAAUGAGAUCCUAGAAGGCAUAGCUUAGAGGAGAUAGGAAGUUACCGAAAAAGGGUUUCCCCCCGCUUUAUAUUAUAAAGCAAGCAUCAUCGAAUAUAUCCAAGAGACCGAACAAUGCACACAACGCACACACCCAAGGCAAGUUACAAAGGUGUCGGGCACCGACACACCACCCCAUCGUGAACAAUAGAGAGGUCAAUCAGACACAACAAAGCCAGGCCUUCAAAGCGAUGCCUCCAAGAAGGGGACGGCCAAGGAUAGCCGCCACCGCUCGAUCCGCGAAGAUCAGGUUUUCAUCCGGAGCAAGACGACAAGAGGGGGAGCGUCNNNNNNNNNNNNGCGUCGUGACGGAGCCUUCACGAAGGAUAUGGCGACAACGGCCGCCGUCACCGUUGGCUAGUCAAAGGACUGGGCAAGUGGUGUAGCCCGACGCUCACAACCCACCAUCGCACCCUAACUCCAUCAACCACCCGCAACCACGCCACCCGCGAGGCCAUGGUUGCUCGCCCGCACCUGAGACGCAUGCUUCGCCCACGAACGCCGCGCCUCCCGCUGCCCUGCAACCAGACAAUCCCUAGACCUACACAAAGGCCUCGACUUUGGACCAACUGACGGCCCUCGACCGACAGAUCCACCCGCAGACGCUACAUUGGGAGAACUCUGCAGCCCGCCCGCUGCCGAGGAACGGGGGAGAAAGGGGAGCGGACGAAUCCGAACAGUCAACCCCCUUGUCAGUGAUAGGUGACGAGACCGCAUCAAGGCCACCCAUCCCUCCAACUGAGCUCCAUACAAAACACGCGACCAUGGGGCCGGCACAGCUCCCCGCAAGGCCAUCCGCAUAUGAUGGCCCGUCGACGAGGGAAACCAAAUCGACCCGCCGCCGCAGUCGAGGUAGCUCACCAGGAAGGUCUUCUCGCGCCCAGCGUCACCGUCCAGUCGUAAGGGCCCGACUAGACGAGGGUCGUCCACCUCCACCGCUGUCGCGCCGCCCCCUCACCACCGCGCCACGGCGAGAAGGCUGCCCGCGGCCCGCAGAAGGGGCGGAUCCAGACGAGCCGCGCCGUCACCACCCGUUGGCUUGCAGCACCCAGACUACAACGCCGCAACCCUCGCCAGCAGAGCCCCGGCAGGAGGCGGCCAUCGCAGCCAAGGGUGCCCACUCCCAGCGCCGCAUGCCCACCAAAUCUGGGCGCCGUCAUCACGCCACCCCCCGCCACCAUGUGUGCACUACAGCUCGACGCCUAUCACGCGCCAACCCACACCGCCGCCGCACCUUAGCGGGAUGUUGGCCGCGCCCGACGCCGAGUGCCGCGUCCCCGACCGGCCGCUGCAACCCGCGCGGACGAAGGAGCCCCGCCGCCGUCGGUGACGAUCGGGCUUCGCCCGGCCGUGCCCUCGGGCGGCGGUGAGGGAGGAGAAGAGUAGGGAGGGAGGCCCGACGACAGCGGCUAGAUUUCCCUCUCGGUCGUGCGCGGGGCGACGUGAGAGUGAGAGGGAAAAGUAUGUGAGCUCGUUGAAUAAUCGAGGAUCGAGAUAGGAAGUUAAAGAAGAGAUGAUCAUGUUACUCUUGUUCCUAUCCCUCCCAAGGGGCCUGAACCUGUAUAAAUUAUUGUGUUCCUCUUUCAACACACCCAAAGAAACCUAGAGCUUUGUAGCCCCUGACCUAACCCACAAAUACCGGGUAUUCUCGAUCCCUGAUGUCCUGAGUUUAAUUAUACUCCAACAAUGCCCAAUGGCCUACAUAUAAGACAGAUUGGCUUCAUUCUACGGGAAAUUCGAGAUGUUGAUGUCUCCCCUGAUGUUGUAAUCUGUAAGACUGUAACAUUAGGGUGGAACAUGCGGGUGUGUGGCGUGAUUUCCUGCCUUCCCUUCUCGUCUGUCUUAAAUAAAUCUUGUAAAGAACGAAAGUUUUAAAUCAACAGUGCAUGGAUUUGCAGCUGCAACUGAGAGCCUUACAACACCUGUUCGAAAAUCAAAGAAAAGAAUGUCAGGAUGCAUGGGAGCAGCUGAGUACUGGUGACAGAUGACAGCAUUCAUUUUAAAGACUUGAACUCACCAUUUUUUGUUGUUGAUCUUUUUUAUCAAAUUAAACCCGCGAGAAUACAACACCUGCUCCACCUGAAUACUCUGAUUCGCAAGGGUACAAAGACUUUCCCUCAAUAAAUAAAAAAUUCAAAACAAAAACUGCUUUUAUCCAUAUAAGAAGGACACAACUGCAGUUUUACAUUAAGGACGAACCCAAAUUCUCGUAGUCGUACUUGAAGAAUCCAUUCAUGCCCAAUACUUGCUAGGCUUGUUUUUCUUUUUUUUGGUGUAUGGUGAAGUAACUAUUGUACUGCAUUUGCUAGGCGUGCCCUCGUCUCGCCUCUAGCUCUCCGCUAACGGCCUGGCCCAACAUUGUAGCUCCCUAGAGCAGUUUUGGAAACAUUUCAUGGACCGGUUUUGAUUGGUUUUAGAACCUUCCGCGCGGUUUAUUUUUCUUCUAUGUUUCUAUGUGAUUUCUGUAUCGAUUUCAUCUUUUUUCUUAAAUUGGUUUCUUGUUUUCUGUAUGUCUUUUCUCUUUGUUCUUCAUUUUUCAAAUACAUGUUAAUGUUUUUAUACAUGUUGAAUAUUUUUCUAAAAUACAUGUUGAACAUUUAUCAAAUGCACAUUGAUGAAAAGAUGUCAAAAAUUCUUAAUGUGCAAAACAUUUUUCAAAUGUUUAGACAUAUUUCAAAAUGUCAGAAAAAAAAUUUGAAUGGUAUGAAAUAUUAUUUUAAACUAUAUAAGAAUUUUUCAAACAUGUCAUGAACAUAUUGUUUAAACCCGUGAAUAUUUUUAAAUACCACGAACAUUUUUUUAAUGGUAAUUAAAUAUUUGAUUUAAAUUACACGAACAUAUUUUUACAUUUUAUACAAAAUGUGGUAAAAAAUUAUGGAACAUGUCAACAUUUUUAUAUUUCACAAACAUUUAUCUGAAGGUUACAACCAAUUUUAUAAAAUUACGCAAACACGUAAUUUAUACUGCAUAGACAUUUUCAAAUGUUUGAUUAACACUUUUAAAAUUUCAAGUAAAUUAUAAUGUAUGUAUUUAAAAUAUUUAAUCUAUUUGUAUAUUCAGCUCUAUUUGCCUAUUAAAUCUUCCUCAACAAGUUUCCAAAUUUUCUACCCAAAGAGAAGCUUUGUGAAGGAAGUACUAGUUAGGAAUAUCCAAAUGAUCUAAGAUUUUUCCAAAUAUUCGAUAUGCAUGUCUAAAUGAUCACUCUCUACAAAAUUUGAGCUCUAUCCAGUAAUCCAUGUGACCUCAUCAUCCAAUCUUUUAUUCUGGCUAUAUUUUUAGUUUGUAAAGCAAAUAUAUUUUAGAUUUCUUAAUUACUGCUGAUAAUUUACCAAGGCAUGUUCCUAUAUGUGUAACUUAUCUACACCAAAUGUGAGCUCAUUUCAUUUAUCCAAUUCCUCUCAAUCAUUUUUACAAGUUUCUGUCCAUAGAAGAGCAUUGUGAAGGAAGUGUCACUUUGGCAUGUCCAAAUGGUAUAAAAACGUACAGUACUUUCCUAUGCCCAAAUCACCAUCCUCCACCAAAUUGUAGAUCAAUCCAAGCAUUCAUUUGAGCCCAGAUUCAACAUCUAUAUUUCUGCCAAGUGUGGUACUUUGCAAACCAAGUGCCACCUAGACUCCUUCAUUUGAGCUAAAAAUUUGCCAAGACAGUCUUCUUAGUAGACGAUCAUCCUCACCCAAAAAUGAGGCCCAUUGGCCUUGUGAAUUUCCCCCACCGCUAAUCAAACACUUGGCUGCUAAUUCAUGUUUGAGCUUAUUUCAGUCUCCUCGUAAGAUUUUUCUGUUGUAUUAUUCUUACUAACACCUAACGGGGGGUGAUAAACCCACCAGACAUGCCUAGGCUGCCCAGAACGCGCGACAAUGCCACAGUCACGCGAUGACCACGCGGUUGGCAUGCUCGUUUACACGCUCUGGAGUUGGGGCCCUCAGACACCAUCCAAACCUCGAUGUCUUGCCACCACACCAUGUAUCUAUGAUUAAAUGGAUACUUAUGUACCUAGACAUGAUUUUUGGGUUCCUUUUUCAUAGACUUUCCCUCAAUAAAUAAAAAAUUCAAAACAAAAACUGCUUUUAUUCAGAUAAGAAUGACACAACUGUAGUUUUACAUUAAGGACGAACCCAAAUUCUCGUAGUGGGCCAGCCCAUCGUCGUACUUGAAGAAUCCAUUCAUGCCCAAUACUUAUGUACUUCUUCUUUUUUUGUACUACAUUGCUAGGCGUGCCCUCGUCUCGCCUCUGGCUCUUCGCUAACGGCCUGGCCCAACAUUGUAGCUCCUUAGAGCAGUUUUGGAAAGGUUUCAUGGACCAGUUUUGAUCGGUUUUAGAACCUUCCAAGCGGUUUAUACUUCUUCUAUGUUUCUAUGUGAUUUCCGUAACGACUUCAUCUUUUUCUCAAAUUGGUUUCUUUUUUUCUGUAUGUCUUUCUUUUUGUUCUUCAUUUUUUAAAUACACUUUAAUAUUUUUAUACAUGUUGAAUAUUUUCUUAAUACAUGUUGAAUAUUUUUCUAAAAUACGUGUUGAACAUUUAUCAAUGCACAUUGAUGAAAAUAUGUAACACAAAACUUUUUUUUAUUAAUGUGAAAAACAUUUUUUAAUGUUUAGACAUUUUUUAAAAUACCAGGAACAUUUUUCUCAAUGGUAGGAAGUAUUAUAUUAAAUUGUGUAAGAUUUUUUCAAACAUCUCAUGAACAUAUUUUUUAAACCCGUGAAUAUUUUAAAAUACAACAAACAUUUGUGGAAUGGUAAUUAAAUAUUUGAUUGAAAUUACACGAACAUAUUUUUACAUUUUAUAAAAAUGUGAUAAAAAAUUUAUGGAACAUGUGAACAUUAUUAUAUUUCAAAAACAUUUAUCUGAAGGUUACAACCAAUUUUAUAAAAUUGUGCAAACACGUAUUUUAUACUGCAUAGACAUUUUUCAAAUGUUUGAUUAACACUUUUAAAAUUUCAAGUAAAUUAUAAUGUAUGUAUUACGAAUAUUUCCAAAUUAUUAAUGGAACACACACCUGCGUAACGAACCCACACAAUCCUGUUGGGUCUCACUUGAGGCGAGGCUACCGUCUAGCUCGUUGCAUCACCCGUUUUAUAUUGUACCGAUUCAUCAAGCAAUUUCGAUCCACGGACAGAUUCAGCGACAAAACUGCGACAGAAUCAAAUGGCCAAUGAGUAGUCACAGAAUCAAAUUUCUAUCCCGCCAAAAACAGUUGCUGUUCCACAAACAGAUGCCAAAAACAGUUGGAAAAUAACAACGUAAUUAAGUUGAACAAUGUCAGUGGUCAGCAUGUGAAACCAGAUGUCACAUGUGUUGUGGUUAAGUAAGAGGGUGUUUGGUUAGGCUGUGGGCUAUGGAGAAGCAGCUGUGAGCUGUGGGCUGUGGAAAAGCUGCUGUGUCAGGAAAGCUGCUGUGAGCAGUGUUGUCGUUUGGUAAACUGGUUGUCUGAACUGUGGGUUUCGAGUAAAUGUCUGGAAUACCCUGAGAUGCUGAGACGGUGUAUAUGUACUGAUAUUAUGAUAAUAAUCUAUUUUUUGACAUGUUUCACUAAUUUUUAGUUGAUGCAUGUAUUUUGGAGGUAAUUAAAAUUUGAUAAUUGCUAACAUUGUUCAUAUAUAACAUUAGUUGUUCAUACAUCAUCAUGAACAUUGUUCAUAUAUCACUGUCCACAUAUUUAUACCAAAAUAUACUUCCUAUUUCCUACAUCUACACCAAAAGACAUUACUUGUUCAUACAUCAUCGGUCAAAUAUCUAUACCAAAAGACAUCAUUUGGCUCUCCCAUAAGAUAGUCAUCCUCCUCUCGUGGCAAACAAAGAGUCAGCAAUGUUCUCACGAAGAUCAUUCAUGUUUACCGCAUCAAGUAAAGAUGAGGUACUAUCGCCUUGUAGUGGUACAGUUUGUCGCAAAACAUGUGGCAUGUAGUCCUCAUCCGCGUCACACUUAUCGAACUCUUUGUCACGUAACUUGGUGUCCCGAAUAUAAUUGUGAAGUGCCAUACAAGCAACAAUAAUCUUCUUUUGUCUUCUAGGCUUGAAUUUUGGCACCUUUUUCAAGAUGCGCCACUUUUCCUUAAGCACACCAAAUGUGCGUUCUACCACAUUGCGAAGUGAAGAGUGAGCAUGAUUGUAUACCUCAUACUUCCCCGUCGGUUCUCUUCGCCUAUUGCGAAACUCCGGUAUAUGAUAGGUUUGGCCUUUGUAUGGAGCAAGGUAUCCACUUCGGUUUGGAUAGCCUGAAUCGACAAGGUAGUAUUUGCCUAAAAAUUACAACAAAGUUAGCAUUACAAAAAGAAAACUUGAAACUAAAUUGCUUUGAAUAUGAGUAUUGUUUUGUAGUACCAUGUGGAGGAAGAGGGAACUUAUGUGCAUACUUCUCCACGGUAUGAUUCAAAAUCCUUGUGUCAUGUGCCGAGCCCGGCCACCCAACAACGACGAAAGUAAACCUCAUGUCAAAGUCACAAACAGCCAUCACAUUUUGAGAAGUAAAUCCAUGUCGCCCGGUGUGGGUAAUGACAUCUAAUGCUGGAACUGAAACUGGUAUGUGACAUCCAUCUAUUGCUCCAAUAGCACCCUCAAAAUGUGGCCAAAAUCGAUCAUCUUUAAUUCUUUCAUGAGGAGUUGAGAAAGAAUAAUCAGUGGGUUUUAUGUUGUUGGAUGAUAACUUGCACAGACAAUCCAACACUUCUUUGAACUUUCGAUGAAUUGUUUCAGUUGAUCUUGCAAAACGAUUUUCAACUUGAGAGAAAGAUUGUGGGGCUCCAACCAUCCAUAAGAACAUAGCUAAUUUCUCCUCGAGAUUGUUGUAACCUUUGGGACUCAAAUAACCACCCGGCCUAUUGUGCUUCUCCGUCUCUUCUUUGCAUAUCUCACAAAAUAUUUUAGUAUGAUAUGCAUCCCAAUUUGCUUUGUCCAUCUAUUGCAUUCAAAGUUAAACAUUCUCCUCAAAACAUGUAUAUAUAUGGCCUAUUGGCAUCCAUACAUAUGAAAGCAUCUAUUUUAUUCUGCUCAUAUAUUCAAACAUAUAUACAUGUAUUUUUUGCUAAUAGAAUCAAAAACGAAGGCAUGUAAUUUUCUGCCAAUAGAAUCACACACAAACAUAUAUGUACACAGGGAAAUAAAAAAGAAGAACAGAGAGCUACCUUGGAAAAUCCUGCAGAUCUUGAGAACGAGGGGGAGGUGCGUUGGGAGGAGGUCGGCGAGGCGCUGGGAGGCGGUCUCCGGCGCAGAUGAACACGGGCGAGGGCGCCGGAGGGCGGGCGCCGGCCGGCGCCGGCGGCGCAGUCCCGGCUGGCCACGGGAAAACCUAGCGCCGCCCUUGCUCCAUCCCGUGUGGCUGUGUGCUGCGGGAAAAAAUGGCUAAGGAAAAAAACUGAACGGGGGAUUUGCACGUUUAUAUGGGAGGGGCAUUUUUGCUUGGGAGUGAUUCACCGGGGGAGGAAGCUGUGGAAGCUGCUCGGGACCAGCUUCUCCUUUUGCAUGUAAAAAAGUUGCAGCUGCAGUCAAACUUCUCCCAGAAGCUGGCUGUUUGGUUGGGCUGCUGGCUUCAAAGCUGGGGAAGCUGCUAAAAAUCUCAACCAAACACCCUCUAAAUUUGCCCAUCUGAAUGAUACUCCCUCCGUAAACUAAUAUAAGAACAUUUACAACACCACGUUAGCAAUCUAAACGCUCUUAUAUUAGUUUACAGAGAGAGUAACAUUCAUCGUCAUUUUCCCCGUUAAUGAAAUGUGAAGAAUUCAGAUCACCAGGCAUUCUAACCCAUUGCAUAGACACACGAAUACCAGUUACAACGCAUCGUCUGUGCCUGUACUCUGUACUGUGUUUCUCUCUAAAAAAAUUUGCAACAAAUUAUUCUUAAACAGGGAAUUAUAGGUCCAUCUGAACAUGAUGCAGCUACCAAAUCACUCCCUCCGUAAAAACAAAAAACAUAAGAGCGUUUAGAUCGCUAAAGAUGUGCUCACUGCUCAGCAAGGGCAUCUGAUGGAUGUAUAUUAGCAUAACACCAACAACAUACGAAUUGCUACGGUAUUCACCCUGCAAAUGAUUAGGCAACUAGAAUUGCUUCAGACAAGGUAAAAAAGAAGUGUUCAUAGCUCACCAGUGGUUGCCUGAUGGAGGUAGCAUGCAUAACACAAACAGCAGAUGAUGUGCAUUCUCCAGCUACUUACGCUAGUGUCGUGGAGAUAAACCAAUGGCCAAAUCAGUACUGAAAUGAUAGAGUCUUUAUUCAGGUGGACACACAUUCUUAUAUGUACACACGAACGACGACAACCGGUCUGAUUCAUAUGGUUGCACAGAUAAUAGAUAGAUAAGCAGGCAUGGUUCUUGGUCUAGGGAGCAGCUACAUGGUUUGCAGUGCCAGGGAAGGGAACGACGAUUAGCACUAGUAAUAUUUACAGUCAUGUCAUGUCUGCCUGCCUAAUCAACUUGAUCCUGCAUUGUCUUGCAAGGUCACACGGCGCCCUGGUCGUCGUCCUCGCUGGAGCUUAUGCGAGCGUCAGCUUAUGCGAGAGUCGUGCUCGGCCCACAGCUGGAUGCGGUCGGGAGGGCCGCCUCCGCCCGAGU
rnacentral:lncRNA from 1 species